rnacentral:lncRNA from 1 species
AGUCCCUGGUGGCUCCCCUGAUCUGGAAUGAGUUGGAUUCAUCCUCUAACCUCAGUGGUAGAUUAUGUAGUUACUUUAGUUGUUGGAAAUCCCAUCAGCAACAUCAUUUGAUUUUAUAACCCUCUUUUUUCGGGUUUAUGAAUCUGCAACCUUAGUUAAAUGAGCUCUAAUUAAAUUGAGCUCAUGUAUGAAUGUCUGAUGCAAAUAGCUCAACGGAUGGUGCAUGAUCACAUCACCUUAUUAUCCAAUAUCUAUGUCAGUUGUUGUUUUGCUUGGUGCAAGUUGUUCCUAGGAUUCAUCUUCAGGUACAUUGUCAUUGAAGAACCUGUCUUGGCUUGUUUUAGUGUUCUGCAGCUUUUGGUCGUUGACUGCAGAGGGCUGUUGGAAUUUCCCCCCCCCCCCCCCCCCCCCCCUCCCCUCUCUCUCUCUCUCUCUCUCUCUCUCUCUCUCUCUCUCUCUGUGAAAACACAUGCACUUCUUUGAGCGUUAGGGAUGUGGAUCCUCUUUCCUGCACCAUACUCACAUGUGUGUCUCAACAUAUGUCGGCUUUUGAUGCUUACCUCAUCCGCACGCGUCAACAGUUGAGAAGCGUUUUAAGGGUUAUGCAGCACGAACAGGAGCCCUAUGGUUGUUGAGUAUCUUCAUCCAAAAUAUGCUAUCUUCUAGGUGGCCUGCUAUUUGGCUACCCUUUCUGUGUGAUGGUACAUUGUCAAUCUAAAUGCAGAAGUGUGUUCCCAGUAUCCACUUUGGAAAAGAUCAUACAAUUCCGCUUAUGUACUUGUUGCUUUUUGCUUGAAAAGAUUCUACUUCAUUAUGCAGUAUGAUUCUGGUAUCGACACAUCAGGCCUAAGAUGUGCACUGUACUGCCUACAGCUAGAUAAAUAAUGGGCGUAUUUUGCUCCAAGUGAUCUCAAUUUUCCACCCAAGUAGCUGUGUUUGCUGCACGUUACAAAAAGAUCCAAGCUCAAAGCAAACUCAUUUGAUUUGACCAUAACUGGUUUUUGUCGUUUGUGUUUUCAAAGAGCUUGGCUAUUUGGGUGGAGCCUGUUUCUUGUUAUUGCGGUAGCAGUUCAGAGCUCACGAGGUGUGAUAUUGCUUGCGGAGUUUGGUUAGUCACAAGAUCUAAAUAGGCUGGAAAUAAAGGUGCUGAAGAUUCACCAUAGGCCUCGUCUCCUUUUUCGCUUGUUUUAAUGUAUAUUCACUGCUCCAAACGAGCUUAACUUGAAGCAUGUAAAAUUAGGGAUAUUUGCGGAGAACUUUGUCUAGGCAUAGAUGAAUUUGUCUUAUUAGAAGCUUUAUAGGCCAUUGAAUCUCAUUAUCAUGAACAAGGUUGGAGUUCCAUUCCGAUUUUGAUUAGUUCAAACGCAUGGUACAUGCUUCAUUGAUUCUCAAUGAAUGCGAUGUGUUAGAAUUCUCCAAAGUUGGAUCUAACGUCAAAUACCUAACAUGAUAUUUUGUUCUAAGACACUAACGAUAAAAGAUGGCUUGUUUUGAGUAUCUAGAUAUUUUCCUGUGACUGGUACGGUUCUUUUUCAUUCUUUUACCCAUUUCAACGUAACACAUGGUGCUUCAGUUUGGGAAAGCAGUUGUAACUCAGUAAUAGGAAGAUUAAUGUGUGAUUAGUCAUAAGAGGGGAUCAUGAUUGUCCCUAGAUAUGAUAGAAACUCCCGAAGGGGUCAUUUAGUUAAUUCAUUGUGGAAACCAAAUGGAAGAAGAAUUGAGUAUGCAGGGGAUGAGUAGAAGAAGAAUUAACCAAUUCAAUUAGGAGUGAUUUCAGGUUAUAUGGUGUUUCCUUGACUAAUUCUUUCUCAUAGAGUUAGUCUACACAAAAAGCAGUUUGAUUUGACUUCAAGCUAUUAUUCUAGUUGCGGUUUGAUUCGGCAAAUAAAAUGCAUACAUUGCAAUCAAUCCCAUAGAAUUUAUCAUGACAUAUCCUCCUGGAUCAAUGCCUCUGCUUGCCAAUUUGCAUUGCCAUUCUCCUAAAAAUCAUGUAAGGCCUGCAGUAGGAAGCUCCAUCCAAUUUGCAUCGGUCCUUUAAUUCAUCCUGAAAUUGCAUUCCUCUUGAAAUGGAAAUCCCAAAUUCAAUGUUUAGACAAAGUUCCAUCUAAAAUUGGAUAGCAAUAUUCCAAAUGAAUCACAUUAGGCUAGUGAUACUUGCUGAACAAUGUGUAAAAAUCACAUCGAUUAAGAGUGAAAAUCACUAAAUUUCAAUCUGGAGUAGUGAUCGAAAAAUCAAACUCUAACUCUUAGCCUCUAUUCUAGCUUUCUUAAUAAAACUGUGGCUAGUAUGAAUGUCGAGAUUUGAUUUUAUCAUUUUAUUUUUCUUUUGGGCAAAUUUAGAGAAUUGCUUGAUGAUCAUGCAUUCAAAAGUGGUGUCGCGACUCCGAUUUCAACGGGAAUCCAUUCCCAGCCUUGUUUCUAAUGUACCGAUGUGGAGGAAAUUAAAACAAAUAGGCAUUCUUCACCACGGGAGAUUUGGAAACUCAGCACAUUGUGGAGUUGGUUGACCAAACUUGGCAAAUUUCUGCGAAAGAAAAGAGAAUCGACACCUCCCCUGUUGAGUACUUUUUUUAUCUGAUAAGAAGUGUUUCCUAUUCUAUUAAAUAUAUGAAUUACAAAGAGGUUUAUAUAGAUCUUCUUUUUCUGCAAAUACCCUUUCAGAUCUUCUUUGUUUUGGUUUGGUUUGGUUUAGAUGUUUCAAUGGCUUGAUUUGCUAAAGGUGAGGUCAAAUUAUAUAAAUUCCAAGUGCAUUAUUUUGUCAAUAUAUUAUGUGGUGAUUUAUCUGAGAUACCUUAUAAUUUGCUGCUUUGUCUUACUGUAUUUGAAAUUGGUCAAUGCCCCUGUGUGCUUCUUACACAACAUUCCUUGGUCUCGGGUGUCUUCCGAUGGCUUUCUAGUGUUACAAGAAGUCGUGUCUAUCUCAGACAUCUACAAUGUCCUCCCACGCUUUUUUAUUUUAUUAAAUAGGACAAACUGAAGGAAAAAACUGACCCAUUCGGUAACUUUCGCAAUCACCCUCACUGAACCAACUUGAAAAUGAACUAUGAUUCAUAUCCAAUCUUACCAAAAUUGGAUUUCCUUUGCAUGCCAUGUGCGCUUAGACUUGACUUUUCCCCCUUUUUUCUUCCCUGUCCAAUAUUUGUUCGUUUCUGUGUAAAUUUUUUUGCUUUCUGCACGCAGGAGAACGUUAACUUCAUUAUACUAUACACGUCAAAGUAGCCUUUACAAUGUGUGUGAAAGUAUCUCAGCACUUGUGGCAUCACCUCUACAACAACAACCGACACAAAAUUGCAACGUGAAGAAGAUGGAUACUCUAUAUCGGUAAAUGCAUUUCCAAUUUGUUUUUUGGGUAAAGCAUGGCUCUUAAGUUGGAUUCAUAGAAUUUGAAGAGGAGGCAUUCCAAUUCUUAAUUAUACUAAAAAAAUGUUUCCAGCUACAAAUGGACUCAGUCUGACAUUAUCUAACUUGAAGGUAAAUCUAAAAUAAUGAUGCGAAUUGUUUAAUUUCAAAUUAAUAGAAGUGUGGCAAAUAUUUUUCCAAUUCUCAAAAUUUAACGUGGAAUAGUCUCAUGUCCGCAAGUUCUUAUAUUUGCACCUCUUUUUUCACCUUUUGUAAUAGAUAACCCACAAGCAUUAAUCGAGAGAGUGAAGAGACGGACCUCCGAAAACAUUAUCUGAAGUAGAGAACUUAGUCAACAUUUUUUUAAUCAUUAUACUCAUUGAAGAGGUUUCACUAAACUUCUAUCAAUCAUCAUAGAGGCUUCGAGUACAAUUGUGAAUGUGGAAAUGCUAAUUGAGUUAAAUUCCAAAUGUGAUGUAAUAGCUCACAUCAUGUUCGUGAGCUUAUUUACCACACUUGUCAAUGGCUCAAAGUUUUAAUACAAUUACACAUUGGUUUUGUGUACCUUAUUUUAGUAAUGUUUUGUAUAAUAAUCAGCAUGAUGCAUGGAUUUAAUGCCCAAUUGCAAUGCUUUGUGACAAGCAAUUUAUUGACACUAACAACAAGUUAAAUGCGAAGGAUGCUUCACCCCCGAAAUAAAAUGUAAUCUUUUCUUAAUUCAAUUGAUCACUAGGGAGUGCUAUGACGAAGAUCAAGCCUGACAAUUCCACCAAGCUUUGUUCUUCAGAAUUAAUUCGGGCCUGGGCCCAAUCAGCCCAUUAAACUGGACCGACUGGAGUUCACCUUAAUUAGGAUGGGGGAAACGAACUUGUUUUGGAAGUUCCAUGUCUACUUUUGUUGACUUUACUUUGAAUGAAUUAUUUAGGGGCAAAAGUAGAUUCUCAUCUGAAAAUUUUUACACCACAUAGUCCAGUGAUUUUCCACACUAAGAAACAUAAUAUUUGACAGGGUGCAAUGAUUCUGCAAGGAAGAAUCCUUUUUGACCAAUUUUGCAGUAAAACUGGCCCACGAUUGUCUGCAUAUUUUGAGGUAAAGGAACAAAGGUCUCAAUAAUUAAGGCCCCCAUAUAUACAAGGAGUCUUUAUUUUGCUUUAAAAAAAGUAAGAGUUAGGUAGUGGGAUCCCACGUAUUUUCUUUUCUUCACGAGCUUUUAAGCUAAAGGAGCAAGCUCAAUUUGGAUCCGAAUGGAUGUAGUCUGAUUUCAAAAAAAAUUGUGACAAGAGUUUCGUUUUACUAAAACAAAAGUUCGGUGGAGUGAUAACGAAAGUUAAAGCUAUCAAAGAACAAAUCCGAUCUUCCAUCGAUCUCAAUUCAAGAAAUUUGAUACGUCACAAGAGUCUUCUUUUUAACUUAUCGAGUCAUCGUGAUUCAAUAACUUCAAUCUUAAUAUUUUUUUGUCAUGCUGGGAUUUUUGCAUGAAAAAACUUCAGAACUUAAGAAUUAUGAAAUGGAAAAAUUUUACACUUUUAAAUCUAGUGAGAUUUUUUUUUUCUAUCACGAAACAUGAAAUGUUUAGUUACCACAAAAUCUAUUCAAAAAACAGAAAAAUACUUGCAAAGAAACACCAUCUGUUCAGAAAAGCUUUUUUCUUAAAUAGUUUAGUCAAUCAUGUAAUCAAUUAAUAAAAAAUUUGGAACGAUCUAAUUUAAUUAAAUGGAAAUGGAAUAUGCCACAUACAUAUAAUUUUGCAUUGCAUCAAAAUACAUUCGCUAGAUUAAGAAUUGGGUGAGAUCUAUUGAUGUGAAUUUAAUAAGGAUGCCAACGAACUAAAACCUAAGCUUCAUGUGCCUUGUCUAAACGUGGCAUUAGCAUUAGCUCCCCCUCUCGGAAAAAAAGAGAAAAAAAUCAGACAGAAUAGCAUACGAGCAGUGCAAGAAGACUGAAACCCAUGAUUGACCCAAGUCAAUCUACGAAGACUUGGACUACCAACAGUCCAUGAUGAACCAGCUUGCUCAAGAAGGAAUCACACCAAUGUUGACCCAAGUCAAAGUCUACGAAGACUUGGAUUACCAAAGGCACACGCUCAAGCAUUGGCGAGACUUCUUUUCCACAUCAGGAUGACCCCAUCUUCUUUUUCUUGGUUGUAUUGCUUUAUUUCUUUUCAUUAUUCACUUUGCUUUUUAACAAGAGUUUCCCUUGGAUUCGUCAAGGUAAUUUCGCCGUGAAUAACUACUGAGGUCCCAAUGGGUUAAUUACGAUGAGAAUUUUGUAAAAUAACAUGCAUUCAAUGUUUCACAAAACAUAUGGCAUUUUAAUUACAACUGCUAGCAAUAUGUGGAUUUGUUUUUAAUGUUGUUAAAAAUAUGUGCACUUUUACUCAAUGAGCACAAACUCUUCAUCAUUUGAAGUUUAAACAAUAAAUCUAGGUUGUUUACAAAGUAAUUUAAAUAAGUAUACUAAAAUUGAUACGUUAAGUAAUAUGAUCAAAUCAUGAUUUAAUAUUUAGCAAGUGAAUAAAUAGAUUUGUGAAAAUCGAUACUACUCAAAUGGGAAUUCGAUACUUCCCAAGAGUGUUUUUUUUACUCAUCAAGUCAAUUUGAUUAAUAACUUCAAUCUUAAAUGUUGUUUUUGAUCACACUCGGAUUUCGGCCUAAAAGGAGUUAAGGAACUUAUGAAUUUUGGAAUGGAACAUUUUUAUACCUUCAGAUCUAGCGGGAAAACAUGGAAUGUCUAAUAACCACAAAAUUGAUUUAGAAAAUAAAAAAAAAAAUUGCAAAAAAACACUAUCUGUUUAGAAAUAUUUUUUGAUUUUUAAAUAAUUUAACCAAUUGUAUCAUCAAUUAAUAGAAAAGUUAAUAUCGUCUAAUUUAACUAAAUGAAAAGUACGAAAGUGUUGUAUACACGUGGUUUUUGCAUUGCAUCGAAAUAUAAUCAUUAAAUUAGGAAUUGCAUGAGAUUGGUCAAUGUGAUAUGGAUACGGACGCCAACAAUCUAAAACCUAAGCUCCCUGUUAACAUGGCAUUAACAUUAGCUACCACUCUCAGAAAGGCAGAAAAAAAAAAAGACGGGACAGCAUAAGGGGGGUGCAAGAGGACUGAAACAUCACGGGAUUAGAAGGGAAAAGUUGUCUACGAAGACUUGGACCGACAACAGUCCAUGAUGAGCCAUCAUUGCUCCAAGAAGGAAUCAAACCAAAGAUUGACCCAAGUAUAUGAAGACUUGGACUACCAAAGGCACAUGCUAAGGCAUUGGCGGGUCUUCUUUUCCACGCUAGGAUCCGUCUUCUUUUUCUUUGCUAUAUUGCUUUAUAUAUUUUCAUUAUCAAUUUGCUUUUUUGAUAAGAUUUUCCUUGGAUUCUCAAGGACGUUUGAGGUCUCUAGUUAGUUAAUUAUUUUGAUAGUUGAUUGAUUGGCGGCAACCGGCCACCACUUGAGCAAGGAUUUUUUUUUUUUUUUGGUCUAGCAGCACUUGAUAAGUAAGGCCUUUGAACUUUUUUCCAUGUCUGAAUCGUCUCCCAAAGAAAAGAUCAAGUGAGAUCAAUGAAGGGGAGGCAAUGCUUGUUUUAUUUAUCAUGGAUUGAUCAUAAUCCAAAUUGUGGAAAGCUUAUGAUAUCGUACAUAUCAACGCUUUAUGAGUGACUUUUAUUGGCUAAAAAACUAUCGAUAAUGCAACUUACCUUGGUUAUUGUUGAGUUAGUAUUGUGAAACUUCAAUUGUGAAGUAGCUAUUUUUUUUUUAUCAUGAAACAUAAAAUUUUUAGUUAUCAAGCGAAAUGUGGUGUACAUAUAGUUUUGCCUUGCAUCGAAAUAAAAUCAUUACAUUAAAAAUUGCAUUAUCUACCACUCUUUAAAGAAAAUAAAUAAAUAAAGGAACAAUGUACCGGUAAGGGCAAAGUCAAAGUCUACGAAGACUUGGACUACCAACAGUCCAUGAUGAACCAGCUUUGCUCAGGAUGGAAUCACAUCAAUAAUUCAUUCAUUUGGUACUUUGUCCCUCACAUACAGGCAUCCAUAAACGUGGAGAUUCAAUCAAAAAGAAGGGGAACAAAUGUCACUAGAUCACUUUGUCAAAUCCAACACUGACUCAUCGUUCUCCCAUUCACUCGCAAAAUUUACAUGGCAAUAAAUUGAUUUCCAAUUCUCAUAUUCAUUGAUAAUUUCAUUACAUGAUUUCCUCCGAUUCUAUAAUUUCAUAUGAGAUUUGAAAAUCAAAUAAAAAAGAACCUCUAAGGAUGUCUUUAUGUCUCUGAGAAAUUUUUUUUUUCGUGACGGGAAAAUGCUUUUAGGAAAUUCAAUUUCAGAGAAAGGGAAUCGGAAAAUCUUGAUUAUGGUGAAAACAAGUUGAAAAAAACUGAUUUUUAUUGUAAUUGGUAAUAAGUGAAUCCACUAAAUGAAGCAUGUAUCAUUAAAAGUAGCAUGGAAUGACUAAUAAACUAGAAUUGAUAUCUUCUUCUUUUAUUCUAUAAUCCAUAGAAAUAACAUUGAUUACAAAGAAAAUAAGAUAAAAAUUAUGAAAUCAUAUUUGUAAAAUAUUAGAUAUAAUCGUGCUUUGGGAAUGUAGAAAAAUUGAGCAUCAAUAAAGUAUAUUCUUCUCACUUCAAAGCUUAGCAAGAAAACAAGGGUGAUGAUUCCUUCUUGCCAAGUCAUUUUUCUCUAACUUAUUCUUUUUAGGGUUAAUACCACAAAAAAUCUAAAAUUAGUAUAUUCAUGAUAAAUUUAUCCAAAAUUAAUUUUUUGAUCACCAAAAACUCAAAACUAACAAAUUUGUGAUAAAUUUAUCCUCUAUUAGUUUCCGUUAAAUUGAAUGAAUACUAAGAAAAAUACAAACCAGUACACAUGUGAUAAAUAGAGAAUAAAACCCCUAACUGAUAGAGUGGUCAAUUGUGAAAAUUUUAUGUAUGUUUUUGUUGACUUGACUUUGAAUGAAUCCACCAUUUAUUUGGGAGGCAAAAGUCGAUUCUAAUCCCAAAUUUUUUGCAUCAUAUGGUCCAAUGAUUUUCCGCCUUAAGAAAUGUACAUAAUUGUCAACUUCGACGGGUUGGAGUGAUGCUUCAAGGAGUCAUCCUUAUUGACCAAAUUUUGCAGCAAAUUGGCCCAUGACUCUCUCUGCAUAUUCAGCCAAUCUUGUGGCUUCUAUGUACAAUGAUCUCCCCAAAAUUCAUUAAAAAAGAUCUUUCCUUUUUAUUUCCUUGAUAUUUCUGUGGUGAAGAAAUAAAGGUCUUUGAUAGCUAAGGCUCGCAUUUCACAUGAAAAGUCUCUCUUUUCCUUUAAAAAGAGAGGAGUUAAGGCAAUGGGAUCUCACCUAUUUUCUCUUCUUCCUGGAGCUUCUGAGCUAUAUUGGAGGACACUUAAUUUCAAUUUGAAUGCAAAGAGUCUUAUUUUUAAAAAAAUCUGCAACGAUACCUUUGGAGUUUCGUUUUACUAAAACAAAAGUUUAGUGGAGUUUAAUUAAAGUUAAAGCUAUUGGAGAACAAAUUUGAUCUCCAUUGGUCUCAAAUUGAUGAAUUUGAUGUUAGAUUAUAUAUAUAAUACUUUGAUGCGGAAAUUUAAAAGAAAACGGUGAUCUUUUGAUCUUUAUGAUUUUUACAAAUAGAUGAAGAUGUACCUUUAUCCAUAGCGUUGCCCUUGAUGAUAAUCGUUGUACAAAAUCGAAAAACUCAAAUCAAAUGAUAAUCGUUAUUCUUUAAUGUAUUCUAUCAAUGGAGGAGAGAAUACCCAAUUAUUUUCGAUUAUUGUUGUUCAUAUAGGUGGAGAGAGGACCAGACUCUAUUAUUCGUUCUUUCAAUAGGUGCCUCCCAUCAAAGCACCUUUUAACUUCCAUUAAAGUCACACCUCUUCAGAAAAGUAGUAACUUCCCUUGAGGAUUAUACCAUUUCAUUUUAUUAGAGUCGCAACUUCUCAUAACUAAUAUUUAUUUAUUUUAUAGCAUUUCAAUAAUUAUUAAACCAUAUAAUAAAUCAUAUCAUGUGGACCACAAUAAUUCUUACAUUUGAUACUUCCCAAGAGCCUUUUUUGACUCAUUGAGUCAAUCGCGAUUAAUUGCUUCAAUUUUAAAUCUUCCUUUUGUCAGAUUUGGAUGGAUGUAUGAAAAGAUUUAAGAGCUUAUGAAUUUUGGCACCAAACAUUUUACACCUUCGGAUCUUGCAGGAUUUUAUUUUGCCUCCUUGGCUGCCCCGCCAUGUGUUUAUUAAAUGUCGUCCUUAUCAAAUACAAAUUGGUUCAUUUAGUCCACAUCGUACCCAUCGAAAUCUGAAGGUCUUGGUGGUGUUGGAGCAUUCACAUCAAUCGUGCACUCCCCGGCAACUUUGAGGAGGUCAGCUCGUCAAUCACCUGGAAUGACCAUGGCCAUGGGCAUGGGUUAGGGUUUUGGAGGCGUGUGAGCAAGAGAAGUGACAACGAGGGAAAAAUCAAGGAACUGGAGCAAAGGAAGAAACAUGCGAAAAGGUCAAGGAACGAUGGGGCAGGAGUUGUCGUGGGGUUUAAACGAAGUUUACCUAGAAGAGAAACUAAAUAAAAGGAAAGAUAAAAUUCUAAACCUGGCCAUGUUGAAUACUCUCAUCUCUUCAUCCAAAUAAAGAGAGACCCAUCAUAUGCUUUCUUCUCCCGAAAAGGAGUAAGACCAGAUGUGAAAUGCUAAAAUCAAGGUGGACGAAUGUGAGUCUCAAGCGCGAAGCAAAAAAGUAUAAAAGCAAAGCAAUAAUUUGUAUUCCAUCCCACUUUUCCUUUGAAGUUUAAAGUGUAGCUCGUUUCUUUUGCAAGAAAGACCGCAAAGUGGAUUAUCUCACUUCUCGGACCCUAAAAGUUGCUAAGUCCAGUUUUCUUUCAAAAGCUUAAACUUUGACUCUAAAAUUGCUAAGUUCAGAUUUUUAAGUUCGUCGCUAUCCAAGCAAGAUGCCAAUUCAUCUCAUACCAUACUUUGAUGGGACAUAUUUUUUUGUUACCAUAUAAGUUUAGGAUUUUGAUCAUAAAAGAACAAUUUCGAUAAUUGGUAAUAUGGUAAAUAUAAAGGUAAGGAUUUUUUAUGGAAUCGCGCUCUCAAUGUCGUCGAAUUUGCUGCCCACCCAUUGCCAUCACUAGCCCUUAACUUCAUGCAUCAAUCCACCGGGGAGUUAAUGCCUCGCCUGCUCAAGUUUGUCCUCUACGCCUUCGUCUCUUUUUCUCCCCGUGCAAAUCUCAUAACCUUUGUCCAUGGAACUCGUGAUUGGCAGAGGUCGCUAACCUCACAUGGCCACAAAUCUGUGGUUGAAUGGCCGUGGCGUCGGGGCUUGACUUGGUUAAUUCGCUUGAUUUUUUUAGGAACGGAGAGAGGCCCUCGUCUCCAUUGAUCAUUAAAAUCAAUACCCAAAAAGAAAAGGAUAAAUAUAUUCCUCGCCAAGAGGGCAUUUGGGUAUUUUAGUAGCACCAGAAAGACAAAACGCAAUUGAUAGGGGAGAGGGGCGAAGAGCAGGCGGAAAAGGAUAGGUGGCCGUGACUCUGGUGGAUGGAAAGUAAAGCUAUCAACCGCCGGUGGUCACAUGACUCACAUGAGGGGACUAAUGAUAUCGAGUGCAGUGGAGCAGGAGCCAAUUAAUAGGAAGAAGAUGGUAUAUCAAUCCGGGGUCAUUCGAUGGAUGAGACGGACUCUAUGGAGAAUUCACAUGAUCCAUCCGCGCAUGAGUCGGGUUCACAUGCCCCGGUGCGCGAGCGGGCAAGACUUGCUCGAAGAAUACGAAGGGAAGAGAGGUGUAAUCCAGUCCACAAGCCGCAUUUGGCAGGGCAACCCCGAAAUGAUGGAUUUUUAGCCUGCGCGUCCCCAUUGAAAUUGCCAUAUUUUCCGGAACUUCUGUUGUAUUUUUCGAGUUUGGAGAGCAUGAAAAAUGGAAGGGGGUGUUUUCCCCAAAACAGCCCCGAUACUUUUUCCUCGACUCAGACACACCCCUGUCCCAAAAGUGACACUACAAUUAUGUACAAGCAAAGUGACACUAAAUUUGUGGGCAAUGGCGCGGGCAUUUAUUGCAACACAGUGUCGUUGGGUAAUUUAAAGGAAGAAGGAAGAUGCAAUGGACAUCGUGCGGUUCCCUUUCAAAUUGAAAGCAAACUCUACAAAGACUACAUUAUUAAAAUACAAACAGGCCCCCGACUUUCAGCAUGGUUAGCCAAUCCUGUCUUCUACGUUUAAUGACCCACGGAGAUCUCCAUUUGUAAUUCUGGCUUCUAAAAGUGAUUUUGAUUUCGCAAUGUGCUGUAUUGAUUUUGUUGUUAUAUAGUUCGAAUUUUUUUUUCUCUGAGAGAAGAUCGAGAGAGAUCAAUGGAGAGGAGGCAAUGCUUCAUGCAUUCACCAUGGGAUUGACCAUCAUCCAAACCGUGAAAAGCUUAUGAUAUUGUACGGGCCAACUCUUUACGAAUAACUUUGAUUGUCUAAGGAAUGGCUGAUACAAGUUGAUUUUGGCUAUUUUGGUUUUUGUCAAUUCUAUAUUGUAAAACAUUAAUUACAAAGUGGCUAUUUUCUAUCGUGAAAUAAGAAAUACUUAGUAGCCUCGGAAUUGAUUUAGAAACUUGAAAAAUACUUGCAUAACAAAUACCAUAUGUUUAGAAAAACUUUGAUCUUUAAAUAGUCUAGCCAAUUAUGUCAUCAAUCAAUAGAAAAGUUGAUACCGUCUAAUUUAACUGAAUGAAAAGAACGAAAGUGUUGUAUACAUAUAGUUUUGCCUUGCAUCGAAAUACUAUCAUUAGAUUUAAAAUCGCAGUAGCUACCGCUCUGAGAAAGAGAGAAGACAGAACAGCGAACGGGGUGGUGCGAAGACUGAAACAUCACGGGAUUAGAAGGGCAAAAUCAAAGUCAACGAAGAGUUGGACUAUGAACAGUCCAUGAUUAACCAGCUUGCUUAAGAAGGAAUCACACCAAUGAUUCAUUUAUUUGGUAUUUUGUGCCUCUCAGUCAGACUUCCAUAAACGUAGAGAUUUUAUUAAAAAAAUAUGUCACCAAGAUCACUCUGUAAAAUCCAACACUGAUUCACGGUUCUCUCAUUCACCCCCCAAAAAUCACAUGAUAACAAAUCGAUGUUCAAUUCCCCUAUCCAUCGAUGAUUCUAUCUUACCAUCUCCUUCCAUUGAAUAACAUCAUAUGAAAACAAACUUUUAGGUUGUGCUUAUCUCGCUAAGAAUUUUUUUGAAGCAGGAAAAUGUUCUAGGAAAUUCAAUUUAAAAACAAAGUAAACCAAAAAAUAAAAUAAAAUGAUUGUGCUGAAAACAAGUUUAAGAAAUUGAUUUUAUCAUAAUUUAUAAUAAGUGAAUUCAUUAAAUGUGGCUUGUAUAGUUAAAAGUAACAUGUAAUGACUAAUAAACUGGAUAUGACAUCAGCAUCGUUUAUUCUAUAAUCCAUCAAAAUAACAACAUUUACAAAGAAAUUAGGAUAGAUAUCUGGGAAAAUAAUUCUUCUUGCCAAGUCAUUUUUCUCUAAGCUUAUUUAUUACUUUUAGCCCAUGGUAAACAUUUUUAUGGAUCGAAUAGCUUUACGUGAUUCAAACAUUGGAAAUUAUAGAAACAAAUUUCCCAAAUAUGAUUUAUUUUCAUCAAACUAAGAAGAAGAUCAUGAGGGGCAAUUCCAUUUUUUUUUUCAUUUUUUGAGAAAAGUACUUCCCUCCGGAACAAAAUUGUAUGAGUGUUUGCACGACAACAGUGUUGAUGAAUCCAAACCAAAAAAAGAAGACGUUGAUAUGUGUCAGAUUUGUAUGCCGAUAGACCAUAUAAUUGAUGCCAAUAAAGAGAUCCAAAGUGAACAAUCACGUCCCUUCAUAUAAAUGAUGCAAAACUCAUUGAUUUUCUAAGACUUGGACAUCAGUAUUGAUGAAAAGAAAAUUUAAUACUGCCGCCCUAAAAAUAGAAGCACUCCCAACAAGUAAACCAAGUGAUUGAAUCCAAUUAUCUGACGAAAUCAACUCAAUGAUGUAAGUUUAACAAUUACUCUCUACAGCGAUUACAUGUUGUAACUUUGAGCGCCAUAGUGAGAUAUCUCAUGAUGCAGAAAAGGAAUCAAAUCAAGUAGUGCAAAGAGGUGGCAGCACGACCACAACAUCUAUAAUAAUUGGGGUACUGAUACAUCAAUGAGGUCUACCCUAACCAGGGCCUUACUAAAAUUUUUUUUCCUUUUUACGGAUAAAGUAUGAAUUAGAUAAUAAAUCUCUCAAUAAUAAGUAGAUAAUAGGAAAUACGAUUCUCCAAUUCCUUUUUGAAUUCACAUAUGGCAUUUUUGCGUUAUUUUUUUUUCAUUUACUAAUUCAAUUCUACUACCUUUUUAUAUUAUCGCAGAUGUUUUAUUACAUAAUUUAUUUUACCGUUGUAUCAUUUACAUGAAGAUUCAAAAUACAAUCCAACUAAGUGGAAUAAAUCAAAUCUCACUAAAUCCAAAUGUUAAACAGAAAAUGGAAUAACCAGAUUAGAAUCUGACUUGACAUUCUAGAAAAACAGGAAUUUUUUCUAAUAAUUUUUUAACUACUAACUAAAACAUGUAAUGUAUUUCUAGCUGAUAUCUCCUUCUGUUUUCCUUUCUUGCCGACUAGCUCUAUACGUAAGGACCGGGUCGUGAUGGUCUGAAUGCUUCGCCGGGGAGUCUCGACUAAAAGCAGCCUCCCUUCGGCCGGGAUUCUCUUGCUUUUAACCUUUUGCUUUUCACUUUUCACGCUAAAUCUUUGCUGAAGGUAUGGUCUUCAUCAUGAGGGUGUGCUGCAAUUUCUCCGCUGCCGUGUCCUUCUUGAACACGUUCUUCUCCUCAUCAGAGCAAUCCACCGAAGCCCACCGAGAAUUCCACUUGCGCUCUUCUUUUAUUUUUAGUCUUUUUUCAACUUUAUCUGCUUUCGGUUACGCAUGGCCCGGCCAUGUCCCCUCGUCCUUAUCUUGGUGUUCAGUUAGUCAACACGUUUCCACCGUAUCGUGUCCCACCAGAUUUUGCUCUUCAUUUUUGCAGAGUUUCAGCUCUCCCUUCCUGUUCCUUUGUGUGUUUUCACACUGCUAUUACCCUUCCUUCGCACUUGCAUGAAUGCCGUAUCGAAAGCGGCCUCAAGUCAACCAUUUCGGUUCACAAAAAUUCUCAAUUUUAUUGGAAAGGGUCUGGAAUUUUAAAUGCGAAAGAAUGCAAUAGAGAUCAAGAAUGCAGGAUUACAAAUGUUUUUUUUUUUAUAUAUUUUAUGAUAAAGGGUCAAAUUAUCAAUGAAUUUUUUUUUUUGGUAACCGAGGAUCCACCGGGCCUGCUGGGCUUACACCGGGCAACUCACGGUCCGUAGAGUGCACAGUGCACCCUGGACCAAGCGUUAAUACCUCGGGGGGUUGACCCAGUACCCCCACUUAAGUCAUGUUAGCAACGGGAGGGCUCGAACUCUUGACCUCAGCAAAGGAGGAGAAAACGCACACCAACUGAGCUGCCCAUGGAUGAGUAAUUAUCAUUGAAUUUGAUUGCUGAAUUUCAUGAGAAUGCGGACAGGACCUUUAGGGGAAAACUGUGUCAACAACAAUUUUUUUCAAAAGUUAAUUAAUGAAGACCGAAACAUCACUAGAUUAGAAGGGCAAAGUCAAAGUCUACAAAGACUUGGAGUACCAACCGUCCAUGAUGAACCAACUUUGCUACAAGAAGGAUUCACACCCAUGAAUGAGCCAAGUCUCCGAAGACUUGGACGACCAAAGGCACGCGCUAAAGCAUUGGCGGGUCUUCUUUUCCACAUUAGAAUUGACCCAUCUUCUUUUUCUUUGCUUUUAUUGCUUUAUUUCUUUUCAUUAUCCCUUUGCUUUUUUGACGAGAUUUUCCUUGGAUUCUCACCGUGAAUGAUAGAUGUGGUCCCGGUGGGUCAAUUAUCUUAAUAGUUGAUUGAUAGGCAGCCACCAUUUGAUCAAUAAUUCUUUUUCUUUUUUUUUUUGCACAGCAGCACUACUCUUUGAGGAUACAAAUGAGUUGGGGCUUCUAUAAGAGGGCACGAGCCUCAACCCCGAACGUAGAAGGCGCCGCAACUGUUCGCACCACUCCGUCCACCAACCUCCCCACGGAAUCACGACAGACGCAAGUGAUCGAGCCUCCAGUAGCUCCAGGUUCGUAGGCACCGUCUAUGUUUAUCUUUAGUGUUCUAGCCUGCGGUGGGUUCCAAAAUCGUGACGAUCCGUCGCUGGUCUUACUAGAUUCGCUCGAUUUUGGGUUCCAUCUGUUGAAACUCUUCCACCCAGCUAAAGCAGACUCCACAAGGUUGCUUGGUUCUGGUUUUCUAUUCUUGAAGAUGGCCUGGCUUCUUGACUUCCAAAUAUUCCAUAGUACUGUAGUAAUCGUCUGGUUCGAGACUUGGCUUCUUGCAUCGUGAUCUUGAGUUCUCUAGCUCUCUUCUCUGCUAUUCUUCCAUUCACCAGUGUAAAAUAUUCGUAAAUUACCAUUUCUUAUGAAAUUUUAUCAGUGUGAUUAGUAAAUUACCAAGAUUAUCUAAAUUUGACCAACAUUCCAAUGAAGUAGUAAAUUAACUCACUUGAAAAUUUUCAUCAUUGUUGUAAGUAAAGUACUGAUAUCUUUAGAAAUUUACCAACAUGCCAUUAAAGUAGUAAAUUACCGAGUCCUACAAAAUUUUAUGAGCGUGGUAAGUAUAUUACUGACACAGUCUAAGAAUUUACAAACAUUACAUGGAAGUAUUAAAUUACCCACUCUCAAAUUUUCCCAGUGUUAAAUAAAUUACCAGCAAUAUCAAGAAUUCACUAACAUACGAGUCAAGUGGUUAAUUACCAAUUCUUAUUACCAUAAUCAUAAAUAAAUUACUGGCACAUACAAGAAGUUAACAACAUUUUAAUGAAUUAAUAUAUUACCAACUCAAAUUUACUUACCAGCACUAUAAAAAAAUAUACCAAUAUAUUAAUGAAGGAGUUAACCAACUCCUAUGAAAUUUUAUCCAAGUGGUUAGUAGAUUGCCAACUCUCAUCAUCAAUUGGUUUUACACUUUAUCUUAAGAUGAAGUUGAAAGCAACAUGAUCCUUGAAUUGCAUAAGGUGAUCAAAUCAUAAAGGCAAAGUCAUGGAGGCUAGAUUUAAACUACUUUAGCUCAUAGCCUUGUUCAAAUCCAAUUUGAACAUUGAGCUAUACUUGAAGUAAUGGCUAUAAUAUUGGCACUUAAUUUUUAUUUUAACACAUUAAAUGAAUAGCAGUGUAUCGGUAUUUUAUCUUCAACUCAGAAUUCCUAUAGACUAACGGUCUCACCAUGUCUGCAAGUUCUUGGCAGAAAAAAUUUCAACACUAUUAGUAUAUUGGAAAGUGGAGGAGCACGUCUCUAGGACCAAUAUAAAACGGAAGCAAUUUUCGAGCUUAGACAUGAGAGGAAUCUUCUUCUUCUUUUUUUCAUAAUAGUAGUCUAUGAAGUUGGAGCCCAGUGCUAAUACAAUAAUCAUUCAGUGUGGACAUCUUUAAUUUUGAGAUGCCUGACAAUGAUGGCAUGCGCCUCUCCUAAUUCUAUAGAGUAAUUACAGAGGAAGCUAAUACUCUAUGUCCAUUCUUUCCUAGAUAGAGCAAACUCUCAACCACCACAAUUAGAUUAUCAAACAAACAAAUUACAUUGGAAGCAUCCAUGAAAUGCUAUUGAACCUUAUAUAAUGCAUUGGAUGUUGAAUAACACGAAACCACACUAUUAUUUGGUUGUACAUUAUAUAAGUUCCAAACCUUAUACUUCGUUAACUUUGUCAAUGUCCAAUCAUGUUGCAAUAUCAUUUCGAAAAAGUACGACGUCGUCUCGUGUGGCAAAUUUAGUCAUCUCAAAGCUUCUAAUUGGUGUCUCACAAUCGGCCAUAUUAACAAGUAGAACACUCCAUCAAUACAAAUAAUUAUCAAUAUCACUAUUAAACAAAUGCACAAAAUCAUCCGGCAUACAUAUAGUUGCAUAAAAUAUGUUUGUAUGUUGCUGAUAAUAGAUAUUGAAACGAUGUUAAUAAUCAACUAAAAAUUUAGAAUUUACAAAUAUUCCGGUGUCACUAGUAAAAAAUACGUAAGGAACUCAUAACCAACUAGAGGAGAAAUACAAAAACGACUAUUCAUAAUCUGCAAUGAUCUUUCAAGCAAGUAAAUCGGUUGUUUCAUCAGCACGUUACUCACAAUCAUAAAAUCAAAACAAGGUUAAUAAUAUAGUAAGGAUUAUACUUCUAAAAUAGUUUUUUUUUUUAUAAGUUACUACCAUUAACCAAGACUACUGACAAAGCAUGCAAGCAACUCGUAGUUUACUACCAAAAAUACUCGCCCACAUAUAAAAGCAAACAAUUGCUUGUAAGUUACAAGAGUAUAUUCCAUAUGGUAAAUUGAUUAUUUGAUUCAUGUGGUAUUUACAAAUGAACAUUGCUACUCAUAAAUUCGAAACAGUGGUAGCACCAUAUUUGAAUUUAGAGGGGGUAAAAUAGGUACUUUGUUUGUAAGUUGGAACAUCAAUCAAGACUAUUAAUAAAGUAUGUAAGCAUUCAUAUUCUAUAAGCGAAAAUACAAACCCAUUUGUAAAAUAUAAAAGAAAAAAUGGUAAUCCACUAUUUGGUUUGAGGAUGAAAAAACUAUUUUUUUGAUAGCUUUUUAACAAUUGCCAAGAUUCACAUGUUAUCAAUUAAAUUUUACUUACCAGUGAUACUUCAAGUUUAUAAUUGGUUCUUCAAAUUUAGCAUGCAUGAAACAAAACUCCAUUUUUGGUUUACGGAAUUUUAGACACAUGUAAGAUUACAAACUACAACUAUCCCAUCACAUGAAUAGCUCUGGUUAAUUUUUUGAUCCAUUCUAGAGAGAGUGGCGGUCAUUUUUGCAGAAUGACCUUAAAGAAAAAUAAUUUAUGUUGUUGAAAUUCGAGAAGUGUGGAACUUUUCUUUUUUAAAAAGGAUGCUCUGCACUGUGUUAUGUCAAAUGAGAACAUGUUCACACUUUCCCUUAGAUUUAAAACUCCUAGGAAAUAAUUUAUGUUCUCAAGAUUUGAGAAGAGCGGGCUGUUUUUUUUUUUUUUUAAUGAAAAUUUUGCAUUGUGCUACAUUAAUGCUCUCCUCAGGAGAUUUAAUCUCCUUAAGGUGUUAAAAUGCCCCUUGAGAUUUAAUACUCAUAUAUUCACGUGCGUUGUCAACUUUGAUAGGCCGGAGUGAUGUUGCAAUGAAUCAUUCGUAUUGAACAAUUGUAGCACACUAGCCCACGACUCUCUACAUAUUUAGCUAAUUCGGAAUACUACGUUUAAUGACCUAUGGAGAUCUCCAUUACUUGUCAAUCAGGCUUCUAUACAUUUUCCAUCUCUAGCUGCCACUACUUUUGUUGAUAUAUUGUUCGGUAUUUCUUGAAGAUCAGAUCGAGUAAAUCAAUGGAGGGGAGCAUAGAAACACAACAUACCUAUAAAAAUGAUGGAAUAGCAGGGAGUGCUUCUUUUACUCACACUGUGACAGAAGAUCAGGGAAUGGUUAAUUCAUCAGGAUAUGCAUAUGAAGUAUUCUUGAGCUUCAGAGGAGAGGAUACUCGAACAGGUUUUACCAGCUUCCUUUACACUAGUAUGAUAGAGGCGGGAAUCCGCGUUUAUAAGGAUGACAAAGAGCUCUACAAGGGGAUAGAAUUUGGCCCGGAACUUCUCCAAGCAAUUAAUCAAUCGGAGAUCUCAAUACCUAUAUUUUCGAAAGGUUAUGCCUCUAGCGUAUGGUGUCUCAAGGAGCUAGUCCAGAUGGUUGAGUGCCAAAAAACUAGGGGACAAAAGAUCAUGCCCAUUUUUUAUGAUGUGGCACCUUUAGAGGUUCGACACCAAACUAGGGGUUAUGGAGAGGCCUUUCUUUCACAUGAAAAGAAGAAUCGAUAUGAUGAAGAGACUAUGCGUCAAUGGAAGGCUGCUCUGAGUGCAGCUGGGGCAAUAAACGGGUGGGAUUUGCACAACAAGACCAAUAGGUGACUACCUCUAUCAUUCCAUUUGAUAUGCCUUGUACCAUUAAAACUUUUAAUGUGGUUCAAUUAGUUUCUUUUCUAGAUUUGUGUUAGCCUUGUUGAAAUUGAAUUUUAUGCUAUUGAAAUUAUACUGUAGAAAUCACACGAAAUAGUGGUACAAUCGUAAUUUUGUCCUUUUUCAUUCCAAAUAACUUUUUUCUUUUUUCAGUUAAGGUCAUUCAUUAACCAUAUGUCCCAACGCUAACUCAUUUUCAAUGGAGUAAAUCCUUGUAGAAAGCAUUUCGAAUAGGUCUUUAGUUUUCACUUCGGUUUUGUGAGAACAUAGUCUGGUUUAAUACAUUUUUCUAACUCAUUGCCAUUUGACCUCCAACAAACACUAGGGAAGAAGGUGAGAUCGCAAAAACAGUUACCCAUAAGGUUUUCAAUGAGUUGAAGAAGGCUUAUUUGGUGGUAUCGAACAACUUGGUUAGUGUGGACCACCAUGUGGAUAAAAUCAUGGAAAAGAUAGGUGCUGACACAAGUGAAACGCGGAUUGUGGGAAUUCAUGGGAUGGGUGGCGUUGGAAAGACAACGAUUGCAAAAUUAAUCUACAAUGAGCUUUCCAAAAAGUACAACAAUCAUUGCUUCCUUUCCAACAUCCGUGAAACGUCAAAGCUCAAGGGCAUUUGUUACUUGCAGCAAGAGCUCAUCUCUAAAAUCCUUAAGAUGGAAAUACAUAUAAGAAACAUUGAUGAAGGGAUUGGGAUCAUUGGAAAAAGGUUUUCUAAUAAAAAAAUCCUACUUCUUCUUGAUGAUGUGGAAGAAAAGUGUCAUAUAAAUGCACUUGUAGGUGAGCGUGAUUGGUUUGGUAAAGGGAGCAAACUUAUUAUUACUACAAGAAGGAAAGAUGUUAUCCAUGUGCCGAAAGUGGACUGGAGGUAUGAGCUUACGAGCUUGGAUCCGGAUCUAUCUCUUCAACUUUUUAGCAAACAUGCCUUCAGAAGAGAUUUUCCUAAAGACGAGUAUAUCGACCAAUCCAAGAGGGCGGUACACAUUGCCGGAGGUCUUCCAUUAGCCCUCGAGGUCAUAGGCUCACUUUUAUCCAACAAAAAUAAAGAAAUGUGGGAUGCCACAUUGAAGAAGCUAGAAAGUAUUCCUGAUGAUGAAGUUCAGAGUAAGCUGAAAAUAAGUUAUGAUGCAUUAAAUGAUCAGCAGCAACAUAUAUUCCUUGAUAUAGCUUGUCAAUUCAUUGGAUAUCACAAAGACAUUGUGGUCUAUUUCUGGGAUUCAUCUGAACUUUUUUCGGAAGUAACCUUGGAAGUUUUGCAGAACAUGUCUUUGAUACAAAUUGGAAUAGAUAAUAAAUUGUGGAUGCAUGAUCAACUUAGAGACAUCGGAAGAGAAAUUGUUCGUCGAGAAAGUAAGAUGAAAUUUGAGAAGCGACGUCGUGUGUGGAAUCCCAAGGACGGAUUGGAAUUGUUGAAGAGACAUGAGGUAAAAUGCCUUAGCGUAACAAAUCUCCAAGUUACUUAUGAAAAUUUUCUAUUUUACAAAAAGGCAGUUACUUUUUCUGUUCUCUAGCACCAUCGCAACCUACUCAACCGAUAUUUUUGGUCUUUUAAGAUUUUAAAGGAAUGACAGUAGUCAACUUAACCCCUUAAAAUAGUGAACUUGAAGAAAUGUGUUUCCUUUUAACUUUUUUGUUUUAAAAUUUUUCCUUUGGGCAGGAAAAGAAAGAAGUUGAAGCUCUUCGUCUCGAGUUUGCUGAUCAGGACCGUUUUACCUAUGACGACUUUAAGAGCCUGCCAUAUCUAAUGUUCCUUGAAGUAUACGACUUGAAGGAAAAUUUUCGUGGAGAAAAGUUGCUUCUUUGGCUCAAAUGGCCAUUACAUGCUCUUCCAACUAAUAUUUUCCAGAGGAAUUCAGAUCUCCUUCCACAAUUACGAUGGCUUUCUUUGCAUAAUAUUCGCCCAACAUUUAAGAUUGCAAAUUUCUCUGUAGAGAAUUUGAUUGUCCUUGAUCUAUCUUGGAGUGAAAUUACUCAUGAUUGGAAGGGGUGGAGCCACAUGAAGGUAUGUUAUAUGUUAGACAACACUUAUUCUUCCAUCUUAUUAGAUUCAAAAGUAAACUUUGCAUGAUUUUUCUUUCACAGGUGAUUAAGAAUUUGAAAGUUCUAAAUCUGGCCCAUUGUCAAUGCUUGAGGAGAACCCCAAACUUCUCUGCUCAUUCAAAUUUAAAACAUUUGAUCCUAUCAUGGUGUGAAUCAUUAAUCAAAAUUGAUAGAUCAAUUUGUCAGUUGAAACGCUUGGUUUUCUUAGAUGUAAGCUAUUGUAGGAAUCUUCGGAGGUUGCCGGAUGAGCUAGGUAGAGAUCUUGCAAGCCUUGAAUACCUAUCUCUACGAUGUUGCGAGAGAUUGAAGAGGCUUCCGGAGACAAUUGGGAAUUUGGAAUUGCUGAUUAAGUUGGACAUAAGCAAAGAACUACCCGAUUCCAUCGAAAAAUUGAAGAAUUUGAAAGUAGUAGAGAUAUGGGAUAGUAACAUAAGCAAAAUACACGAUGCCUUUUGGACAAUGGAGAAGCUUGAAAAAAUAAUAUUUUACGACAAUGGUUAUCUUAAGGAGUAUUUACACGUGGAAAUUGGUGAUUGUAUCUAUGAGAAUAAAUUCUUGAGGAUCUUGAGAUUGGGAGGGGUGAGAAUACACGCCCUACCAAGGCUUCCUAAAAGUCUCGUCGAAUUAGAACUGAGGGUGUUGGGGGUGGACACGUUUCCGGAUCUCUCAAAUCUCGCUAACUUAAAGGUAUUGGAUCUGGGCUUUGGCCUUCCACCUAAUUGGGAUGGGAAAUAUUAUGGGCUUCUAGAAGAACCGAUACCACCGUGGAUUGGGAACUUAACCAAAUUGGAAUCUCUAAAACUGAGCAUUUACAGGGCGAGCGCCUCAUUGACAGACCUAAGCCUCCCUCCUCAUCCGCAUCGCCUCCCGAGGCUUCCCUCAAAUUUAUCCUCCUUACAUCUCUUUGGUUUCCACUCACUUUGCUCGAUGGAUCUAUCGAAUCUGAGGAAACUAUCGUCUCUCGAGAUUGAACAUUCUGCAGUUGCAGAGAUUGAAGGCCUUGGUUGUUUGGAGAACCUACGAGGUUUGCUCCUUUAUUUCGUCAAACAGGUGGCGAUGCUACCUGAUCUAAGCAAGUUAAACAAGCUAAGGCGUAUUCAAGUAAGGCAGUGUGAUAAUCUGGUCGAGAUUCAAGGCGAACUACCGCGGCUUUUGGAUGAUCUUACAAUUUGUUGCGAUUCGUUACAGGAGUUCCCCGAUCUGUUCAGCUUAAUGGGUAAGACAGAUGUUUGUAUGCAUAUUCGCAAUCAGUUGCUGCUUCGUAGCUUUGAAGAGAUGCUGCGGAUCCCUCAUCUAAGCAAUUGCUACAGACUAGACAUACUAAACAGACUAACAAUUCUUACAGUAGUAUCUUCUCCUAAUCUGGUUGAGAUUCAAGGCAAACUACCCCAAUCUUUGGAAAUAUUGUGGAUUCAAUGCUGCGAAUCUUUACAGAAGUUGCCUAAUCUAUCGAGCUUGAAGAGACUGCGAGAGGUUACAAUAUUACGUUGUGGGAAAUUAGCGGUGGAGGAAAUUUCUCGACUUUGCUCAAAGAAGUCAAUCAAAUUUGUGAGAGAAGACGAUGAAGAAGACAAAUUACCGCUUUGGGCAAGAAUACAAAGAUAUGAAAGAGGACGAUGGGCAAGACGAUGAAUAAGUGCACGUUGCACUUGGAAGCUUUUUGAUGCACAACCACAAAUUGUUCCCUUUGUGUUCAAACCUUAAACGAAUUGAGGUAAGUACCAAUGUUUUCUUUUUUUGGCAAUCAAAUUCUUUCACAGAUACGAACAAAGAAGUUUUGCAUGCACUUUUUAAUGACCUUUUAGCGGAUUCUUGUCUGAAAAUCUGAUGAAGGUAUUUAAAUUAUGAUGCCUCCGAACAGCCAGAGGGCUCUUAAUUAUGUACAAGUAUUUGUGUUCUUUUCCUUGUUUGGUUUGGCUUUUUUAGCUACAUUUUCUUAGGAUGGUUUCUCCUAGAGGUAUGCAUGUCGAUUGCAUCAUUUUUAUUUGAUAUGUAACAAAUUAUUAGAGAUCGUUGUUGAUUUCCUGCUUCACACAUAUUUUGAAAUUGAUAACCUCACUUCGCAUGGGAGAUAAAUUCGCUAUGCUGUAAACAAAUAGAUGGAAUGUGUGUUGGAAGGUCAUACAACUAUGGUUCUCAUCCUGGGACUUUACAGCACAAUCAACUCAUUGUUGCGACUUUGAAGUAGACAGACACUCUGUAUUGCCAUGCUUAAGUUCAGUUUAUUUUUCAGGAAAUGUGUGCUUCUUAGUGGGAUUUGCAAAUGUUAUGGAGAAGUCAUAAAUGAGGGAGCCACCGCAAUUCUGAGAUUACCAGUGUGGCAGCACUGGCUAAAGCAGCAGCACCAGAAUAUUUUAUCUCAGCAAUGAUGCCUUCAAUCAUAGCAAUCUUUGACGGGCACACCAACAAAAAUCAUUCUGUGCAGCAAACAUCGCCUACAGGAGUAACUGAGAGAAUGCAGCAUUCGCUGUACCAGUAGAGAAGGAACGCCCUUUUGCUGAGACUUGAGAAUUGCACUCACUUACAAAAGAUUGCUAAGAAAAAGAGAGCACCUUCCCUUGGGGCUGCCUUCAAUAAUAGAACCGUGCAUUCUGAAGCAAUAUUGGCAUUGAUUCUGUCAUGAGAUCCACUCGAUUCCAGGAAAACACUGGCACUGCCACCAAAGUUGGUCAUGCGUCAUACGCUACUCGCCACCUCAGAAGAACUUUCAUCAAGUAGUGGUGGCUCUUCCAUGUACGCAGAACCUUUUGUAGAACCUAGUGAUCAUAAAAGAAGAGCUUUACACAAGCCAAGCGUCAAUUUGAGAAAUUCUUCCAUAUUCUUCGCGUGUACAAACUCCAAAAGGAUACAAAUCCGCCAUACUACUUUCAGUUGAGAAAGCAACUUGGGAUCCAUUUCUGGACCCGAUGCCAGAGCCACACGCAGCUCAACAUCAUUCACAUUUGCACAAGACAGAUCACCAAGUGAAAAUCUGAAGCAGUGGCUGACUGUCUUUGGUUGUAGAAUCUCAGAAAUUUUAGUCAAGUUGAACUCUAUGAACAUCAGGAGGAGCUUCUGCGCACACAUUGGUAUCGGGGUCCUCAUCCUCAAUCAAGGUUGGCCAAAGAGGAAGAAAUUGCACCUAGGAUAUGGAUUUCAAGUCUGCCAGCUUAUGCUCUAACUUUGGAGUUUUGAUUAGGAAAACGAACAUCACAUCAAACAGAAUCUUGAGGGACAGAAAUCUGGCAUCACCAUCCUUGUUGCCCUGACACAGAACAUCUAGACUCAGCAUAAUCCCACAGAUGAAUACGUCAGAGCUUUCAGGAAUCCAGUAUGACUCCUCUGUGAUGGACUCAAUGCUUGCAUUUUGAGCUGGCAAUGCAAGUUCUAGGAACGGAUUGAUGUCGUGCUCUGGUUUUCUUUUUCAAUCCCGAACUGCUCUUGGAUUGUGUUUGUAAUUAGUGUGCUGAAUUAUGAUUCGUGUGAGUGCGAACCAUCUAAGUUUUGCCUGUCUAGUGUUUGGUGAUCAUGUGCAAUUUUGGUGUUUGAUGAAAUAAGCUAUGUGCUUGAGACCGCAUGUGCUGGAAUGUCACCUUCAAGAAGCACCUGAAGCAGAAGCUGUAGCGCAGGGUCUAUUGCGGCAGCUUCCUCUCUCUCCGCGCCACCACCAGCAAGGUACCUUCGCUUUCACCAUUAAUCUCUACCAUUGAUGUCCAGCUCAACCCGAUUGGCAAUUUAGUUGCCUUUGAUUGGGCUAGGACAUGAUUCGGUUUGAUUGGCUAAUCUAUGUCAAAACUGCGGUGGCUAUCGAUUUAUUACCCUUUUUUCCCAAAUUUAGCUUGCUCAAUCGAACUGAACGGCAGCAGCUCAAUGCUGCUUGGGAUUUCAUUUUUUCUAUUAUCACGGAUUGUUCUGUUCUGUGCUUCUGAUUGUAAUACUUUGAGCGUGUUUUGAGUAGAUUAGUCCAUGCUGUGAUUGAUGGUCGGAUAUAUGAUAGGUAAUGUCGUAUGAUGGCGGCAAGCAGUUGUUGGAAUGCAGGAUUUUGAAGAAUGAUGAAGUUAUCUAUUCCGGUGAGUCACUAAUGUUCAAUGCUUAUUUGGUCGAUGUUUGAGAGCCUGAAGGAGGGCAAAAGCCUCUAGAUGACACUUAUAUUUGCAGCCUAAUUAUUGUUUGGCAAUUGGAUUUAUAAGUUCCCUCUGCCGAGGGUAUUGUUUUGUCGUUUUGUAGGUGCAAUGUGAUGGAUGUGAAGUUCUUGGGUUUGGUUUGUUAAAGUUCCAAAUGGGUAUAUUUUACUUCUUGGUUGUCUUGGAAAAAAGAGCAUUGCUUGCAUGCAAAUACGCGCAGACCCUCCUUUGUGAUGCUUUGCUUGUUGUUCGUCUGGGAAAUUAAAUAUUUGUUCUUUUGCUUGCUUCAAACAGCUACUUGGGUACGGUUCAUGUAUCGAUUGAUUUAGAAUCUAGAUGUAAACAUUUGCAAUUGAUCUACUGUUGCUUUUGUUCAAUGUGCAACUGAUCUUUUGAAACUCCAUUUUUUUUGUUAAAGUUUUUCCUUUUGUUAACCUUACUUUCAAUCGAUGCAGAGCUUUAAUUGAGUUUCUGGAUAUGGGGUUCACUAUAAUUCCCUCUAUGAAUUACGAGGUGUGUUUUCCUUUUAGCUACUUAAAUCCUAUGGCAUGGAAUCUACAGUUGUAUUGCCUACGUAACUUUUCAUUUUCUGCAGAUGCUCCUAAUUCCUCAGAAACCGAAAAAGAAACACUGGUUAUUUUAGAAGAAACCGGUCGCUUAUGAUGUUGCAACCUGCCAGAAAAGGGAACGAAAUUUAUACCGUCCCUAUACCCUACAUAUAUAGAUUCUACAUCCCAAAUAGCACAGCUUGCUUUACAAUGCCUCCAAAUGACUCCUAAUGAGCAGCCUUCGAGGACUAAAGUCGUGGAAGAACUGGAAUCAGUAGACACUGGCAUCGCUAAUAGAAUAGAACGGGAUAGUUAAAUUCACUUAUUAUGUCAUUCUUACUUCAUGUGAUGUAAGUCAAAGUCUGUUGUUCCACACUUUUCUAUUUUUCCCAUGAAUAAUCCUGGGCUUUGAAUGUUCAUUUCUAUUGUACCCAGCAGUUACUAGGAGUUGUCUUCUCUUGCAAGUUCUUUGGAAUAUCCAUGACAUGUAUAUUAAUACAUGCACCGCUUUGUGAAGUGAGAUGUGAUUGUACUUAUGUUUAUGAGAGGAACAGUUCUUUAAGGCUAAUCCUUGAUCUUGUUGGCAAUCUGAGGUCCACAGAAGAAGUCCAUUGCUCUUCAAGAGUCUGAGCUCUUUAAUUUUCUUGCAUGCUUAGGCUUUGAACAUGAGCAAAAGCUCAUUUUGGUUGCCAUCACGAAUGUGUUUAUGUUGUGCUUGCUCUGCAAUCAAUCUCCAGGAAGUGCUAGGCGGUUCAGUCCAUUCUCAUAGUAUUUUUGAGCUAUGAGACAUGGUUGGGGAAAUUGAUGGAGUCAUUUAAGGCAAAGUGCUGCUCAGCUGUCCAUUCAGAAAGAGCAAGAUAUGACUUUUGGUGCUGUCAUGUUGCAGCUAAGACAUGUCUGUUUUGUGCUGAUAAGAGACAUAGUUCUUAUCAUAUGCCAGUUUUAGAUAAGACUUUCCAUAUGACAUCAUAAAUGACUAAAUUUAUAUUCUCAGUAACUUAGCCCAUUGGUUAUUGUACUUUCUUCACUGUUUGUAAAUCUGAGGGCCCUAUUAUUUUCGACAUUUCUCAUGUAAUUUUUUUUUUUAACUUGUUAAUAUGUCUCUUUUACAUCACUCUCAAUGCAAAAAUAUAAAAGUUUCCAUCAUUUUUUUGAAAAUUUUAAAUAAAUUAAAAAAAUUAAAUUGAUUACAUCAAACAGUUUUUGCGCAUUAAAUUGAUUACAUCAAAGAACUUUCCAAAUAUAUGUUUAUCAAAUAGUAUCUUCCUAAUGUUACUUCUCAAGUCAUUUUAAUUUGCAAAUUACCAAACAGUUUUUGCGCAUUUCACAGAACUCCUUUAGGCUAAAGCCUCUUCAUUAGCCAAAGGCUUUCCCCAAAAGCCAAAGCAAACGCACCCAUAAAUGGGUACUUGAAAUUGAGCUUUAUGCAGACCUUUUUGCUUGAUUGUUGUUGCCCUGCUAUGUGAUCCACUGUUUCAUGUAAAAAAGCGAUAUAGUCGUCAUCAUGGCUGAAGCGCUCUUGGAGAUCCGGCCUCAUGAAGUCAAGUUUAUCUGUGAGUGUAUAUAGUGCUGUGUGAUUGGUUCAUUUUUAUUUUGGAGUUACAUUCAAUUUGCGUUGCUUGCCUCCUGUUUUACUAGGCAAUAAGUGAAGGGGAUGAUAUUUCUUUGUCCUACAAUAGUUUGCUUGAGAAUUUGUGGUUCAACAUCGUAAAUAAUGGUAAAAGAAAUAUCUUAAAUAAGAGCUUUAAUGGUGAGUAUGAAUCGGUUAUUGGUCGCCCUGUUUUGGAUGUUCUUCUGUGAUGUAAAUGUGAAAUGCAUGUGAUUGUUCUUAUUAAACUGCACCGUACAGAAUACAUGGGGUGGGUUGUGUUCAAAUGCAUCUCCUUUCGGUUGAGAAAAGCAUCAUUUAGUCAGCUGUUUCGUGGGUGAAGUUGGAGAUAGAGGGGAUUCAUGAUUUCAGUGGAAUUUCUCUUUUGCUAGAUUGUGAGAGAUACUAGCUUUGAUUUAGCCUAUCUUAGUAUGGGAUGAGUUGAUUGUCGGGGGUGAUGAAUGGCAAUGCCAGUGAAUGCAAAGCUUUCCACUGUCUGUGGAGUAUUAUUGCUUAUGAGAUCGGAUAGUUUAUGGGACUAAUCAUCUGUUCAUUGAUGACUUCUUGUGGGAGAAACUUAGAAAAUGGUUUUGGAGAUAGUGGUUCUAAAGGGAGACAAGGAGCUUGUCAGUACUCUUAGGGGCUUCAAUGUGUACGUCAACAUGGUCCUCGAGGAUGUUACUGAGACGUAUGUAUCUCUCUCUCCCUCUCAAAUUUACUUGUGCUUCAAGACGCUUCUUGCAUUACUUUUGGGGUGAAGGGAAGCCAUUUUAUGUUCUUGACGUCAAUUUAUUAUCUGAAGGGGCAAAUGACCUUGAUUUGUAUGUAUUAGCAUUGUAAGUUAUCAUACCCGUGGUUUUUGAGGCCUCUCUGUCCUAAAUUUGAUCUAUGCUUCUAACUGAGAAUCGGUACUCGCACAAGCAUCUGCAAUUUGGCCUUGCUCAACAUCCAACGCCCCCUUUUUCUUUUCUCUCACUCCACUUUUUAUUGAGCUUGUAGAUGUAAACUGUGGAAGCUUCAUGUGAUUGUAAGAUUCUGUUUUCAUUCUUGCAUACAGUGAAAUCACUUCUGAAGGACGAAGGAUAACAAAGCUCGAUCAGAUUUUGCUUAACGGAAACAACAUAGCUAUCGUAAGAAACAACUUCUUCCUUCUACUGAUAUUGAUAUGGCUAUAUGUUUUGAGCCCUUGCUUUGAUAAGGCCAUGGUCUUGCCUAAAGUUUUGGUAAUCUAUCAACUAGUGAGCAAUUGCCUUAACCAAACAGAAACAAUCAGCCGCUCUGAGAGAUUUCUUCUGAUAAGACUCAAAAUGCUUAGACAAUGUAUUGAUGUAUGCAAAUAAAAUGCAUACAUUGCAGUCAAUCCUGCAGAAUAUAUUAUGACAUAUCCUCCUGAAUCAAUGCCUUUGCUUGCCAAUUUGCAUUGCCAUUCUCCUAAAAAUCAUGAAAGGUUUGCUAGGGAAGGAGCUCAUUGCUUCUUACAAAUUCAUCGGUCCUUUGAUUCAUCUUGGAAUUGCAUUCCUCAUGAAAUGGAAAUUCUAGAUUCAAUGUUAAGAUUAAGUUUCAUCCAAAAUUGGAUUGUGAUAUUCCAAAUGAAUCACGUUAGGCUAGUGAUGCUUGCUGAACAAUGUGUAAAAAUCACAAUGAUUAAGAAUGAAAAUCACUAGAUUUCAAUUUGGAGUAGUGAUUGAGAAAUCAAACUCUAACUCUCGGCCUCUAUUCCAACCAUCUCAAUUAAAGUAUGGCUAGUACGAAUGUCGGGACUCGAUUUUAUCGUUUUACUUCUCCUUUGGUAAAUUUAGAAAAUCACUCGACACUUAUGCAUCCAAAAGACGGUUAUGCAUCCAAAAGAGGUGUUGCGAGUAAGGUAUCACAUUCGCUUCAAAUUAGUUUUUCGUAUUACAAAACUCCCAAAACAAUAUAUCUGUCUUACAUUUAUCCUCAAAUUAAUUUUGGUUUAACUAGCCUAACGGGAUUCACGAGAUUAUCUCUUCGGCUGUCCCGAACCACGGGAAGAAAAAGACUGGAUUUUGGAGAAAGAGGAGGUUUUUAUAGCGAAACACACUUGCCAACCUACUUCAGAACCUAAAAAGAAAAAGCACACUUGCCAAUCUACGUUAGUUAAAAGAGGACCAAAAUAUUAGGAAAUUCCGAAAAGUUUUCAGAUGCGCCGGCGUCGUGGGGGUAGUCGGAGAUUAUCUCUUCGGAUAGGGCCCGUCGGCGGGCGACAAGACGCCGACGGGACGGCGGUGUGAGGUGGCGGAGCUCGGCGGCCUUCUUGAAGAGGCCCUUUGCGCCUCUUUGGGUAGGCCACGAUUCCCUCGGCCGAAGAGAUAAUCUCUCACUACUUCCGCCGCGGCGACGGCGACGGCGACGGCGACGUGGUGCCUCCGAUGGGUGUGACUGGAUUGAGGCUGGGUGGGACUCUUGCGCGACGGAGGAGGACGGGGAGUCCCUGAUCGGCGAAGUAUGACGCCGUUCGUGAUUUUGUACGCAAAGAAAUUGGAAAGAUCUGGGAAGAAUUCGUCUGCGAUGAUCGGUGCUGGCGAAGAUUCCGGAGCUGGGUUUGGUUGUAAUUCUGAAAUUUCGGCCGAUCAAGAGAUGGGUUCCGUUUUUGAGAGCUUCAAAGCUCGUUGCCAGGCUCUAUUCGUGGACUUGCGUUGGAGAUGGCAACGGCUUCUUGACUUCGCCGGAUAACUCGGCCAUCGGCGGUGGAAGCUCGGGAGAGGAGUCGACGCUCUGCGAUGAAGGCUAUGGAUAUAAUCCCGACCACUUUCUUACACUUGAAGAUUUGGAUGUUUUUCUGUGAUGUAAAUGUGAAAUGCAUGUGAUUGUUCUUAUUAAACUGCACCGUACAGAAUACAUGGAGUGGGUCGUGUUCAAAUUCGUCUCUUUUCAGAUGAGAAAAGCAUCAUUUAGUCAGUUGUUUCGUGGCUGAAGUUGGGGAUAGAGAGGAUUUAUGAUUUCAGUGGUAUUUCUCUUUUGCUAGAUUGUGAAAGAGACUAGCUUUUAUUUAGACUGUCUCAGUAUGGGGAUGAAUUGACUGUCAGGGGUGAUGAAUGGCGGUGCCAGUGAAUGCGAAGCUUUCCACUGUCUGUGGAGUACUAUUGCUCUUUAGAUCGGAUAGUUAAUGCAACUAAUUAUCUGUUCAUUGAUGACUUCUGUGGGGAAACCUCAGAAAAUAGUUUUAAAGAUGUGGUUUUUAAACUGAACUUACAACUGUGAUGCACGUCUUGAGGGAACAUCAGACAGUUUGUGCUACAUAUCUUUCGGGUAGUAGGAAAAAGGUAAAAUUUCUGAAGGAACACAAUUAAAAGCAUUGAUUUGGAAGUCCUGUUAUAUGCAGUUCCUUUCGUAUCCUUCUCAAUGGACUUUGGUAUAGACAAAUAAUUGGGAGAAUAUUGUUCGCUUGCCUUGCCUUUAUCAUAAUUAUCUAUACUCCUGUAAGCAUCUUAAUGACAAAGAUCAUCAUAUACUUUACCAUGCCAUCGGUUGCUCAUUACGCUUUUAAGGGGUCUGUCUUUCAAGGGAUCAACCCAGUUCCAUCAUCAAAGGCAUUGUAUUGGAAGGCAGAUUGCAGUGCCUGUAUGUUGCAGAUGAUAAAGUGACUGUAUUGGAGUCAAAGAAGUGGGCUUGGGAGAAUCUGCUAGAAGCUCAGGCUAUCAGGGAAGCUGUAAAUCCUUGGAGAAAUCAUGAUGCAGAAGCAAAAAAGAAUUCAUAGUGCCACCAUUGUUGAGUUUGUACCUGGUAUAAUUUCUUCUCAAACGCUCUCAUUCAACAAGGAGAGAACUUUCUGUAAACCAUGCUCUUGAUGGAGAAGUUUGAUAACAUUCAAAACAAAUAGGUCUAGGUGGUGGAGCUAUUUUGCUUAACUCCUUUUAGUUAAUGUGUAAUCCAUGUAUUUAUGAGACAUUUUGGCAAUAGGUCUUAAUGCCUCUGGCUAUUAGACUUGUGCAUUGUAAUUGAUGGGAUGAUCACACAUUAGUUUAUUGGAUUAUGUUUUAUUCCUUUUGCCCUUAUAAGUUGGCAAAGAGUACCUAAAAUUGGAUGACCAUAUGUACUGAUGCUGGAAGCUGUGAGUGAACUUUUAAACAACUGAGAUCGUGUUUUGGAUGCUUGAAUAUUGUCUGCAGUACGCCAGACACAUAUCUGCACAUUGCUCCUCUGUCCUGGAAUGAAUUUGGAAUAUCCUGAAAUGUUUUGAGGCAAUUUUGUAUUUGGCUGCUUGGCAAUUAAUCUCCUGUUCAGUGAGUGAGAUUUCCUGUAUGUGAGUUUUGGAAAUUAUACGUUUUCUUGGCAUUGUUCAGUAUGCGCUUCCCUGAUCAUUGUCCAAUGGCUGUUAAGAGUUGGCUGCUUGCUUGUCGCAUAUGGCGACAUGGAUUGCAUUUUUUUUUUUUUUUUUGCGCUUCCAGAACUCAGUAUCUUUCAUGUGCUUUAUAGAUAUGAAUGACCGGAGUUCGGACUCUGUCAUGUGCAUUUCUCUCCGCAGUUUUAUUUAUUUUGCAUGGUGUUGGAUUGGGAAUAUUCGUGUAGGAAAAUUUUUUAUGUCUGAAUGGCAAAUUUACUAUCAUUUACUACUGGGGCCAAAUUUUCCUCAAGAAUGUCAAAGCAGCAGUUCUAUGCAAUCAGGCUAGUAAACGUAAUUACUCAGGAAUUGUGAAGAGCCGGUUACUUUGUUGAGUUUCGUGUUCUUGUUAUUCUUUUUAACUCAAGCAAUUGUUUAGGUCAAGAAUGUGAUGCCUUUAGAUGAUUCAGAAUUAACACUUAAAGAACCAGGAGUCACAGAAAAUUUCUCGCAGCAUUGGUCAAUGACCAAUCUUAAUUGAGCUGAUAUGUAGACUUUAUUUGGUGUGCAAAAGCUGAUGAAUGGUGUAAUUUGAUCAUAUCCUAUCUCUCACAUAAUGACCAAUCUUAAUUGAGCUGAUAUGUAGACUUUAUUUGAUGUGCAAAAGCUGAUGAAUGGUAUAAUUUGAUUAUAUCCUAUCACCUCACAAAUGUGAAAAAAGUCGUGACGAAAAAGGAUUUUGAUUAGAUAAUGUGAUUACAUCCUAUCACUAUUCUUUCACAUUCAGAUCGAUUUAAAAUUGUCUCUUUUCUACUAAUCAUGUGAAGCAACGAGUGUGUUGCAAGAAGAGAGUUUAUGAUUAGAUGCUACUGAUCAUUCGGAUAGCUGGCUUCUGGGGCAAGGAAGUUUGCUUAAGAGGGGAGAAAUAGGAAGGUCGCUAUAAAGAGGGGAGAAAUAGGAAGGUCGCUAUAAUUAUUUAAUGUGAGGUUAUGCUAUUUUGUGGAAAGAGUAAGAUCAAAAUCAAUCAAAGUGACAUUAUGGACUUGCCUUUGCUGCUUAAUCGUACAUAGCCCCAAUAGUUUGUGACAAAAUUUGCAUGUAUCGGUUCUGUCGAUCUUAUACAGUUAGCAUCUUCUAAUCUACGACAACUUAGGCCGAUGUUUUGCAUUGAAUAGCGGCGACAUACGCUUUACUUGGGAUACUUGGUGAGUACACUCGUGGCUGAAAUGCCAUUAUCACGUGUUGCCUAUUGAGCGUUUUGGGCUAGGCAGAAACAGUUGGAAAACCUGCGGGAUCGACAUCUGAUAUAGUGUCUGGAUUGUUCAAGUAUGACUAAGCCAUCUCGCGGUUCAUAAUUGCAAUUUAGAAUCGAAAACUAAGUGGUAAUCCCAUCUUUUUAGCCAUUGAACAACUUGAGUCCUGUCAUAUGUCCCGAUCCCUGAAUCUUUUGGGAGCCAUUGAAUCCAAAGGAGAGGGUCUGAAGAACCAAAGAGGGACAAGUUAACAAAAGCAACUUUAUUUGUACGAGAUCUCGACAAAACACAAAUUAGCUUGAUCAGUGGCUAAGUAGCAUCGACACACAACAGUCUUAUUAUAACUUCGUGACGGUGUUUAAUUGAAAAAGCGAACGGGAUUAUCCUUCACCAUCGUGCUCCGACGAAGAAACAUGUUAGAGAGAAGACCUCUCUCCGAGGGACGUGUACACGUGGUGCGUUUAACAAGAAUUAGCUUCGACCAAGCCCUCAGCUGCUGCGCUCAUCACAUUGAGGAGCCCUCUCGCCGGCCAUCAUAUAGUCGGUAGGUCUCUCGCGCCCUCAGAAUCGUGCCCGCAUGACAUAACCAUUUUUCAGUUGAUCAACGUGGUCCGGAUACGAGGACAACCGGCCAUCGGAUAUCAGGAUAGCACUGGAUCGCAACUGAUUUUUUUUUCUAUGGAACUUUGUCAUUACUGAUCAAAGAGAAAAAGGCACAAGAUAGCUAUACUGGGUUUUCUCUGCAGUAAGCCAAAAAGAAUGUGAAGUACAUUUGGAGGGGAAACUACAUCAAGAACGAUGCCAAGAGAACAUAUAAAUUCCAGAAUCCGCAUACAGGAAAAUCUCACUCACCGAGCAGGACAUUAAUUGCCGAGCAGCCAAAGACAGAAAUUGCAUCAGCACAUUUCAGGAUGUUCCAAAUUCAUUCCAGGACAGAGAUGGCUGAUGCACAGAUGCAGUCUGGCGUAAUUUUAAAUUUUAUUUUUCCUGCAGACAAAGUUCAAGCAUCAAUAAUACGAUCUGUGUGUUUAGAAGUUCACAUCUUCAUCUCACACUCAUCCAGCUUACAGUAUCAUGUAUAGUUGUCCAAGUUUAAAUGCUCUUUGCCCACAUAUAAAGGCAAAAAAGAUCAAAUAUAAUCAAAUAAAACUAAUGUUUGAUCAUCCUGCAAUCACCCCUCGGUCAUUCAAAAAGAAAGCCACAAAUUGGGCGAACGUAAUGGUCAAAAUAAGCUUGUGCACCAGAAAGGCUGACCACCAAUAGUACCACAAUGUCUAAUAGCCAGAAUUCGUAAGACCCAUUGCCAAAAUGUUGCAUGAGAAACAUCAUUUGCACACUAAAAGCAGUUAACCAAGAUUUCUCAACCAUGUAGACGUAUAUUUUCUAUAUGUUAUCAGACUUUUUCAUCAAGAACAUCGUUGAAAGAAAGGUCUAGUGAUGUGCAACAAGAGCAGUCGAGAAAAAAAUCAUACCAGGAAUAACUCAACAAUGGCAGCACUAUGAGUUCUUUUUGCUUUCUGCAUCACGAUUCCUCCAAGGAUUCAGAGCUUCUCUGACAGCCUGAGCUUCCGGCGAAUUCUCCCAAGCCCGCUUCUCUGACUCCAAUUCAGUCACUUUAUCAUCUGCAACAUACAACCACAUUAAUAUUUCUUGGUUAAUACAGAAAGACAGACCCUUUGGUAGUAAAAUAAGUAACCAAUGGCAUGGGAAAGAAUCUGAUAAUCUUCGUCAUGAAGAUGCUCACGAGAGUAUAGGUAGUUAUGAAGGCAAGGCAACCAAACAACAUUCUCACAAUCUUUAGUCUAUACCAAAGUCCAUUCAGAAAGAUGCAAGUGAUGAGAGCUCAUCAAUCUUCAAUAAGAUCACAAAGGAACUGGAAAUCACUUCAUCUAAUUGUGUUCCUACAGAAAUGUUAACUCUUUGAUUAUACCCUGAAAGAUAUGAAAUAGCUGCAGAACAAUCCGCUUAAUGUUUUCCUGAGAUGUGCAUCACAGUCGUAAGUUCAAUUUUGAAACCAGUCUCCUCAACGACUUUUCAGAAGUUUCUCCCACAGAAGGUAUCAAUGAACAGAUGAUUAGCUGCACAAGCCAUCCAUUCUCCACAGACAGUGGAACACUUCGCAUUCAUAGGUAUCGCCAUUCAUCACCUGAGACAACAUUUUUUCGCAUCAUGCUUUUCGUGCAGAACAGCGAGAAUUUUCAGUUCAUCGGCAUAACACGACGGUCCAAAUCAAAGCCCUCCUCUUUCACAAGCUAGCGCCUGCAACAUACCAAGCGACUGCGACAUACCACUGAAAUCAUGAAUUUCCAUCCUACCCCCGACUUCAAUCACAAAGGAACUGACUAAACGAUGCUUUUCUCGUCCGAAGAGACGAAUUUGAACACGACCCAUCACCGUAAAUCCCACUCCCAUUCGACUAACGCAAUAGCUGCCGCACUAGCAUCGCUCGCGAGCUCUAAAGCAAGGUUCAUCAGAUAAAAAUUGACUCCAACUGCUUAAUAGUACCUAAAAACUAUCCAUUUCGAAGUUAUACCGCGCCAAUUUUUUUGGGGUACGAGCUACCCAAAAGAGAAGCGGAAAAAGGUCGAAACGAAAAGAAUAGGCAGGAAUGGCGAAGGAGGAGCAAGAAAGAGAUGGAGGGUCCUCACACAGAAGCCGGUCUUGAUCAUGAACAACUCCAUGGAGCCUCCGACGAGGGCCGAGAAGACCGCGAUCUUCACGUACCAAUCAAGAAACUUCACCGCCAUAUCGAAAGCUUCCGCUCAAGCUUUCCGCGGCAGCGGCUGGAAGACGGGAAAACGAAAGAAGGGUCGGUAAGAAAGAAAGAGAAGGAAUAGGUAACUUCACGUAGAGAGAGAAGACCCAUCGAGGCCCAUCAUCGGCCAACGCGGCCCGACCAUUUCCCCUCUAAAGAAAGCUUCUUUAGCUGUUGGGUCAGGAAUUUGGGCCUUUGGCCACUUUUAGUGCAGCUCCUUGCAUCAAGAUGCAAUCUUUUCGUCUUCUCUUCUCGUCCCGUGCGGUUCUGCUGCAUGUCGUGCUGUGGAUGGCUAGGAAUCAGACCUUCUAAGGGAGAAACCGAUACGGCAAAAGCUCGUCACGGCAUGCAUAUGAUCUUCUAGGAGUAUUUCCGCCCGGCAAUGAUAUUCGAUGCUCGAUCUAAUCUACAUUUAGGACAGAGGUUCGAGCUCGGCGAUUCUGGAACUGCUUGAGUUUUGGCAAAUUUCACUGAGCACUUCUCAGCAACUAGCAAGCAGAGUCUAUGUCUAUCUUGAAGGUGAUAGCUUCUCUGUUAUUGAGCCUCUGACCAAUCUGGAAACACCUCCAUUCUUGAACUCGGUCAAAUCGAGAAGCUCUCAGCAAAAUCAAGUGCUGGGGACUCAAUUCCACACCAUGAUCACUGAUCAGAGCUAAUCUUAUCUCACGAAAUCUUGCCCACCUUAUAUCCACCCCUUACCCUUUCAUUCCUUUUUUCAGUGAAAUAGAAUGACUGUAUCUGAGGUAGUGUCACUAAAGCACUAAAGAAGCAACCCUUUCGAGCACAAAUCCACUGAAUGUUCAACAAGCACCCUAAGCAUUGCGACCCAAGGGACUAGCCAAUUCCAAACACGAUAGCGACUAGUCAGUCCUGCAUAGCAUCUACUGGGGCACAAAAGAGAAGGACUUCAGCAUCGGUACUGUUCUGGGCACUGGCAUCUACUUUCUUGUCCCUGUCAAUAAGCUGCACCAUAAAUUCAGAUCUCAUAUGAGAUUGGUGGGAUUAUCUACCAAUGCAACUCAGGAAGGACAAAGCGACGAUUCAACCGCCACUAUCAAGCUAAGCAUCUGCAAAUAUUAUUGAAUAUACUCCCAUUCAUUGAACCCUUUAUUUAUCUUGUUAGAUAUAAAGUGUUUCGGGAUCUUAAUCAUGAUCUUAUCUAAUGGACGCUCAUGAGGUAUUCACAGCGAUACAAGCCCAAAUAUCAAUAGCCUCAAGGCCCUCUUCCCAUUGCAUGCCUUGAACCUCUCGUUCCAAUUCUUCCUCCUCUCUAAACUUGAAUCCGAAAAGCGAACAGAAACUGUGGUCAGCCAACAGAACCAUAGGUGAACACACAACUUAUUGGAAAGCAUCAUAAAAAUUAACCAAAUGCAAUUACAGAUGACAAUGAUCCUGCUUCAACAGGCUUUGGUUUCAUCUAAUUUGGAAAAGCUUUCCACCUUAUUUCGUGAGACCACGAGUCAUUAUGCGUUCCUUUUAUGGAAACUAAUCGCAUCGGAAUUGCAAUAUGCAAAUUGAGAAUGUAGGCUUAGACAAGUCGGGAUUUUUUAAUUAUUUUUCAGUUCAACAACCGCAGACAGGGUCAGUCCAAGUGAAUGCAGGGGAUUCAAAUAACUCCAAGAGUACCGUCACAGUAAUUUACCCAAAUAAUUGAACUUUCACCCUGCACCUUGCAUGGAAGGGUACAAUAGUAUACUUUCAGCAGUCUCUACACUGUAAAUACAGCAUAAACAGAGGAAUUCGCCGUAAAGAUUCAUCGGAGCUGUGGUUUUAUUAACAUGAAUAUAAUCAAAUUGGAUACAACAUUACUGAGCUUCAGGGACCUUUCUGAAGGGUAUUAGGAGGCGAUUGUUAUCUGGCUCAUUGUCGUAACAUUCAAAAUAUUGGCAUAAGUUCCUGUAAAUAAAUCCAGCCUCAGCAUUGAAUUGAUUUGCCGUCGCAAUUAGGAACUUCUGAGUAGGUGGCAGGCAAGAAUUGUAGAACGGCUAUACAUAGCUUACUUACAUCUCCUUUUUGUCUUUAAGUACAAUGCUGCAUGUCUUGGACUCCAGAUCAGCUAACAACUCCCCCAGCUUUGUCAUCGUUCAAUUCACUUCCUCCUCGACUCUCACGAUUUUUCAGUCUAUUUUGACAAGGACCAAGUCUUCGCUUUCUUUCCUUUCCUCCAACUACACCUUUCAAAAUCUUAUCACAGUUAUUUGACAUCACACAAUGUCCUUUGGAUAUGCAAAUAAUGAGUCUAAACAUCCACAAACAGAUCCAUUACGGAAGAAAAAGAAAUGAAGGGACGAAGUUUAUCACAUUUGCUUCUGAAGCCACACCAGCACACGAUCUGAUUUUAGUGUUGGUAACAUCACUUAAGAAUCGUGAUCAUACUUCCGCGCGGAUUACUGCUCGAACAGGUUCGCUUCCAUACGAACUUCUUGUGUUGACAUAUGAUCUUCAGUUAGUAUAUUCAAUGUUCAUUACUCAUAAUGCGUCAUGUGUCUGGUCAUCUUGUUGGCUUGACAAUAUAUCAGAUUUUGGCUUGAUUGAGAUUAUGUCUCCCUGUAGUUUUUAAAGUGCCCCCUAAAAUUAGAAAAAAAAAUGACUAAAUUCCACUGAUCAAGAAAGUGAAAAGGAAAGAAACAGAGAGAGCCAAUGCCAUUAAACCAGUGAACUGGAAAAAGAGAUAUUGAAUUCUGUACAAUGCAGUUUAACAAGAAAAACCACAUAUGUUCACAUUUGCAUCACAGAAUGACAUCCAGAUCUUCAAGUGUAAGAAAGUGGUCAGGAUUAUAUCGAUAGCCCCCGAGGUCGCAAUGCAUCGGCUCCUCUACCGAGCUUCCUCCAUGGAUGGCUGAGUUUUCCCGCAAAGCCAAGAAACUGUCACGGUUACCGUCACCGAAACAGUCCUCCAAGAGACUACGAAUCUCGGCAGGACAAAAUCCACACCCCUCAAGGUCACAGUGCAUCGGCUCCUCUGCCAAGCUUCCUCCGCCGAUGCCUGGGUUCUUCGGAAAAGUGAAGAAAUGUCAAGGUCACCAUCGCCGAUGCAGUCCUUGAACGGACUAAGAAAUUCAUCAGGAUUAAAUCCACACCCCUUGAGGUCGCAGAGCAUCGGCUCCUCUCCCGAGCUUCCACCCCCCAUGGCCGAGUUCUCCGGUAUAGUCGAGAAACUGUCAUGGUGGCCGUCACCGACGCAAUCCCCGGACACACUAAGGAAGUUGUCCGUCCGGAUUACAUCCACGCCCCUCAAGAUGGGAGCAGGUUGGGGUGGAGUCCACUCCCAAACCCCCACCGCCGGCGGCCGACUUCUCCGGCGAAGUCAAGAAAGGGUCGCCAUCGCCCAAAUUUUCAGAAUCACAACCAAACCCGUCUCCAGAAUCGCCACCAGAACCGAUCACGACGGACGAACCCUUCUCCAGAUCUUCCAACUUCUCGCCCACAAGAUCACGAACGGCGUCGUACUUCGCGAUCAGGGACUCCACGUCCUCCUCCGUCGCGCAAGAAUCCCACUCCUUCCCAAUCCACUCCGCCCACUCGGCCAAACCCAUUGGCGGCACCGCGUCGACGUGGUCGGCAAUUACGUCAUCUUCCACGGAGGGGUCGCUGAAGAAAGAACAGGGCUUCCCGGCCGGGGAGAAGACGACGACGGCGGCGCGAGCGCCGCAGAGGCGGCAGAGCUCGGAGGCCUUCUUGAAGAGGCCCUUGCGCCUCUUCGAGUAAGUCACGAGCCGCGCCGCCGGGUCGGCGAUCUUGGCGAUCUCCGUUCGCCGGCGCUUACCCAUUACCGAUGGAUUUCGCGAAAUUUCUUCAACGAAUUGCGGGAUUCUUGGGUUUCCGAGAGAGAGCUUUCGUGGGUUUUUCUGGGUUUCUUGUAUAGAGAGAGAGAGAGAGAGAGAGAGAGAGAGAGAGGGAGAGGAGGAGAGAGAGGAAGUUUGAAGUUGCAGAGGAGGCGGGCGAGGGAGAGGAGCCGAACGGGAAGAUCUACUUAUAUAGCCAUCGGGGGGCCCUCUUGAGAACUUUCUGAAUUCUGAUUUUUGGUCCUCUAAAUUUCUGUCAAUUUUCAUAUUGGCCCCGCCAACAGUUUAUUUGUGUCGAUUAAGUACUCUUAAAUUUUCGUAAUCUGUGUAAUUGGUGAUUUGUCCAGUGGAUUGCUUUCACCAUUGACACGGUGUGAUAAUUAAUUGAAUUAGAUAAGCGAAGACGUCGCUUUAAAUUAUAAAUUUUAAUUUUUAAACUAGAUAAGUAAAGACGUAGCUUUAAAUUAUGAAAUUUAAUUUAACAUGAGAUGAGGGAAAACAUCGAGAGGUUAAGCGAAAGAAGCUUGUCAUCAUGAAGUUUUCAUUGAAAGUUUUUAAAAACAUUUUUGUCCAUUCAAUAACAUUUAUUCUAUGGUUUUUUUUUUUUUUUAUGAUCCGGAAACCACCGUACAAUUGGCAGCCGGCAACAUAAACCCAGGGCAUUAGCGCGGGGAUCCACCUCCCACGGCAACCCACUUAAGUCACGCAAUGGGGGCAAGAAGUUUCGAACCUCUACCCUCCCGGAUGAGGGAUCAAAGUGCAAACAUACUCGUCCACCGCGAGAUUUUUUUUUUCUUUUAACUCUUUUCAAAUACUUGGAAAUAGCUUGCAACUAGUCAAAGCCAUGAACAGUUCAGAACAAUUGAGUUGGGAGACUCAACCACUUGUCUGCAAGUAUAAGGACAGAAUAAGGGCCUUCUCAAAUAUUCAAACCAUACAUUGCUUUAGAGAGACCAACCUUAUUGUGGAUUGGAUAACCAAAACCCAUAAAAAAAAAAUUACUUAUCUCUAAAUUGGGUCUUGUCCCCUCCUCAAACUUUGUUGGAGCUUUUAUGUAAUGAUGCCCAUUUAACAAGCCUUUCACCUUUGCUUAGUAAAUGAAAUAUAUCCGUUUCCGACCAAAAGAAAGAAAAAAACUUGGAAACAGAAAAAUCUUUGGAUAAAACAUAUGAAGAAGCUAUAUUGUAAGAAAUUUCUUACGUUGCAACAUUUGAUUAAAGGAAUUUUUUUUUGAAGAUAAAGUACACUUUAAUUGAAAAUAUCAUGCUCGAUUAAAAUAUUUGCUCAAAUGUAUAAACUAUAGCAAUGGGUAAUACUAUAUUUUUCCUCCUGUCAUGGAUCACAGUGCUAUAUUAGACAUCAUGUAGUAAACAAAAUAGACAAAGCCACCUAUAUCUCUAAAUAACAUGUAAAAUUAAAUUCAUAUUAGAAUAUAUAAAGAAAUAACGGUCUCAUCUUAUUAGAAUUAAAAAGAAUUACACCAUACACUCCCAUUACAAUCCAACAAAAAAAAUAUAGUUUAAGUGCUAUAUUUUCCCCUAUCUAGUUAUAAAUUGUGGACAUCACUCACAUGCAAAGUAAAUAGAAUAUUAAUAUAGGUGAUGUCUAUGGUUGUAACUCAUCAAUCAACUUACAUAAUUCACAAGCUUUUAACUUUUUGCACAAGAAUGGUAGUAAGACCAAUUAUAAAAUCUGAAUUCAAUUCUAUGUUUUAGACCUAGUAGGAUUUUGGCACAAAUAUGGAUAGUAUAAAUUUUAGACAUAUCUAUGAACUCAAUAAAUCUCAGCUACUAGAUUUUCUAACCUCGCAUGGAAUCCGUGCGAUCAAGGCGACUGUAAAUUGCACCUGACACACUCUUGUGAUCAAGCUCUCAAUUUUUCACAAAGAUGGGCAAUUGACAUUUACACACAUGUCUUGUGUGUUAAAGUUUUGAGAUAGACUUUUUUUUUUUGUUAGUCAUACUCUACGCAUACUCUAAUACUUACGCUUAAACUUUUGCUCAACCUUUUUGCAAGGCAUGAGAAUCGAAAUUCAUAUUUGAAAUUAAAUUGUCCUCAUCUAGAAAGCACCAACAUUUUUUUAGAGCCUUUGUGUUGUAUUGGACACUUCAACAUAUGUCUGAAACUCUCCAAUAAUUGGUCAACAAAUGUCGAAAAAUUUGAUAUUUGGUCAACUCUCCUAACACUCUAGUACGCGAAUCAAGAAUUCCGACAAUGCAUGAGUCAAUUUAAAAAAUUUUCAAUAAACAAUGGAUCAAAAUGUAAAUGUGUGAAAAAAUAACAAAGCUAAUAAAUAGGAAAAGAAGAAAAUUCUAGUUUUAUCUUUCUUUUUUUUUACUCUCACUUCCCAUGACAUACAAUUCACUUCCAGUUUUUUCUCUUCUCUUUCAAUAUGCUCAAACACGUGAAUCCAGAACGUGGAUUGUUUGACUUUUUUCUCUAAAUUUUAUGAAUUAUUGGAAUGGAUUUGAAUUUGCAAAAUUAAAACAAUUGAUGAUAUUAACAAAUGGUAGAUUAAUAUUUUUAGUGUAAAUUCAUUCUAAGCUUUUUUUAUUAUUAUUUAUUUAUUUGUGAAUUUGAAUCAAAUUAAUUUGAUUAAAAUAAUCAUAAAAUGAUAUAAAAACAUAUUUAAUAUAUAACGUGUCCCAAUAUAUUGAAAUUUUUUAUUUUUUAAAAAAUGACAUAUCAACAUGUCAUGUCAUAUUGCAUGCCGAUGCUACUUAAAUCUCUAUCAUAAUUUUUUUUAAAGAUGUGGGAAUUCGAAUCCCUCAUCUCUCUCUUUUCUUUAUAGGAAAGGUGGCCAUUGGUGGUUACGUUGACUGGGCGAGUUUUUGGCAAUGUUUCAUCCAUCAACGAAGACGAUGGAAUCGUAGGAGAAAAACAGACACGAUUACCGUGCAGGUUCAAUCCGUGGGGAGCGCAAUAAACUUUACAAAUCACAGUGCGAAAAACUCCACAGAAUUCGCAGCACGACCGAAUAUAAAAACCUCACAAAUUUUCAGAAUGCGGUGGACUCUCCUUUCCAGGAGCGCUUUUAUCAUACGCGACGACCAAGACCUUUGACCCCCUUCGCGACCCAUUGCGCACUCUUUCCUGGCAAUUACGACUAAGACCCGCAUCGUCUGCGCUUCAACGGGCGCUGGAAAAAAACAAUCCGCCGGGGGGAUGCGCGGUCCUUUUCGCGAUGACGAUCGUCAGGUGGUCUUUCGCCGGCCGACCUCGGCAUCGACCGUGCCCAGUAUGGAGCUGCUCGGCCUCUCAGUAACGACCUUUUUUUUUUUUUUUCGAAAAACCGGCCGGUCGGGCAUCGCCGGAGGACGGCAACUCGACCGGAGAAAAAAAGGGAAGACACGAUUGCGGCAUGGGGACCCUCGGACAAACUUCUCUCUUAUUGUCUUGGUCUUCUCUCGUAUUCUCAACCACUUCGCGGGACAAGAGCCGUCUCUCCCUCACUCAUCUCGCCUCGCUGCUCUCUUUGACUCUCGCUCUCUCGGUCGCCUCCGGCCCCGUCAAUCGCUCUCAACUCUCACGCCUCUCUCUCUCUCUCGCUCGCAGCUCGAUCUCGCAGUCUGCAAUUGUAAGUCCUCCUCUGAGAAUCGUCCAUUUGGUCGAUUUCGAUUUGGCGCUUUCACCUUGUUGGGUAGGAACUUCCUCGAAAGUUAAAGCUCAUUCGGUGUUGCAUUCUAGCCGCCGGAGUGGAAUUGCCUCUCUGGGUUCAUCUCGCUUUGUAGUUACCCCAGUCGGAUUGACGAAAGAUUUCACAGUAAAGCCGUAGUUUUAGGGCAGGUUCCUUUAUGAGCAAGCUGCGACGGUGCGUGCGGGGAAAAAAGCAAUGAUGGGUGGCCUCGGAUGUUUAUAUAACCCGUGUUUUGCUGUCGUUUGCUGUGUGCUCGAUGCUCCUAUGUUAGUUGUCUGCUGAAUUUGUGUGGGUUGCUGGGCUUGAGGAUAAGUAACCGAGUGAAUGGUUUAUGUGACUAGUCGGUGGUCACAUGACUCACAUGACUCACAUAAGGGGACUGAUGAUGUCGGGUGCAGUGGAGCGGGAGCCAAUUAAUAGGAAGAAGAUGCUAUAUCAAUCCAGGGUCAUUCGAUGGAUGAGAUGGACUCUAUGGAGAAUCACACAAUCCAUACGCGCAUGAGUCGGGUUCACAUGCCCCGUGCGCAAGUGGGCAAGACUUGCUUGAAGAAUAGGAAGUGAAAAGAGGUGUAAUCCAGUCCACAUGCCGCAUUUGGCAGGGCAACCUCGAAAUGAUGGAUUUUCAGCCCGCUCGUCCCUAUUGAAAUUGCCAUAUUUUCCAGAACUUCUGUUGUAUUUUUCAGGUUUGGAGAACACGAAAAACGGAAGGGGGUGUUUUCCCCAAAACAGCCCUGAUACUUUUUCCUUGACUCGGACACACCCCUGUCCCAAAAGUGACACUACAAGUAUGUACAAGCAAAGCUGUGAGUGGGUCCCGUGCCCUGUCGUUCCUAUAAAUUUGUGGGCAAUGGUGUGGGCAUUUAUUGCGACACGGUGUCGUCGGGUAAUUUAAAGGAAGAAGGAAGAUGCAAUGGACAUCGUGGUUCCCUUUCAGGGUGAAAGCAAACUCUACAAAGACUAUAUUAUUAAAAUACGAACUAGCCCCCGACUCUCAGCAUGGUUAGCCAAUCUUGUCUUCUACGUUUAAUGACCCGCGGAGAUCUCCAUUUGUAAUUCUAGCUUCUAAAAGUUAUUUUGAUUUCGCAAUGUGCUGUACUAAUUUUGCUGUUAUACAAUUUGAAUUUUUCUCUCUAAAAAGAAGAUCGAGAGAGGUCAAUAGAGAGGAGGCAAUGCUUCAUGCAUUCACCAUGGGGUUGACCGUCAGCCAGACCGUGAAAAGCUUAUGAUAUUGUACGGGCCAACUCUUUACGAAUAACUUUGAUUGUCUAAGGAAUGGUUGAUACAAGUUGAUUUUGGCUAUUUUGGUUUCUGUCAAUUCUAUAUCGUAAAACAUUAAUUGCAAAGUGGCUAAUUUCAAUUGUGAAAUAAGAAAUAUUUAGUAGCCUCGAAAUUGAUUUAGAAACUUGAAAAAUACUUGCAUAACAAAUACCAUCCGUUUAGAAAAACUUUGAUCUUUAAAUAGUCUAGCCAAUCAUCUCAUCAAUCAAUAGAAAAGUUGAUACUGUCUAAUUUAAUUGAAUGAAAAGAACGAAAGUGCUGUAUACAUAUAGUUUUGCCUUGCAUCAAAAUACUAUCAUUAGAUUUAAAAUCACAUUAGCUUAGCUACCACUCUGAGAAAGAUAGAAGACAGAACAGCGAACAGGGUGGUGCGAAGACUGAAACAUCACGGGAUUAGAAGUGCAAAGUCAAAGUCAACGAAGAGUUGGACUAUGAAUAGUCCAUGAUUAACCAGCUUGCUUAAGAAGGAGUCACACAAUGAUUCAUUAUUUGAUAAUUUGUGCCUCUCAGUCAAACUUCCAUAAACGUAGAGAUUUUAUUGAAAAAAAUAUGUCACCAAGAUCACUCUGUAAAAUCCAACACUGAUUCGUGGUUCUCUCAUUCACCCCCCAAAAAUCACAUGAUAACAAAUCGAUGUUCAAUUCCCCUAUCCAUCAAUGAUUCUAUCUUACCAUUUCCUUCCAUUGAAUAACAUCAUAUGAAAACAAACUUUUAGGUUGUGCUUAUCUCGCUGAGAAUUUUUUUUUGAAGCAGGAAAAUGUUCAAGGAAAUUCAAUCUAAAAAAAAUGAUUGUGCUGAAAACAAGUUGAAGAAAUUGAUUUUAUCAUAAUUUGUAAUAAGUGAAUUCUUUAAAUGUGGCUUGUAUAGCUAAAAGUAACAUGUAAUGACGAAUAAACUGGAUAUGACGUCAUAAUUGUUUAUUCUAUAUUCCAUCAAAAUAACAACGAUUACAAAGAAAUUAGGAUAGAUAUUCGGGAAAAUAAUUCUUCUUGCCAAGUCAUUUUCUCUAAGCUUAUUUAUUACUUUUAGCCCAUGUAAACAUUUAUAUGGAUCAAAUAGCUUUACGUGAUUCAAACAUUGGAAAUUACAGAAACAAAUUUCCCAAAUAUGAUUUUUUUUUCAUCAAACUAAGAAGGAAGAUCAUGAGGGGCAAUUCCAUUUUUUUUUCAUUUUUUGAGAAAAGUACUACCCUCCGGAACAAACUUGUAUGAGUGUCUGCAUGACAAUGUUGUUGAUGAAUCCAAACUAAAAAAAGAAGACGUUGAUAAAUGCCAGAUUUGUAAGACCAUAUAAUUGAUGCCAAUAAAGAGAUCCAAAGUGAACAAUCAUAUCCCUUCAUAUAAUUGAUGCCAAACUCCUUGAUUUUCUAAGACUUGGACAUCAGUAUUGAUGAAAAGAAACUUUAAUACCACCACCCUAAAAAUAGAAGCACUCCCAACAAGUAAACCAAGUGAUUGAAUCCAAUUAUCUGACGAAAUCAAGUCAAUGAUGUAAGUUUAACAAUUACUCUCUACAGCGAUUACAAUAGCGAUGUUGUAACUUUAAGCGCCACGGUGAGAUAUCUCAUAAUGCAGAAAAGGAAACGGAUCUAGUCGUGCAAAGAGGUGGCAGCACGACCACAACAUCAGUAAUAAUUGGGGUACUGAUACAUCAAUGAGGUCUACCCUUACUGGGACCUUACUAAACUUUUUUUUUUCCUUUUUACGGAUAAAGUAUGAAUUAGAUAAUAAAUCUCUCAAUAAUAAAUAGAUAAUAGGAAAUACGAUUCUCCAAUUUCUUUUUGAAGUCACAUAUGGCAUUUUUGUGUUUUUUUUUUUUUCAUUUACUAAUUCAAUUCUACUACCUUUUUAUAUUAUUGCAGAAGUUUUAUUACAUAAUUUAUUUUAUCGUUGUAUCAUUUACAUGAAGAUUCAAAAUACGAUCUAACUAAAUGGAAUAAAUCAAAUCUCACUAAAUCCAAAUGUUAAACAGAAAAUGGAAUAACCAGAUUAGAAUCUGACUUGACAUUCUAGAAAAACAGGAAUUCUUUCUGAUAAUUUUUUAACUACUAACUAAAACAUGUAAUGUAUUUGUAGCUGAUAUCUCCCUCUGUUUUCCUUUCUUGCCGACUAGCUCUAUACGUAAGGACCGGGUCGUGAUGGUCUGAAUGCUUCGCCGGGGAGUCUCGACUAAAAGCAGCCUCCCUUCGGCCGGGAUUCUCUUGCUUUUUAACCUUUUGCUUUUCACGCUAAAUCUUUGCUGAAGGUAUGGUCUUCAUCAUGAGGGUGUGCUGCAAUUUCUCCGCUGCCGUGUCCUUCUUGACCACGUUCUUCUCCUCAUCAGAGCAAUCCACCGAAGCUCACCGAGAAUUCCACUUGCGCUCUUCUUUUAUUUUUAGUCUUUUUUUCAAAUUUAUCUGCUUUCGGUUACGCAUGGCCCGGCCAUGUCCCCUCGUCCUUAUCUUGGUGUUCAGUUAGUCAACACGUUUCCACCGUAUCGUGUCCCACCAGAUUUUGCUCUCCAUUUUUGCAGAAUUUCAGCUCUCCCUUCCUGUUCCUUUGUGUGUUUUCACACUGCUAUUUCCCUUCCUUCGCACUCGCAUGAAUGCCGUAUCGAAAGUGGCCUCAAGUCAACCAUUUCGGUUCACAAAAAUUCGCAAUUUUAUUGGAAAGGGUCUGGAAUUUUAAAUGCGAAAGAAUGCAAUAGAGAUCAAGAAUGCAGGAUUACAAAUGUUUCUUUUUUUUUUUAAUAAGGGGUCAAAUUAUCAAUGAAUUUCUUUUUUUAUGGUAACCGAGGAUCCGCAGGGCUCGUCGGACAGUCACGGCCGGUAGAGUGUGCGGUGCACCCCAAACCAAGCGUCAAUACCUCGGGGGUGGCUCAGUAAUCCAAUCCCGAGACCCUCACUUAAGUUAUAUUAGCAACGGGAGGGCUCGAACUCUCGACCUCGACGAAGGAGGAGAGAAUGCACACCAACUGAGCUGCCCAUAGGUGAAUAAUUAUCAAUGAAUUUGAUUGCUGAAUUUCAUGAGAAUGCGGACAGGACCUUUAGGCGAAAAUCUAUGUCAACAAUAAUUUUCCUCAAAGUCUACAAAGACUUGGACUACCAACCGUCCAUGAUGAACAAAGUUUGCUCCGAGAAAGAUUCACACCCAUGAAUGAGCAUUGGCAGGUCUUCUUUUCCACGUUAAAGCAUUGGCAGGUCUCCGAAGACUUGGACGAUUAAAGCAUUGGCAGGUCUUCUUUUCCACGUUAGGAUUGAACCAUCUUCUUUUUCUUUUCUUUUAUUGCUUUAUUCUUUUCAUUAUCACUUUGCUUUUUUGACGAGAUUUUCCUUGGAUUCUCUCCGGGAAUGUUGGCUGUGGUUCCGUUGGGUCAAUUACCUUGAUAGUUGAUUGGUAAGCGGCCACCAUUUGAUCAAUAAUUCCUUCUUUUUUUUUGCACAGCAGCACUACUCUUUAAGGAUACAGAUGAGUUGGGGCUUCUAUAAGUGGGCAAGAGCCUCAACCCCGAACACAAAAGGCACCGCUACUGCUCGCACCACUCCGUCCACCAACCUCCCGGCGGAAUCACGACAGACACAAGUGAUCGAGCCUCCAGUACCUCCAGGUUCGUAGGCACCGUCUAUGUUUAUCUUUAGUGUUUCAGCCUGCGGUGGGUACCAAAAUCGUGACGAUCCGUUGCUGGUGUUACUAGAUUCGCUCGAUUUUGGGUUCCAUCUGUUGAAACUCUUCAACCUAGCUAAAGCGGCUCAAGCUCAUCCUCCGCCUUCUGCAACGUCUGCUGAGAUUCCUUCUCAGGUCCUCUCUCUCUCUCUCUCUCUCUCUCUCUUUCGGUGGGCGUUGCGAGUUCUGGCUUUUUGUGUACGCGAGUCUCGCUGUUUGUGGGUUCGUUGGUGAGAUCGAGUUUCGUGCUUGAGAUGGGUCGGAUUCAGCCGGCGUCGGAAGAGAUGGGUCGUCGGCGUUUAGGCGUUUGGUUUCCGUUUUCCGGUUGUUGCUCUGGUUUUAGCUGGUUCCGUGCAAUCUGAGCUCUUUGAGCUCGAGAGGUCGUGCCCCCUCCUCCGUCUUCCUGUCUUCCUGUGCUCUCGCCCCCCGCGAGAAUUUUGCUUGAGCUGUGGUUUGAGAUCUUGGUUAGGCUUGAGUGAGAAAAGUAGGGAGAGCUGUCGAAACAGAAAUAAAGAAAAUGGAGGAACCCCGAUGCGGGAUGACACGAGUGCGAUUAAAUUUGAGUCAAACGCAACUUAGUGCAUUGCGACGUUGUUUUCUGGAAUUCGAGCUAACUUUAGUUUGGAAUUGAUGAUUGACGCGGCGACGGUGACAGGAUAUGACUUGCGGCCCAUUCGGAGGCUUUCAGAAGUUUGCAGAUUGUGGGAAGAUUAGCAGGAACUAAUGAUUAUUUUAGAAAUUAUACAACUGCCUCCAAAAGAUGAGAGCUUUACCUCGUGCAUUGUCAACUUUGACAAGCUGGAGUGAUGCUGCAGUGAAUCAUUCUUAUUAAAUAAUUGUAGCACACUGGCCCACGACUCUAUGCAUAUUUAGCUAAUUCAGGGUACCAAGUUUAAUGACCUAUAGAGAUUUCCAUUUGUGAGUCAAGCUUCUAAACAUUUUCCAUCUCUGGCUGCCAUCGCUUUUGCUGAUAUGCUGUUUGGUAUUUCUUGAAGAUCAUGUCGAGGGAAAUCGUGCAGAAAAACAACGUACCUGUAAAAAUUGAUGGAAUAGCAGGGAGCGCUUCUUUCACUCACACUGCGACAGAAGGUCAAGGAAUGGCUAAUUCAUCAGGAUAUGAAUAUGAAGUAUUCUUGAGCUUCAGAGGAGAAGAUACUCGAACAGGUUUUACUGACUUCCUUUACACUAGUAUGAUAGAUGCUGGAAUCUGCGUCUAUAAGGAUGACGAAGAGCUCCGCAAGGGGGAAAAUUUUGGCCCGGAACUUCUCCGAGCAAUUAAUCAAUCGAAGAUCUCAAUACCUAUAUUUUCGAAAGGUUAUGCCUCUAGCGGAUGGUGUCUCAAGGAGCUAGUCCAGAUGGUCGAGUGCCAAAAAACUAGGGGACAAAAGAUUAUGCCCAUUUUUUAUGAUGUAGCACCUUCAGAUGUUCGACACCAAAUUAAAGGUUAUGGAGAGGCCUUUCUUACACAUGAAAACAAGAAGCGAUAUGACAAAGAGACUAUGUGUAAGUGGAAGGCUGCUCUCACCAUAGUUGGAGAACUAGAUGGAUGGAACCUGCAAAAAAUGGCCAACAGGUAAUUGCCUCUAUCAUUCCAUUUGAUGUGCCUUGUCCCAUUAAAACUUGAUGUGUUUCACUGUUGAAAUUGGAUUUUAUGCUAUUGAAACUUUACCGUAGAAAUCACUCGAAAUAAUGGGACAAUCCCCAUUUUGUCCUUUUUCAUUCCAAACAAUUUUUAUUUUAUUUUAUUUAUUUAUUUAUUUAUUUUUCAGUUAAGGUCAUUCGUUAAUCAUAUGUGCCAAUGCUAAUUCAUUGACAAUGAAGUAAAUCCUUAUAGAAAGCAUUACGAAUAGGUCUCUAGUUUUCACUUUGGUCUUGUUAGAACAUAACUUGGUUCAACACAGUUUUCUAACUCAUUGCCAUUUGACCUCCAACAAACACUAGGAAAGAAGGUGAGAUGGCAAAAACAGUUACCCAGAAGGUUUUCAAUGAAUUGAAAAAGGCUUAUUUGGUGGUAUCAAACAACUUGGUUGGUGUGGACAGUCAUGUGGAUAAAAUCAUGGAAGAGAUAGGUGCUCAUAUAAAUGAAACGCAGAUCGUAGGAAUUCAUGGGAUGGGUGGUGUUGGAAAGACAACAAUUGCCAAAAUCAUAUACAAUGAGCUUUCCAACAAGUACAACAAUUGUUGCUUCCUUUCCAACAUCCAUGAAACGUCAAAGCUCAGGGGCAUUGAGUACUUGCAGCAGCAGCUCAUCUUCGACAUCCUCAAGAUGAAGGGGACGGAUAUAAGAAACAUUGAUGAAGGGAUUAAGACCAUUAAAGAAAGGUUGCCUAAUAAAAAAGUCCUCCUUCUUCUUGAUGAUGUUGAAGAAAAGGAUCAUAUGGAUGCACUUGUCGGUAAGCGUGAUUGGUUUGGCAAAGGGAGCAAAAUUAUUGUUACUACAAGAAGGAAAGAUGUUCUCUGUGUUCCGGAAGUGGACUGGAGGUAUGAGCUUACGUGCUUGGAUCCGAAUCUAUCUCUUCAACUUUUUAGCAAACAUGCUUUUAGAAGAGAGUCUCCUGUAGACGACUAUAUCAGCCAAUCCGAGAGGGCGAUACGCAUUGCCGGAGGUCUUCCAUUAGCCAUUGAGGUCAUAGGUUCACUUCUAUCUGUCAAAAAAAAGGAAAAGUGGGAUGACACAUUGAAGAUGCUAGAAAGUGUUCCUCAUGAUAAAGUUCAAAAUAAGUUGAAAAUAAGUUAUGAUGCAUUAGAUAAUCGGCAGCAGCGUAUAUUCAUUGAUAUAGCUUGUCAUUUCAUUGGAUAUUGCAAAGACAUUGUGGUUUAUUUCUGGGAUGCAUCUAAACUUUUUCCGGAAGCAGCCGUGGAAGUUUUGCAGAAUAUGUCUUUAAUAAAAAUAGGAGAAGAUAAUAUAUUGUGGAUGCAUGAUCAACUCAGAAACCUUGGAAGAGAAAUAGUUCGUCAAGAAAGUGAGAUGAAUAUAGCGAAGCAACGUUGGGUGUGGAGUCCUGAGGAUGGAUUAAAUCUGCUAAGGAUACGUGAGGUAAAAUGUUUUGUGCAAUACAUCUCCAAGUUACUUAUAGACAUUUUCUUUUCCCAAAAAAAGUAGUUACUUUUUGUGUUCUCUAGCAUCAUCGCGACUUACUCAACCGAUAUUUUUGGUCUUUUAAGAUUUUAAAGGAAUGAUAGUAGUCAACUCAACCCCUUAAAAUAGUGAACUUGAAGAAAUGUGUUUCCUUUCAAUUUUUUUGUUUUAAAAUUUUUCCUUUGGGCAGGAAAAGAAAGAAGUUGAAGCUCUUUAUCUCAAGUUUGAUGAUCAGCACCGUUUUACCUAUGAGGACUUCAAGAGCCUAUCAAAUCUAAUGUUCCUUGAAGUAGACGACUUGAAGGAAAAUUUUCGUGGAGAAAAGAUGCUUCUUUGGCUCAAAUGGCUAUCAUAUGUUCUUCCAACUAAUAUUUUCCAGAGGAAUUCAAAUCUCCUUCCACGAUUACGAUGGCUUUCUUGGCAUAAUAUUCGCCCAACAUUUAAGAUUCAAAAUUUUUCCGUAGCGAAUUUGGUUAUCCUUGAUCUAUCUGGGAGUGAAAUCACUCAUGAUUGGAAGGGGUGGAGCCACAUGAAGGUAUGUUAUAUACUAGACAAUACUUAUUCUUCCUUCUUAUCAUAUUCAAAAGUAAACUUUGCAUGAUUUUUCUUUCACAGGUGAUUAAGAAUUUGAAAGUUCUGAAUCUGGCCAAUUGUCGACGCUUGAAGAGAACCCCUAACUUCUCAACUCAUUCAAAUUUAGAACGUUUGACCCUAUCAGGCUGUGACUCAUUAAUCAAAAUUGAUAGAUCGAUUUGUCAGUUGAAACACUUGGUUUUCUUAGAUGUAAACUUUUGUUCGAGUCUUCAAAGUUUGCCGGAUGAGUUGGGUAGAGAUCUUGCAAGCCUCAAAUACCUAUCUCUUCAUGGAUGCUCGAGUUUGAAGAGGCUUCCGGAGACAAUCGGGAAUUUGGAAUCGCUGAUUGAGUUGAACAUAGGUGGCUUUACAACGGCAAUCAAAGAACUACCCGAUUCCAUCAAAAAGUUGAAGAAUUUGAAAAUAGUAAAUAUGCAGUAUGGUGGCAUAGGCAAAAUACACAAUACCUUUUGGACGAUGGAGAAGCUUGAAAAAAUAAAAAUCAUCCAUGCGGAUUAUCUUUACGGGGGUUUACACAUGGAAAUUGGUGAUGGCAUCUAUGAGAAUAAAUCCUUAAGGAUCUUGAGAUUGUUAGGGGUGAGAAUACACGCCCUAUCAAGGCUUCCUGAAAGUCUUUUGGAAUUAGACCUGAGGUAUUUGCAGGUGGACACGUUUCCGGAUCUCUCAAAUCUUGCUAACUUAAAGGUAUUGGAUCUGUGGUUUAUUCGCCCACCUAAUUGUGAUGGGAAAUCUUAUGGGCUUCCAGAAGAACCGAUACCGCGGUGGAUUGGGAACUUAAGCAAAUUGGAAUCUCUGGAACUGCACUUUUUAGACGAGACCGCCUCAUCGACAGGAGACCUCAGCCUCCCUCCUCAUCCGUGUCGCCUCCCAAGGCUUCCCUCAAAUUUAUCCUCCUUACUUCUCUCUGGUUGCGACUCACUUUGCUUGAUGGAUCUAUCGAAUUUGAGGAAACUAUCGUCUCUCUUGAUUUGGAGCUCUGCAGUUGCAGAGAUUGAAGGCCUUGGUUGUUUGGAGAACCUACGAGAUUUGGACCUUCAGCACGUCAGGCAGCUGGCGAUGCUACCUGAUCUAAGCAAGUUAAACAAGCUAAGGCGUAUUCUAGUAUUCGAUUGUGGUAAUCUGGUUGAGAUUCAAGGCGAACUACCGCGGUUUUUGGAUAAUCUUUCAAUUGAUUACUGCAAUUCGUUACGGGAGUGCCCCGAUCUGUUCAGCUUACCCGAUAGGUUCAGUUUAAUGGGUAAGACACAUGUUUUUAUGCAUAUCAAUCUCAGUCAGAUGUUUUUAUAUGGAGGUAGAGAUGAGAUGCUGGUUCGUGGCUUUAAACAGAUGCAGAUCCCUGAUCUAAGCGAUUUGGACGGAAUAACAAUUCUUAUAGUAGAAUCUUGUCAUAAUCUGGUUGAGAUUCAAGGCGAACUACCCCAAUCUUUGGAAGAAUUGUGGAUUGAAUGUUGUGAAUCUUUACAGAAGUUGCCUGAUCUAUCAAGCUUGAAGGGACUGCGAAAGGUUACAAUAUUACGUUGUGGGAAAUUAGCGGUGGAGGAAAUUUCUCGGCUUUGCUCGGAGAAGUCAAUCAAAUUUCUGGGAGAAGACGAUGAAGAAGACAAUUUACCGGAUUGGGCAAGAAUAGAAAGAUAUGAAAGAAGACGAGGGGCAAGACAAAUUGCCAGAAUUCAUUCCCGUUGAGGUAAGUACCAAUGUUUUCCUUUUUGGGCAAUCAAAUUCUUUCACAGAUAUGAACAGAGAAUUUUGCAUGCACUUUUUAAUGACCUUUUAGCGGAUUCUUGUCUGAAAAUCUGAUGAAGGUAUUUAAAUUAUGAUGCCUCCGAACAGCCAAAGGGCUCUUAAUUAUGUACAAGUAUUUGUGUUCUUUUCCUAGUUUGGUUUGGCUUUUUUAGCUACAUUUUCUUAGGAUGGUUUCUCCUAGAGGUAUGCAUGUCGAUUGCAUCAUUUUUAUUUGAUAUGUAACAAAUUAUUGGAAAUCUUUGUUGAUUUGCUGCUUCACACAUAUUUUGAAAUUGAUAACCUCACUUCGCAUGGGAGAUAAAUUCGCUAUGCUGUAAACAAAUAGAUGGAAUGUGUGUUGGAAGGUCAUACAAAUUCUCAUCCUGGGACUUUACAGCACAAUCAACUCACUGUUGCGACUUUGACGUAGACAGACACUCUGUAUUGCCAUGCUUAAGUUCAGUUUAUUUUGCAGGAAAGGUGUGCUUCUUAGUGGGAUUUGCAAAUGUUAUGGAGAAGUCACAAAUGAGGGAGCCACCGCAAUUCUGAGAUUACUGGUGUGGUAGCACUGGCUAAAGCAGCAGCACCAUAAUAUUUAUCUCAGCAAUGAUGCCUUCAAUCAUAGCAAUCUUUGACGGGCACACUGACAAAAAUCAUUCUGUGCAGCAAACAUCGCCUACAGGAGUAAUUGAGAGAAUGCAGCAUUCGCUGUACCAGUAAAGAAGGAGCACCCUUUUGCUGAGACUUGAGAAUUGCACUCACUUACAAAAGAUUGGUAAGAAAAAGAGAACACCUUCCCUUGGGGCUGCCUUCAGUAUUAGAACUGUGCAUUCUGAAGCAAUAUUGGCAUUGUUUUUGUCAUGAGAUCCACUCAAUUCUAGUAAGACACUGGCACUGCCACCAAAGUUGGUAAUGCGUCAUAUGCUGCUCGCCACCUCAGAAGAACUUUCUUCAAGUAGUGGUGGCUCUUCCAUGUACUUGAAAACUUUCGUAGAACCUGGUGAUCAUAAAAGAAGAGCUUUGCACAAGCCAAGCAUCAAUUUGAGAAAAUCUUCCAAAUUCUUCCCAUGUACAAACUCCAAAAGGUUUCCAAUCCACCGUGCUACUUUUAGCUGAGAAAGCAACUUGGGAUCCAUAUCCUGAACCAAUGCCAGAGCCACGCGCAGCUCAACAUCAUUCACAUUUGCACAGGACAGAUCACCAAGUGAAAAUCUGAAGCUGUGGCUGACUGUCUUUAGGUGUGGAAUCUCAGAAAUUUUAGUCAAGUUGAACUUUAUGAGCAUCAGGGACAGCUUCUGCGCACACAUUGGUAUUGUGGUCCUCAUCCUCAAUCAAGGUUGGGUAAAGAGGGAGAAAUUGCACCAAGGACAUGGAUUUCAAGUUUGCCAGCUUAAGCUCUAACUCUGGAGUUUUGAUUAGGAAAAUGAACGUCGCAUCAAACGGAAUCUUGAGGCACAGAAGCCUGGCAUCACCAUCUUUGUUGCCCUUAUACAGAACAUCCAGACUCAGCAAAAUCCCACGGAUGAAUACGUUAGAGCUUUCAGCUCUGUGAUAGACUCAACGCCAGCAUUUUGAGCCGGCAAUGCAGGUUCUAGGAGCGGAUCAGUGUUGUGCUCUUGUUUUCUUUUUCAAUCUUGAACUGCUUUUGGAUCGUGUUUGUAAUUAGUGUGCUGAAUUAUGCUUCGUGUGAGUGUGAACCAUCUAAGUUUUGCCUGUCCAGUGUUUGGUGAUCAUGUGCAAUUUUGGUGUUUGACGAAAUGAGUUAUGUGCUUGAGUCUGCGUGUGCUAGAAUGUCACCUUCAAGAAGCACCUGAAGCUGAAGCUGAAGCGCAAGGUCUAUUGUGACGGUUUCCUCUCACCCUGCACCUCCACUGGCAAGGUACCUUCGCUUUCACUACUAAUCUCUGCUAGUGAUGUCCAGCUCAACCUGGUCUGCAAUUUAGUUACCUUUGAUUAGGCUUGGACAUGAUUCGGUUUGAUUGGCUAAUCUGUGUCAAAAUUGCUGGCUAUCGAUUUAUUACCGUUUUCCCCCAUAUUGAGGUUGCUCGAUCGAACUGAACAGCAGCAGCUUGAUGCUGCUUACGAUUUCAUUUUUUCUAUCAGCACGGAUUGUUCUGUUCUGUGCUUCUGGUUGUAAUACUUGCCGUGAUUGAGCUUGUUUUGAGUAGAUUAGUCCAUGCUGUGAUUGAUGGUCGGAUAAUGCCAUAUCAUGGCAGCGAGCAGCUGUUGGUAUGCAGGAUUUUGAAGAAUGAUGAAGUUAUUUGUUCCGGUCAGUCACUGAUUUCAAUGCUUAUUUGGUUGAUGUUGGAGAGCCUGGAGGAGGACAAAAGCCUCUAGAUGAUACUUAUAUUCACAGCCUGAUUAUUGUUUGGCAAUUGGAUUUAUAAGUUCCCUCUGCCGAGGGUAUUCCUUGCUUGUCUUCUUCAUAGUUGUUUUGUUGGUUCAAAUCAUCAGUAGGUGCAAUGUGAUGAAUGUGAAGUUCUUGGGUUUGGUUUGUUAAAAGUCCAAAUGGGUAUAUUUUACUUAUUAUUUGUCUUGGAAAAAAGAGCAUUGCUUGCAUACAAAUACGCAUAGACCCUCCUUUGUGAUGCUUUGCUAGUUGCUCGUGUGGGAAAUUAAAUAUUUGUUCUUUUGCUUGCUUCAAACAGCUACUUGGGUACAGUUCAUGUGUUGAUUGAUUUAGAAUCUAGAUGUAAACAUUUGCAGUUGGUCUACUGUUGCUUUUGCUCAAUGCAACUGAUCUUUUGAAACUCCAUUUUUUUCGUUAAAGUUUUUCCUUUUGUUAACCUUACUUUCAAUUGAUGCAGAGCUUUGGUUGAGUUUCUGGAUAUGAGGUUUGUCACAAAACUGAUUAGAGAACCCGCAACAAGUAGAAAGAGAGAAAGAAGGAAGAGAGAAGGAGGAGAAAGAGAACUAAAAGAAAGAAAGAGAGGGCUGUAGUUUUCUGUAGUCACAGAAACCCUACACCCAUUGUAUUUAUAUUGAAUAUAAAUUGUAUAUAGCAAUAAUAUCCUUAUGUAAGUAAAAAAGGAAAUAAAACUCUGAUAAUAAAGGAAACUUAAUAAAGUAACUUAACACUCCCCCUCAAGCUGGAGCAUAUAGGUCGCCUAUGCCCAGCUUGGAACAACCAGCAACAAAAAAACAAGAUGAAAUAAUGCUUUGGUAAACAUAUCAGCAAACUGAUCUCUAGAGGCAACGUAAGAAAGUAGCAACCAGCUUCUGCUUCACAUCAUAUGCUUAGUUCGCUCUUGAAAAACAUGAUUCCUAGCAAUAUAAAUAGCUGCUUGAUUAUCACACAUCAUAUCAAUAGGUUGAUUAAUCGAAAAUCCAAGCUCCUGGAGAAGAGAUUUCAACCACAACAAUUCGGCCACAGUAUGUGCCAUAGCACGAUAUUCAGCCUCUUAGUUUGUUUCUUCCUAUAGAUAGUAAAGCCCAAUCAGCAAUCGUAGUAGUAGUCGCAGUAGUAGUUGCAGCAACGAUUGCAGCAGCAGCAGUAGCAGCAAUAGUAGCAGCAACAGUAGUAGUAGUAGCAGCAGUAGCAGCAAUGGUAGUAGUGGUAGUAGUAGCAGUAGCAGAUGUAGCAGCAGCAACAGUGGUAGCAGUAGCAGCAAUAGUAGCAGCUACGGUAGUAGUGGUAGUAGCAGCAGUAGCAGAUGUAGCAGCAGCAACGGUGGUAGCAGUAGCAGCAAUAGUAGCAGCAACGGUAGUAGUGGUAGUAGCAGCAAUAGCAGCAGCAACAACGGUAGUAGUAGUAGCAGUAGCCGCAAUAGCAGCAGUAGUAGGAGCAACGGUAGUAAUAGGAGCAACAGAAGUAAUAAUAGCAGCAGUAGUGGCAGCAAUAGCCGCAAAAGGAGUCGUAGUAGUAUCAAACCACAGAAAUCUCCAUUCAAAUAAUUAUAUGCUUGAUGGAAACCAGCAAGACCAGUCAACCAUAAUCAAUAAAGUACUCCGAUUCUUGAAUCCGCUGAUUAGAAAGUGUUGUAAUCCAUGUUCACAAACCAAACCUGAUGAAUUUGAUAUCUUCCGAUCUCAUAUGUAUCAAAACUUGAAGAGAAAAUCGAUAAAAAUUACAGCUUUAGGUGGCUGUGCACCAACCCUAGGGGACUCUCAAACCAGCAAUAGGAUCAAGUAAUCAGGUAAUUAGACCUGCUCUGAUACCAUGUCACAAAACUGAUUAGAGAACCCGCAACAAGUAGAAAGAGAGAAAGAAGGAAGAGAGAAGGAGGAGAAAGAGAACUAAAAGAAAGAAAGAGAGGGCUGUAGUUUUCUGUAGUCACAGAAACCCUACACCCAUUGUAUUUAUAUUGAAUAUAAAUUGUAUAUAACAAUAAUAUCCUUAUGUAAGUAAAAAAGGAAAUAAAACUCUGAUAAUAAAGGAAACUUAAUAAAGUAACUUAACAAGGUUCAGUAUAAUCCCCUCAAUGAAUUACGAGGUGUGUUUUCCUUUUAGCUACUUAAAUCCUUUCGCAUGGAAUCUACAGUUGUAUUGCCUACAUAACUUUUCAUUUUCUGCAGAUGCUCCUAAUUCCUCAAAAACCGAAAAAGAAACACUGGUUAUUUUAGAAGAAACUGGUCGCUUAUGAUGUUGCAACCUGCCGGAAAUGGGAACCAAAUUGAUACCGUCCCUAUACCCUACAUAUAUAGAUUCUACAUCCCAAAUAGCACAGCUUGCUUUACAAUGCUUCCUAAUGACUUCUAACGAGCAGCCUUCGUGGACUAAAGUCAUGGAAGAACUGGAAUCAGUAGACACUGGCAUCGCUAAUAGAAUAGAAUGGGACAGUUAAAUUCACUCAUUAUGUCAUUCUUACUUCAUGUUUAUGUUAUUCUUACUUCAUGUGAUGUAAGUCAAAGUCUGUUGUUCCACACUUUUCCAUUUUUCCCAGGAAUAAUCCUGAGCUUUGAAUGUUCAUUUCUAUUGUACCCAGCAGUUACUAGGAGUUGUCUUCUCUUGUAAGUUCUUUGGAAUAUCCAUGACAUGUAUAUUAAUACAUGCACCGCUUUGUGAAUUGAGAUGUGAUUGUACUUAUGAUUAUGAGAGGAACAGUUCUUUAAGGCUAAUCCUCGAUCUUGUUGGCAAUCUGAGGUCCACAGAAGAAGUCCAUUACUCUUCAAGAGUCCGAGCUCUUUAAUUUCCUUGCAUGCUUGGGCUUUGAACAUGAGCAAAAGCUCAUUUUGGUUGCCAUCACGAAUGUGUUUAUGUGGUGCUUGCUCUGCAAUCAAUCUCCGGGAAGUGCUAGGCGGUUCAUUCCAUUCUCAUAGUAUUUUUGAGCUAUGAGACAUGGUUGGGGAAAUUGAUGGAGUCAUGUAAGGCAAAGUGCUGCUCAGUUGUCCAUUCAGAAAGAGCAAGAUAUGACUUUUGGUGCUGUCAUGUUGCAGCUAAGACAUGUCUGAUUGUUUUGUGCUAAUAAGAGACAUAUUUCUUAUCAUAUGCUAGUUUUAGAUAAGACUUUCCAUAUGACAUUAUAAAUGACUAAAUUUUAUUUUUAUAUUCUCAGUAACUUAGCCCAUUGGUUAUUGUACUUUCUUCACUGUUUGUAAAUCUGAGGGCCCUAUUAUUUUCGACACCUCUCAUGUAAUUUUUAUUUUUAUUUUUGAACUUGUUGAUAUAUCUCUUUUACAUCACUCUUAACGCAAAAAUAUAAAAGUUUCCAUCAUUUUUUUUUAAAAAUUUUAAACAAAUUAAAAAAAAAUUGAUUACACUAAAGAACUUUCCAAAUAUAUGUUUAUCAAAUAGUAUUUUCCCAAUGUUACUUCUCAAGUCAUUUUAAAUUGCAAAUUACCAAAUAGUCUUUGCAUUUCACAUAACUCCUUUAGGCUAAGGGCCUUUACAUUAGCCAAAGGCUUUCCCCAAAAGUCAAAGCAAACGCACCCAUAAAUGGGUACUUGAAAUUGAGCUUUAUGCAGACCUUUGUGCUUAAUUGUUGUUGCCCUGCUAUGUGACCCGCUGUUUCGUGUAAAUCAGCGAUAUAGCCGUCAUCGUCAUGGCUGAAGUGCUCUUGGAGAUCCGGCCUCAUGAAGUCAAGUUUAUCUGUGAGUGUAUAUAGUGAUGUGCGUUUGGUUCAUUUUUAUUUUGGAGAUACAUUCAAUUUGCGUUGCUUGCCUCCUGUUUUACUAGGCAAUUAGUGAAGGGGAUGAUAUUUCUUUGUUCUACAAUAAUUUGCUUGAGAAUUUGUGGUUCAACAUCGUAAAUAAUGGUAAAAGAAAUAUCUUAAAUAAGAGCUUCAAUGGCGAGUAUGAAUCGGUUAUUAGUCGCCCUGUUUUUCAAAUUCUUUUCCUUGUGUUGUUUUCAAAUUUUUGGCUAGGUUCUUUCUUUUUGCAUAGUUUCUAUCCUCGCACCACAAACUCUUAGAAUGCCUUGUGAGGUGAAUUUCUUUCCGGAGAUAAAGUAAGUGAGUGUUGUAACCAAAUGACUGAGAAUGAUCGGUAGAGAAAACCAACACGCAAAAUGAGAUUUCGUUGCUGCAUUAUGUCUUCAAAGAAAAUGUCUGAUGGUCCAUUUCAUCACAUCCUACUCUCAUGUCGUGCCCCGUUAAGUUCUUUUAUCUGAAGCCUCUUCUCCAUGUUUAUGCAGUUGAGUUGAGUAAACAAAGCUCAUGCUUGAUUCCUCUACGCAACAAGACUGAUUGGCAUGUUGCUUUCAAGGUGAGGAUUUUUUGCACCUUUUCAUUCACCAUGAUCAUGCUUUACUUUUUUUUCAGGUAUGGUGGGCGAACAAUUUUCUUUCAAUUAUGUAUUCUCUUGAUGUAGUUUAACUUUCAGAGGAGGACAUCAAUGCAUUAAAAGCUCUCUACUAUGGAGAAACAUUAUGAGCUUUAUACUGGAUAUCCAAAACAUUCCAGGUUAAGUCUACAUCUUUGAAGAAAUACUGUGCGCGACCAAAUGUAGGCAUCAUCAAGCCAAAUGGAGCAUCUGAUUCAAAAUUGUGCUGCUCAAGUCCAAGGAACAUCAUGUUCACAUACUUAUUAAAGCCACUGACAUACUUGUGAGGAGGGACACGCCUACAGUACCUAAAUCAGCUAAAUAAUUCUUUUGCAAUUUCUUUGCCAUGACAUGUCAAUUGGAUUUUAUUAUUGUUGGGUUACAAACUACUUAAGGUAGAGUCAGUCUAAUUGCAGCAAGGAUCAUCUUUGAAUAAGAUUUUGAAUGCCUACCAUAGUAGCCUAAUAUACAUUGAGACAAAGGAAACCACGAUAGGCCUCACAAGCUAUGUCCUGAUACUUCAAAAGAAUUGGAGUAGGCCUUUCAUCCUAUCUUCUGUUUGAUGUAGUUACCAUGUAAGCACGACAGGUAGCUCCAACUAUCCUGUAGUGCAAAGAUAAGUUUUUGAUACAGGUGAAGAGGACUACUGACAUGGUAGGUUUUGCUGCUAUUUGCUCCAUAAUCUUCCAGGUCAAGAAACUCGAGAAAUUUUCUUUUAAAUUUUCAAAUUGAUAAAGAAAGUGGUAAAUACAUAAAUGAGAGGAAGAUAAAAGCAGUUCUAACCAAUCCAGUGGAAUCACUAUCAAUGCUGCCAGAUUAUGGAGACCGGAAGCAAGAUUCAUCUUCCAGGACUACCAUCCCAAAGGAUAUCUCACCUGUUGGAGUCGAAAAUGUGUCACCUUUUCUCAAGGUAUUACUGCCAAAAAACAUCAAUAUGUCACUUUAUUGUCUUUCUGGAUUGAGAUGGCAUUGUAUCUAAUCAAUGUAUCGGGGCUUUGCCACAGCCUUGGCUAGGCUGUAUGUUUAUUUAUUUGUGAAUGGAAAUCAAGUUGCUGCACAUCAUCUAUAUAUUGAUCUACCUUUUUAGCAACUAAAUGCGAGUGUAUGGGAUAUCUUUUUUCUCAUAUUAACUGUACGUGAAUCCAUUUCUAUGUCUCAGGAAAGAUUGGAAAUCAUAGAAUAUGACUUCUGUUCUUACUCUUAUAUUCCAGAAGGAUUGUCUUUUGAUGCCAGGAUCCUGAAGAGUUGGACGUGUCAAGAGGUUUUAAGGAGUUAAAAUCAACACUCAACAAGGUGAUACAAAGUUGAAAGAGGUUAGUUUUCUUCCCUUGGUUGAUUUGAAUUCAGGUCUACUUUCACCAGUCAAAUCACUGGGAGGACGGUUUCCCUUCCACUACGCAAGCCACCCUUGAUUGCCCAUUUUAUACAGAUGAGGACAGGAGACAGAAGAGGGGAAGAAUUAUUAAAAGGAAGAAAAGAAAACUUAUAAAAGGCAUAGGUGUUGCGUUGGGAGAAUUGCAAAUUCAGUCAUAAAUUUAUUUGUACGAAUAAUCAAAUAAUGGAAAACAUGUUUGCUCUCUCAUAUUCUUGGUUCACUGCUACUACUAACACAUUGGUUCUUAUGAAUAUCUGGUGCUGCAUGUAUUGAAGAUUACAUUUUUGUUUACUGAGUAAAAUGGCACGAAAUUGUUAUUGCCAAGUCAGAGUCGACCCGACUAUCACCAGGGACUACUCGAGUUUGGUACUACUGCUGUUGCUACAGCUAUGUUAGUGUUGUGUCUUGGAGAGGUGGUUAGAGAUAAUUUAGGCUUGCUGACUUGGGGUCUUUCUUGUGAUUUCUCUCGGGUUGUCCGAGUCAUGGCAUAUCCCUUAGCUGAUAUUAUUGUGGUAUCUUUCGUUGUGAACUUGCACUGGAGUUUGAUUUUCUCAUUGUUGGGAUCCGUCGAAAGGAAGAUUCUGUCCUGUAAGAUACUUCCUCGAAGAUUAAGAUUUCACUGCCUUAAAUUAGUUUUUUUGUGUUACAAAACUCUUGAAAUAGUAUAUUUGCAUUAUAUUUACCUCCAAAUUAAUUUUUGUGUAACUAGCCUAACGUGACUCAUGAGAUUAUCUAUUCGGCCCUGUCCCUGAACCAUGGGAAGAAAAAUACAGGAAUUUUGGAGAAAAAGAUGGGAUUUUUUUGAGCGAAACAUGUUAGCCAAUCUACAUAAGUUACACUAGACCAAAAAAUUAGAGUCUCCGAGAAGUUAUCAAAUGCGCCAUCGUUGCGGUGCUAAUCGGAGAUUAUCUCUUCGGAUCGGGCUGCCCUCAGGGGGAGAAGAGGCCGAUUGGCGAUCUUAAGAUUCUGUUUUCAUUCUUGCAUACAAUGAAAUCACUGCUGAAGGAUGAAAGGUAACAAAACUCGGAUCAGAUUUUGCUUAACGGAAACAACAUAGCUAUUGUAAGAAACAACUUCUUCCUUCUGCUGGUAAUUAUAUUGCUAUAUGUUUGAGCCCUUGCCUUGAUAAGGGCAUGGUCUUGCCUAAAGUUUUGGUAAUCUAUCAACUAGUAAGCAAUUGCCUUAACCAAACAGAAACAAUCAGCCGCUCUGAGAGAUUCCUUCUGAUAAGACUCAAAAUGCUUAGACAAUGUAUUGAUGAAUCAUGACUGGUCUUGAAUUUGUGAUUAAAAUGUCAUCAUCGCCUAUUCUUUACAAUCUGGUCCUUUGUCUCAAUCAACCUUUUGUCCACCUCUUGAUAAAUAUAAAGCACAAGUGGUGUGGCAAUUAUGUUACCGAAAAGCUAGAAUUCUGCUUUCCAGUGCUUGAACCACUUAAGUGACGAUGCCUUGCUUUUGUCUUACUGCAGUUAGCUGGUGUCUCCCCUGAUCCAGAAUGAGUUGGGUUCAUCCUCUAACCCCAGUGGUUGAUUAUGUAGUUACUUUUAGUUGUUGGAAGCCCCAUCAGCAACAUCAUUUGAUUUUAUAACCCUCUUUUUAUGGGUUUAUGAAUCUGCAACCUUAGUCAAUUGAGCUCUUAUUUGAUUGAGACUUGAUUGAGCUCAUGUGUGAAUGUCUGAUGCAAUUAGCUCAACAGAUGGUGCAUGAUCAUAUCAUCCUAUUAUCCAAUAUCUAUGUUUUGCUCAACUAGAGGGUGUGACAGUUGUUGUCAUGCUUGGUGCAUAUUGUUCCUAGGUUUCAUCUUCCAGUGCAUUGUUAUUGAAGAACCUAUCUUGGCUUGUUUUAGUGUUCUACAGUUUUUGGCCGUUGACUGCAUAAUAAUAUCUGUAUUUGCACCCCCCCCCCCCCCCCCCCCCCCCCCCCCCUCUUCCUCCUCCUCCUCUCUCUCCCCCCAUAGAAUAUGGUAUCUUCUUGGUGGCCUGUUAUUUGACUACCCUCUCUGUUUUAUAGUACAUUCCACUUAUGUAUAUGUUGCUCUUUGCUUGAAAAAAUUCUACUUCAUUAUGCAGUAUGGUUCUGGUACCGAGACAUCAGACCGAAGAUGUGCACUGUACUGCAUACAGCUAGAUGAAUAAUGGACGUAUUUUGCUCCAAGAGAUUUCAAUUUUCCACCCAAGUAGCUGUAGUUGCUGCAUGUUGCGAAAAGAUCCAUGCCCAAAGCGAACUCACUUGUUUUGACCACGCCCGGUUUUUUGUCGUUCAUGCUUUCAAAGUGGUUGGCUAUUUGGGUGGAGUGCUGUUUCUUGUUUUUGCGGUAGUGACAUUCAUCGGAGUUUUCUAGAGGUUUUCAAUCUGCUGAAAGAGUGGGCUCCGAGCUCGUGAGGUGUGAUAUUGCUUGCGGACUUUGGUUAGAGCGACAAGAUCUAAAUAGGCUGGAAAUAAGGCGCUGAAGAUUCACCAUAGGCCUCUUCUUUAUCGCUUGUUUUCAUGUAUAUUCACAACUGCAAACGAGCUUUGACUUGAGGCAUGUGAAAUGAAGAGUAAAUGCUGAGAGAACCUUGUCUAGGCAUUGGUGCAAUUUUCUUAUUUGAAGCUUUAUUGGCCAUCGAAUCUCAUCAUCAUGAACAAGUUUGCAGUUUCAUUCCGAUUUUGAUUAGUUCGAACACAUGGUCCAAGAUUCUUAUAAAUGCUAUGUAACAGAAUUCUCCAAGUUGGAUCCAAAGUUACAUACAUAACAUGAUGUUUUUGUUCUGAGAUACUAAUACUAAAAGACAGCUUGUUCUGAGUAUGUCGAUACUUUCCGGUGACUAGUAUGGUUCUUUUUCAUUCUUUUACCCCUUUCACCGUAACGCAUGGUGCUACAACAAUCGAACCCUUCAAGAACAACGUAGGUUGGGCUGGGAAAGCAGUUAUAUCUCAGUAAUCGGAAGAUUAAUGUGGGACUAGUCAAACAGGGGAUCAUGAUUUUCCCUUAAUAUGACGGAUGCUUCCAAGGUGGUCAUUUAUUUAAUUUCAUUGUGGAGACCAAAUGGAAGAGGUAUUGAGUAUGUAGGGGAUGAGUAGAAGAAGAAUUAACCAAUUCAAUCAAGAGUGACUUCAGGCUAUAUGGUGUUUCCUUGAUUAGUUUCUUAUUCACAGAGUUAGUCUACACAAAAAAGCAGUUUGAUUUGACUUCAGGCUAUAAUUCUAAUUGCAAUUUGAUUGAGCAAAUAAAAUGCAUACAUUGCAGUCAAGCCUACACAAUUUAUUAUGACAUAUACUCCCGAAUCAAUGCCUCUGAUUGCCAAUUUGCAUUGCCAUUCUCCUAAAAAUCAUGCAAGGUCUACUAGGAAAGGAGCUCAUCGCUUCUCACAAAUUCUUUGGUCCUUUAAUUCUUCUUGGAAUUGCAUUCCUCAUGAAAUGGAAAUCCUAGAUUCAAUGUUAAGACGAAGUUUCAUCCAAAAUUGGAUUAUAAUAUUCCAAAUGAAUCAUAUUAGGCUAGUGAUACUUGCUGAAUAAUAUGUAAAAAUCACAAUGAUUAAGAAUGAAAAUCACUAGAUUUCAAUUUGGAGUAGUGAUUGAGAAAUUGAACUCUAACUCUUGGCCUCUAUUCCAACCUUCUCAAUUAAAGUAUGGCUAGUACGAAUUACUUUUCUUUUGGAUAAAUAUAGAGAAUCGCUUGUCAGUCAUGCAUCCAAAAGUGGUGUUGCGAGUAAGGUAUUGCGUUCGCUUUAAAUUAAUUUUUUAUGUUACAAAACUCCCAAAAUAGUAUAUCUGUGUGUUGCAUUUAUCCUUAGAUUAAUUUUCGUUUAACUAGCCUAACGGGAUUCAUGAGAUUGUCUCUUCGGCUGUCCCCGAACCAUGGGAAGAAAAAGACUGAAUUUUGGAGAAAGAGACAGGUUUUUAGAGCGAAACACACUCGCCAACCUACUUCAGACCCAAAAAAGAAAAAGCACACUUGCCGAUCUACGUAAGUUAAAAGAGGACCAAAAUAUUAGUAAAUUCCGAAAAGUUUUCAGAUGCGCCGGCGCCGUGGAGGUAGUCGGAGAUUAUCUCUUCGGAUAGGGCCCGUCGGCGGGCGACAAGACGCCGACGGGACGGCGGUGUGAGGUGGCGGGGCUCGGAGGCCUUCUUGAAGAGGCCCUUUGCGCCUCUUCGGGUAGGCCACGAUUCCCUCGGCCGAAGAGAUAAUCUCUGACUACUUCCGCGGCGGCGGCGGCGGCGACGGCGACGUGGUGCCGCCGAUGGGUGUGACUGGAUUGAGGUUGAGUGGGAUUCUUGCGCGACGAAGGAGGACGUGGAGUCCCUGAUCGGCGAAGUAUGACCCCGUUCGUGAAUUAGUACGCAAAGAAAUUGGAAAGAUCUGGGAAGAAUUCGUCUGCGAUGAUCGGUGCUGGUGAAGAUUCCGGAGCUGUGUUUGGUUGUAAUUCUGAAAUUUCGGCCGAUCAAGAGAUGGGUUCCGUUUUUGAGAGCUUCAAAGCUCGUUGCCAGGCUCUAUUCGUGGACUUGCGUUGGAGAUGGCGACGGCUUCUUGACUUCGCCGGAUAACUUGGCCAUCGGCGGUGGAAGCUCGGGAGAGGAGUCGACGCUCUGCGAUGAAGGCUAUGGAUAUAAUCCCGACCACUUUCUUACACUUGAAGAUUUGGAUGUUCUUCUGUGAUGUAAAUGUGAAAUGCAUGUGAUUGUUCUUAUUAAACUGCACCGUACAGAAUACAUGGAGUGGGUCGUGUUCAAAUUUAUCUCUUUUCGGAUGAGAAAAGCAUCAUUUAGUCAGUUGUUUCGUGGCUGAAGUUGGGGAUAGAGAGGAUUUAUGAUUUCAGUGGUAUUUCUCUUUUGCUAGAUUGUGAAAGAGACUAGCUUUUAUUUAGACUGUCUCAGUAUGGGGAUGAAUUGACUGUCAGGGGUGAUGAAUGGCGGUGCCAGUGAAUGCGAAGCUUUCCACUGUCUGUGGAGUACUAUUGCUCUUUAGAUCGGAUAGUUUAUGCAACUAAUUAUCUGUUCAUUGAUGACUUCUGUGGGGAAACCUCAGAAAAUAGUUUUAGAGAUGUGGUUUUUAAACUGAACUUACAACUGUGAUGCACGUCUUGAGGGAACAUCAGACAGUUUGUGCUUCAUAUCUUUCGGGUAGUAGGAAAAAGGUAAAAUUUCUGAAGGAACACAAUUAAAAGCAGUGAUUUGCAAGUCCUGUUAUAUGCAGUUCCUUUCGUAUCCUUCUCAAUGGACUUUGGUAUUGACAAAUAACUGGGAGAAUAUUGUUCGCUUGCCUUGCCUUUAUCAUAAUUAUCUAUACUCCUGUAAGCAUCUUAAUGACGAAGAUCAUCAUAUACUUUACCAUGCCAUCAGUUGCUCAUUACGCUUUUAAGGGGUCUGUCUUUCAAGGGAUCAACCCAGUUCCAUCAUCAAAGGCAUUGUAUUGGAAGGCAGAUUGCAGUGCCUGUAUGUUGCAGAUGAUAAAGUGACUGUAUUGGAGUCAAAGAAAUGGGCUUGGGAGAAUCUGCUAGAAGCUCAGGCUAUCAGAGAAGCUGUAAAUCCUUGGAGAAAUCAUGAUGCAGAAGCAAAAAAGAAUUCAUAGUGCCACCAUUGUUGAGUUUGUACCUGGUAUAAUUUCUUCUCAAACGCUCUCAUUCAACAAGGAGAGAACCUUUCUGUAAACCAUGCUCUUGAUGGAGAAGUUUGAUAACAUUCAAAACAAAUAGGUCUAGGUGGUGGAGCUAUUUUGCUUAACUCCUUUUAGUUAAUGUGUAAUCCAUGUAUUUAUGAGACAUUUUGGCAAUAGGUCUUAAUACCUCUGGCUAUUAGACUUGUGCAUUGUAAUUGAUGGGAUGAUCACACAUUAGUUUAUUGGAUUAUGUUUUAUUCCUUUUGCCCUUAUGAGUUGGCAAAGAGUACCUAAAAUUGGAUGACCAUAUGUACUGAUGCUGGAAGCUGUGACUGUAGACCCGUUAAACGGGUGGGUCGGGUCGGGUUUGGGUCGGGUCAUAAAUGGUCCGACCCAAAGCGACCCAUUUAACCCGUUUAUAACCCAUUUAUUGCAGUGCAAAUUUUUUGACCCAUACCUGACCCGACCUAUACCCAACCUAUACCCGACCCAUUUAACAAAACAUAAAAAAGCUUAUAUAUAUAUUAAAAUGGUAUUGCUAACAUGAUUUUAUGCAAUAUAAAUUUUAAAAAUAAUUAUUUAAAAAAUCGAAUUUUAAUUAUUUUUUAUUUUUAAAAAAAUUAUUUUUAAAUUAUUUUUUAUUUUUAAAAAAUUAAAUUUUUAAUUAUUUUUAAUUUUUAAUUUUCUUUUUUCUUUUUCUUCUUCCUCUUCUUUGGCCGGCCGCCGGCCACAACGACGGCCGGCGACCGGCCACAGGCGAGCUGGCUCGCCCGGCUCGCCGACGCCGGCGAGCCUCGAGCUCGCCCCUCGCCAGAUCUGGCGAGGCUCGGGCCUCAGCGGACGUCGGCGAGCUCGAGCCUCGCCGGACGUCGGCGAGGCCUUCGCCUCGCCAGAUCUGGCGAGCUCGAGGCUCGCCCCUCGCCAGAUCUGACGAGGCUCGAGCCUCGCCCGACGCCGACGAGUUCACGUCUCGCCAGAUCGGCGAGGCUCGAGCCUCGCCGGGCGUCGGCGAGGCCUCCGCCUGGCCAGAUCCGGCGAACUCGAGGUCGCCCGACGCCGGCGAGCUCGAGGCUCGCCUGGCCGGUCGCCGGCCAUCACCGUGCCGACGACCGGAGUUAGAAGAAAGAAAGAAAAAAAAAAAGGAAAGAAAAAAUAAUUAUAGUUUUGAUUUUUAUAAAAAACAAUUGUAAAAUUAAAGAGAAGAAAGAGAGAUAAUGAGGUUUUGAGUGAAAAAUGGGUUGAUAAAUGGGUCAUAAACGGAUCAGAGAGCUACCCGUUUAAAACCCAUAUAUCUUAGUGUUUACCCAUUAAAACUUAUUAUGGGUGCUUUAUAAGAUCAAGCUUGACCCAUUAAUGACCCAUUUAAUCAUAAAUGAGUCCAUAAAUGGGUUGUGCAACCCAUUUAACACAUCUACCAAAAGAGAAGCGGAAAAAGUCGAAAUGAAAAGAAUUGGCAGGAACGGGCGAAGGAGGAGCAAGAAAGAGAUGGAGGGUCCUCACACAGAAGCCGGUCUUGAUCAUGAACAACUCCAUGGAGCCUCCGACGAGGGCCGAGAAGACCGCGAUCUUCGCAUACCAAUCAAGAAACUUCACCGCCAUAUCGAAAGCUGCCGCUCAAGCUUUCCGCGGCAGCGGCUGGAAGACGGGAAAACGAAAGAAGGGUCGGUAAGAAAGAAAGAAGGAAUAGAUAACUUCACGUAGAGAGAGGAGAUCCAUCGAGGCCCAUCAUCGGCCAACGCAGCCCGACCAUUUCCCCUCUAAAGAAAGCUCCCUUAGCUGUUGGGGCAGGAAUUUGGGCCUUUGGCCACUUUUAGGGCAGCUCGUUGCAUCAAGAUGCAAUCUUUUCUUCUUCUUUUCUCGUUGCGUCAACGAGGGCCGAUGCCUUAUUACAGAGGGUCGAAGGUGAGCAUAAGAACUUCAUCCCGAGCGAAUCUGCUCCAUGUCGUGCUGUGGAUGGCUAGGAAUCAGACCUUCUGAGGGAGAAACCGAUACGGCAAGAGCUGGUCACGGCAUGCAUAAGCUCUUCUAGGAGUAUUUCCGCUCGGUGAUGAAAUUUGAUGCUCGAUCUGAUCUACAUUUAGGACGGAGAUUUGAGCUCGACGAUCCCGGAACUGCUAGAGUUUCGGCAAAUUUCAUUGAGCACUUCUCAGCAACUAGCAAGCAGAGUCCAUGUCUAUGUUGAAGGUGACAGCUCAUCUGUCAUUGAGCCUCUGAUCAAUCUGGAAACACCUCCUGGUUGGAAGUGGGAGAUUCUUGAACUUAGUAAAAUUGAGAAGAUUUUGGCAAGAUCAAGUGCUGGGGACUCAAUUCAACUCCAUAAUUAAUCUUAUCUCGUAAAAUCUUGCCCACCCAAUAUCCAACAGUCACACUUACCCUUUUUCGCUUAUCCCUUUUUGCGGUGAAAUAAAAUGACUGUACCUGAGGUCGUGUCAUUAAAGCACUGAAGAAGCAACCCUUUCGACCACAAAUCCAUAGAACGCUGAACAAGCACCCUAAGGGUCGCAACACCAGGGACUAGCCUAUUCCGAACGUGAAGGCGUCUAAAAUCAGUCCUGCAUGGCAUCUACUGAGCACAAAGAGGACUUCAACAUCGGUGCAAGUUCUGGGGACUGGCAUCUACUUUCUUGUCCCUGUCAGUAAGCUGCAUCCUAGAUUCAGAUCUCAUAUGAGACUGGUGGGAUUAUCCACCAAUGCAACUCAGGAAGGACAUAGCGGCAAUUCAACCGCCACUAUCAAGCUAAGCAUAUGCAAAUAUUAUUGGAUAUACUUCCAUUCUUUGAACCAUUUACUUUUCUUAUUAGAUAUUAUUGUUCAGGAUCUCGAUCAUGAUCAUAUCUAAUGGACGCUCAUGAGGUACCAUUCGCAGUGAAAUAAGCCCAAGGACUAAUAGCCUCAAAGCCCUCUUCCCAUUGCAGUCCUUGAACCCCUGGUACCACUUCUUUUUCCUCUCUAAACUCGAAUGAAAAAAGUGAAAAGAAACAGUGGUCCGCCAACAGAACCAUAAGUGAACACAAAACUUAUCAGCAAGCAUCAUAGAAGUAGGUUAUGCAUAUCAAUGGCCACAGCAAAUGCAAAUACGGAGGACAAUGUUGCUGCUUCGACAGGGUUGGGUUUCAUCUAGUUCAGAAAAGCUUUCCACCUUAUUGUGUGAGACCACAAGUCAACAUGCACUCCUUUUAUGGAAACUAAUCGCAUUGAAAUUGCAAUAUGCAAAUUGAAAAUUUAGGCUCAGACAAGUCAGGAUUUUUUAACUUAUUUUUCAGAUCAAUGACCGCAGACAGGGUCAGUCCAAGUGAAUCCAGGGGAUUCAGUCACACUAAUUUACCCAAAUAAUUUGGACUUUCACCUUGCACAUUGCAUAUACCAUUGAGAUAUUUCGCAUAAAAGGAUACAAUAGUAUACUUGGUAGUCUCUACGUUGUAAAUACAGCAUAAACAGAGGAGUUGCCGUAAAGAUUCAUCGGAGCCAUUAUUAACAUGAAUAGAAUCAAAUUGGAUAUGACAUUACACUACUGAGCAUUGAGGACCAUUCUGAAGGGUGUGAGGAGGCGAUUGUUAUCUGGCUCAUUGUUGUAACAUUCACAACAUUGGCAUAAGUUCCUGUUAAUAAAUCCAGCCUCAUCAUCGAAUUGAUUUGUCAUUGCAAUUAGGAACUUCUGACUAGGAGGCAGGCAAGAAUUGUAGAAGAACUACGUAUAGCUUACCUGCAUUUCCUUUUGUCUUUGAGCAUAACGCUGCAUGUUUACUCUUGGACUCCAGAUCAGCUAACAGCUCCGCCAGAUUCGUCAUCGUUCAAUUCACUUCUUCAUCUAGUCUUGUGAUUUUUCAGUCUACUUUAACAAGGACCAGGCCUUCACUCUCUCCUUUCCUCCCAUUACGCCAUUCAAAAUCUUAUGGCAGUUUUUUAAAAUUGCCCAAUGUCCUUUUUGAUAUGCAAAUUAUGAGUCUAAACAUUCACAGCCAGAUUUAUUGCAGGGGAGAAAGAAAUUAAGGGACUAAGUUUUUUGCAUAUGCUUCUGAAGCCGCGCCGGCACACUAUCUGGUUUUCGUGUUGGCAACGUCGCUUGAGAAUCGUGAUCAUUCUUCCACGUGGAUUACUGCUCGAACAAGUUCGCUUCCAUACAAACUUCUUGUGUUGACAUUCGAUCUUCAGUUAGUAUAUUCAAUGUUCAUAACUCAUAAUGCGUCAUGUCAUGUAUCUGAUCAUCUUGUUGGUUUGACAAGAUAUCAGAUUUUGGCUUGAUUGAGAUUAUGUCUUCCUGUAGUUUCUAAAGUACCCUCUAAAAUUAGAAAAAAAAAAAAAAAAGACUAAAUUCCACAGAUCAAGAAAGUGAAGGAAAGAAACAGAGAGAGCCAAUGUCAUUAAACCAGUGAACUGGAAAAAGAGAUAUUGAAUUCUGUACAAUGCAGUUUAACAAGAAAAACCACUUAUGUUCACAUUUGCAUCAAAGAAUGACAUCCAGAUCUUCAAGUGUAAGAAAGUGGUCGGGAUUAUAUCUAUAGACCUCGAGGUCGCAAUGCAUUGGCUCCUCUACCGAGCUUCCUCCACGGAUGGCUGAGUUUUCCCGCAAAGCCAAGAAACUGUCACGGUUACCGUCACCGAAACAGUCCUCCAAGAGACUACGAAUCUCGGCAGGACAAAAUCCACACCCCUCAAGGUCACAGUGCAUCGGCUCCUCUCCCAAGCUUCCUCCGCCGAUGCCUGGGUUCUUCGGAAAAGUGAAGAAAAUGUCAAGGUCACCAUCGCCGAUGCAGUCCUUGAACGGACUAAGAAAUUCAUCAGGAUUAAAUCCACACCCCUUGAGGUCGCAGAGCAUCGGCUCCUCUCCCGAGCUUCCACCCCCCAUGGCCGAGUUCUCCGGUAUAGUCGAGAAACUGUCAUGGUGACCGUCACCGACGCAAUCCCCGGACACACUAAGGAAGUUGUCCGGAUUACAUCCACGCCCCUCAAGAUGGGAGCAGGUUGGGGUGGAGCCCACUCCCAAACCCCCACCGCCGGCGGCCGACUUCUCCGGCGAUGUCAAGAAAAGGUCGCCAUCGCCCAAAUUUUCAGAAUCACAACCAAACCCGUCUCCAGAAUCGCCACCAGAACCGAUCACGACGGACGAACCCUUCUCCAGAUCUUCCAACUUCUCGCCCACAAGAUCACGAACGGCGUCGUACUUCGCGAUCAGGGACUCCACGUCCUCCUCCGUCGCGCAAGAAUCCCACUCCUUCUCAAUCCACUCCGCCCACUCGGUCAAACCCAUCGGCGGCUCGACGUGGUCGGCAAUUACGUCAUCUUCCACGAAGGGGUCGCUGAAGAAAGAAUAGGGCUUGCCGGCGGGGGAGAAGACAAUGACGGCGGCGCGAGCGCCGCAGAGGCGGCAGAGCUCGGAGGCCUUCUUGAAGAGGCCCUUGCGCCUCUUCGAGUAAGUCACGAGCCGCGCGGCCGGGUCGGCGAUCUUGGCGAUCUCCGUUCGCCGGCGCUUACCCAUUACCGAUGGAUUUCGCGAAAAUUCUUCGACGAAUUGCAGGAUUCUUGGGUUUCCGAAGAAGAGCUUUCGUGGGUUUUUCUGGGUUUCUUGUAGAGAGAGAGAGAGAGAAAUGAAGUUUGAAGUUGCAGAGGAGGCGGGCGGGGGAAAGGAGCCGAACGGGAAGAUCUACUUAUAUAGCCAUCGUGGGGCCCUUUCGAGAACUUUCUGAAUUCUGAUUUUCGGUCCUCUAGAUUUCUGUAGAUUUUCAAAUUGGCCCCACAAACAGUUUAUUUGUGUCGAUUAAGUACUCUUAAGUUUUCAUAAUUUGUGUAAUUGGUGGUUUGUCCAAUGGAUUCCUUUUACCAUUGACACGGUGCGGUAAUUAAUUGAAUUAGAUAAGUGAAGACGUCCCUUCAAAUUAUAAAAUUUAAUUUUUAAAUUAGAUAAGUAAUGACAUUGCAUUAAAUCAUGAAAUUUAAUUUAACAUGAGAUAAGGAAAAAAAUAAAGGAAAAAAGAAUAAAUCGAGAGGUUAAACGAGAGAAGCUCGUCGCCAUGAAGAUUUCAUUGAAGGUUUUUUAUUUAUUUAUAAAUUCCAUUUAAUAACAUUUAUUCUAUGAUAUUUUUUUUCUUUUUACUAUCGUCAAAUACUUGAAAACAGAAAAAACUUUGUAUAAAAAAUAUGAAGAAGCUAUACUGUAAGUAAUUCAUUAAGUUGCAACAUUUGAUUAAAGGAAUAUUUUUUUUUUAAGAGAAAGGACACCUUAAUUGAAAAUAUAAUACCCGAUUAGAAUAUUUGCUCAAAUGUAUAGACUAUAACAACGCGUAAUACUAUAUUUUUCCUCCUCCCAUGGAUCAAUAUGCUAUGUUAGGCAUCAUCAUGAAGUAAACAAAGUAGAUAAAAGUUAAACCACCUAAAUAUCUAAAUAUCAGGUAAUAACAACCUCAUCUGACUAGAGUAAAAAAGAAUUAUAUUAUACACUCCCAUUACAAUCCAACAAAAAAAAUUGACACCAAAUAGUUACGUGUAUAGGUUAAGUGAUAUAUUUUCCUCUAACUAGUUAUAAAUUGUGGACAUCACUCACAUGCAAAGUAAACAAAAUAUUAAUAGAAGUGAUGUCUAUGGUUGUAACCCAUCAAUCAACUUACAUAAUUCACCAGCAUUUAACUUUUUCUACAUAAUACAAAAGCACAAGGACAGUAUUAAGACCAAUGAUAAAAUCUGAAUUCAAUUCUAUGUUUUAGACCUAGUAGGAUUUUGGCACAAAUAUGAAUAGUAUAAAUUUUAGAUAUAUCCAUGAACUUAAUAAAUCUCAGUUGCUAGAUUUUCGAACCUCACAUGGAAUCCACAUGAUCAAGGCAAUUGCAAACUCCACCCUACACACUCUCUUGCAAUCAAGCAUUUGAUUUUCACAAAGAAGGGCAACAAAUGUUUACACGUGUGUUGUGUGUGUUAAAGUUCUACAAUAGAUUUUUUUUUUUAUCGAUUUUACUAUAUUCUUAUUCUAACACUUAUUCUUAAACUUUUGCCUUUGUUUUGUGUAAAGCGUUUGAGUUGAAAUCUACAUCUAAAAUUAAAUCAUUGUCACCCCCAUUUGCCUCUAAGAAAGUAAGGAUUCGAACUUAUCAUAGUCUCGGUGGUUCUAAGAUAAAUGUUUGACCAGGUGAGUUUUUGGCAAAAUUUCGGUCCAUCAACGAAGAAGAUGGGCUUGCAGGAGAAAAACAGGCACAAUUACCGUACGGGUUCAAUCCGCAGGGAGUGCAAUAAAGGGCGCGUUUGAUAACGUUUCUGUUCAAAAAUUGUUCCAGGGAACAGAAAUAGAAAAAACCAUUUAUGUUCCGGGGAACAAUUUUUGACCAGAAAAACGCGUUUGGUAAACUUGUUUCGGGAAUAAAAAAUGAAAAGAAACACGUUUGGUAAAUUUAUAUUCUUUUUUUGUUUCUUUUAAUUUUUUAAUAUUUUUAUUUUAUUUUUCCUUUUUUCCUUUCUUUUUUCUUUUUUCUUUUUUCUUUUUUUCUUCUUUUGGCUGGUCGUUGGCCUUCGGCGACCGGCCGACGGGGGCCGGUAGCCUCGCCCAAAUCUGGCGAGGCCGAGUGUUGCCGACCCUCGACGGCCGGUUGCCGGCCAUGGUCGAGGCCGGUGACCGGCCAGAGAAAAAAGAAGAAGAAAAGAAGAAGAAAAAAAAAAGAGAAGAAAAGAAAGAGAGAUAAUUGUUCUUGAAGAAGUGUUUCUGGAACAAAAAAGUAACUUUUUUUUGUUUUUUUUUUUUUCGUUUCAAUUUUGUUUCGAGAACAAAAAAACAGUUUUUGAAAAAAACGCAAACAAACAUAUAUAUAUAUAUAUAUAUUUAUUUCCGGAAAAAGAAAACAAAAAAAGAACAAAAAAAAAAAAGAACAUUACCACACAGGGCCAAACUUUCCAAAUCAAAGUGCGAAAAACUCCACAGAAUUCGCAGCACGACCCAAUAUAAUAACCUCAUAAAUUUUCGGAAUGCGAUGGACUUUCCAACCCGAACCGACAUCCACGUCAGGUCACCGAGAGUCCAAGGGACGCGUGCACGUGGCGCGUUUGGCAAGGGUUAGCUUCGUCUCGUUGCAGUCCAGUUGCAGGGGUAAAAAACGCCCUUUAUUUUUUUCUCCAUGGUGCUGAUGCGACAUGAUAUGAUGAGAUGAGAUGAGAUGAGAUGAGAAUGAGGGGUGGGGCGCUUUUAUCAUCCGCGACGACCCAGGACCUUUCACCCCCACGCGACCCAUCGCGCACUCUUUCCUGGCAAUUACGACUAAGACCCGCAUCGUCUGCGCUUCAACGGGUGCUGGGAAAAAACAAUCCGCCGGCGGGAUGCGCCGCCCUUUUCGCGAUGACGAUCGUCAGGUGGUCUUUCGCCGGCCGACCUCGGCAUCGACCGUGCUCGGUAUGGGGCUGCCCGGCCUCUCAGUAACGACCAUUUCUUUUUUUUUGUUGUCGAAAAACCGGCCCGUCGGGCAUCGCCGGAGGACGGCAACUCGACCGGAGAAAAAAAGGGGAAGACGCGAUUGCGGCAUGGGGACCCUCGGACAAACUUCUCUCGUAUUCUCAUCCACCUCGCCGGACAAGAGCCGUCUCUCCCUCACUCAUCUCGCCUCGCUGCUCUCUUUGACUCUCGCUCUCUCGGUCGCCUCCGGCCUCGUCGAUCGCUCUCAACUCUCACGCCUCUCUCUCUCUCUCUCUCUCUCGCUCGCAGCUCGAUCUCGCAGUCUGCAAUUGUAAGUCCUCCCCUGAAAAUCGUCCAUUUGGUCGAUUUCGAUUUGGCGCUUUCACCUUGUUGGGUAGGAACUUCCUCGAAAGUUAAAGCUCACUCGGUGUUACAUUCUAGCCGCCGGAGUGGAAUUGCCUCUCUGGGUUCAUCUCGCUUUGUAAUUACCCGAGUCGGAUCGACGAAAGAUUUCGCAGUAAAGCCGUAGUUUUAGGGCAGGUUCCUUUAUGAGCAAGCUGCGACGGUGCGUGCGGGGAAAAAAAGGCAAUGAUGAGUGGCCUCGGAUCUUUAUAUAACCCGUGUUUUGCUGUCGCUUGCUGUGUGCUUGAUGCUCCUAUGUUGAUUGUCUGCUGAAUUUGUGUGGGUUGCUGGGCUUGAGGAUAAGUAACCGAGUGAAUGGUUUAUGUGACUAGUUGUCUGCUGAGUUCUAUGAGUUCUUGAGCGUAACUACAUGUUUUUAUUGUAAAUCGUUGGUUUUGUUGGGGACAUUUACACCGGUUCCAUGGACCCACCCAUGAGCAGCGCCGGACCGGUUCCCAUUUUGUGGAAACCGGCCCUCAGUGGGCUUUUCCGGGUUCUAGGGUGGGGACCGUCCAUCCUGAAACCGAUCAUACCUUCCAGCAUUUCCGUCUUAGGUGACAAUAUCCAGCGUAAUUUUUCUUUCUUUGAUUUCUUCUGCUUUUUGCUGCUAUCCAUCGUCGAUUUCUGUGCAUGCUGUUGUGUCUGCCUGUGAAAGCUUUCGUCUUUUCUUUCUUUAGGAAGAUAUCUUUGUAUGCUGCAUUUUCUGGGCUAUCCGAGAAUUUCUGUGCGUGGACUUAUAGAGGUGUGCUGUUGUGACUUUCAUUUGGUUAUUUUCUAGUUGUGAAAAAUGGGUAGUGUGUAGGUCGAGUGGUGACUUGACCUUAUUCAAAAGCAGAGAGUCACGUUGAAUUCAAAAUUUCAAAGAGUAACUCACUCUUUUUUAAUCUGCUUUCAACAGCCGUUUCCCAAAGACAGAGAGGUCUCUCUCUACUUUGAGUUGCAUUGCUUGCGAGCAGAAGAGUGUCCUCACUUUCCUCCAUGGCCAACAAUCCUUCACAGCUCCUCCCGUCAGGUCUGUAGGAUGUUUUAAUUCAUGUCUGUUUUUUCCUUAAUUUUCCAAGAUUCGCAGAAAUAUCUGGGGUGGGUGGGGCAUUUCCACUUAUGUUCAUCUUGCACUAAUGAAAUAUGCAGAGUUGAUUGACCGUUGUAUAGGUUCAAAAAUCUGGGUUAUAAUGAAGGGAGACAAGGAGCUUGUCGGUACUCUUAGGGGCUUCGAUGUGUACGUCAACAUGGUCCUCGAGGAUGUCACUGAGUAGUAUGUAUCUCUCUCUCUCUCUCAAAUUUACUUGUGCUUCAAGAUGCUUCUCGCAUUACUUCAGGUGAAGGGAAGCGAUUAUAUGUUCUUGACAUCAAUUUAUUAUCUGAACGGGCAAAUGACCUCAAUUUGUAUGCAUUAGCAUCAGAAGUUAUCAAAUCCGUGGUUUAUGAGGCCUCUCUGUCCUUAACUUGAUCUUAUGCUUCUAACUGAGAAUCGCUACUUGCACAAGCACACGCAAUAUGGCCUUGCCCAACAUCCAACCCAUCCCCCCUUUUUCUUUUCUCUCACUCCACUUUUUAUUGAGCUUGUAGAUGUAAACUGUGGAAGCUUCAUGUGAUUGUAAGAUUCUGUUUUCAUUCCUGCAUACAGUGAAAUAACUUCUGAAGGACGAAGGAUAACAAAGCUCGAUCAGAUUUUGCUUAACGGAAACAACAUAGCUAUCGUCGGAGACAACUUCUUCCUUCUGCUGAUAUAGAUAUGGCUAUCUGUUUUGAGCCGUUGCAUCGAUAAGGAUGUGGUCUUGCCUAAAGUUUUGGUUAUCUACUAACCAGUAAGCAACAAUCGCCUUAACAUAACAGAAACAAUCAGCCACUCAGAGAGAUUCCUUCCAAUAUGUAGACUGAAAAUGCUUAGACGAUAUAUUGAUGAAUUUUUAUUGGUCUUGAUUUUGUGGUAAAAGAGUCAUCAUUCCCUAUUCUUUACAAGAAUCUGGUCCUUUGUCUCAAUCAAACUUGUGUCCACCUCUUGAUAAAUAUAAAGCGUCAGUUGUGUGGCAGUUAUGUUAUUUUUUUUUUUUUUGGUCGAAAGGCAGUUAUGUUAUUGAAAAGCUAGAAUUCUGCUUUGAAGUGCUUGAACCACUCAAGUGAUGAUGCCUUCCUUUUUUUCUUAAUGCAGUUAGUCCCUGGUGGCUCCCCUGAUCUGGAAUGAGUUGGAUUCAUCCUCUAACCUCAGCAGUAGAUUAUGUAGUUACUUUAGUUGUUGGAAAUCCCAUCAGCAACAUCAUUUGAUUUUAUAACCCUCUUUUUUUGGGUUUAUGAAUCUGCAACCUUAGUUAAAUGAGCUCUAAUUAAAUUGAGCUCAUGUAUGAAUGUCUGAUGCAAAUAGCUCAAUGGAUGGUGCAUGAUCACAUCACCUUAUUAUCCAAUAUCUAUGUUUUGCUCAACUAGAGGGCAUGGCAGUUGUUGUUUUGCUUGGUGCAAGUUGUUCCUAGGAUUCAUCUUCUGGUACAUUGUCAUUGAAGAAAUUGUCUUGGCUUGUUUUAGUGUUCUGCAGCUUUUGGUCGUUGACUGCAUAACAACAUCUGUAUUUGCCCCCCCCCCCCCUCUUCUCUCUCUCUCUCUCUGUGAAAACGCAUGCACUUCUUUGAGCGUUAGGGAUGUGGAUCCGCUUUCCUGCACCAUACUCCCAUGUGUGUCUCAACAUAUGUCGGCUUUUGAUGCUUACUUCAUUCACAUGUGUCAACGGUUGAGAAGCGUUUUAAGGGUUACAGCAUGAACGGGAGCCCUAUGGUUGUUGAGUAUCUUCAUCCAAAAUAUGCUAUCUUCUAGGUGGCCUGCAAUUUGACUACCCUUUCUGUGUGAUGGUACAUUGUCAAUCUAAAUGCAGAAGUUCGAUACCGGAAUCAUACUGCAUAAUGAAGUAGAUAUUUUCAAGCAAAAAGCAACAAGUACAUAAGCAGAAUUCUAUGAUCUUUUCCAAAGUGGAUACUGGGAACACAUCAGGCCUAAGAUGUGCACUGUACUGCCUACAGCUAGAUAAAUAAUGGGCAUAUUUUGCUCCAAGUGAUCUCAAUUUUCCACCCAAGUAGCUGUAGUUGCUGCACGUCACGAAAAGAUCCAAGCUCAAAGCAAACUCAUUUGAUUUGACUAUAACUGAUUUUUGUCAUUUGUGUUUUCAAAGAGGUUGGCUAUUUGGGUGGAGCCUGUUUCUUGUUAUUGCGGUAGCAGUUCAGAGCUCACGAGGUGUGAUAUUGCUUGCGGAGUUUGGUUAGAGUGACAAGAUCAAUAGGCUGGAAAUAAAGGUGCUGAAGAUUCACCAUAGGCCUCGUCUUCUUUUUCGCUUGUUUUAAUGUAUAUUCACUGCUCCAAACGAGCUUGACUUGAAGCAUGUAAAAUUAGGGAUAUUUGCGGAGAACUUUGUCUAGGCAUGCAUGCAUUUUUCUUAUUGGAAGCUUUAUGAGCCAUUGAAUCUCAUUAUCAUGAACAAGGUUGCAGUUCCAUUCCGAUUUUGAUUACUUCAAACGCAUGGUCCAUGCGUCAUUGAUUCUCAAUGAAUGCCGUGUGUUAGAAUUCUCCAAAGUUGUAUCUAACGUCAAAUACCUAACAUGAUAUUUUGUUCUAAGACACUAACGAUAAAAGACAGCUCGUUCUGAGUAUCUAGAUAUGUUCUGAGUAUCUAGAUAUUUUCUCGUGACGGGUACGGUUCUUUUUCAUUCUUUCACUCAUUUCGACAUAACAUAUGGUGCUUUGGUUUGGGAAAGCAAAUGUAACUCAGUAAUAGGAAGAUUAAUCUGUGAUUAGUCAUAAGAGGGGAUCAUGAUUGUUCCUGGAUAUGAUAGAAACUCCCGGAGUGGUCAUUUAGUUAAUUUCAUUGUGGAAACCAAAUAGAAGAAGAAUUAAGUAUGCAGGGGAUGAGUGGAAGAAGAAUUAACCAAUUCAAUUAGGAGUGAUCUUAGUUAUAUGGUGUUUCCUUGACUAGUUCUUACUCAUAGAGUUAGUCUACACAAAAAGCAGUUUGAUUUGGCUUUAGGCUAUUAUUCUAGUUGCAAUUUGAUUUGGCAAAUAAAAUGCAUACAUUGCAAUCAAUCCUACAGAAUUUAUCAUGACAUAUCCUCCUGGAUCAAUGCCUCUGCCUGCCAAUUUGCAUUGCCGUUCUCCUAAAAAUCAUGAAAGGCCUGCAAUAGGAAGUUCCAUCCAAAAUUGCAUAGGUCCUUUAAUUCAUCCUGAAAUUGCAUUCCUCUUGAAAUGGAAAUCCUAGAUUCAAUGUUAAGACAAAGUUCCAUCCAAAAUUGGAUAGUGAUAUUCCAAAUGAAUCACAUUAGGCUAGUGAUACUUGCUGAACAAUUUGUAAAAAUCACAUUGAUUAAGAGUGAAAAUCACUAGAUUUCAAUUUGUAGUGAUCGAGAAAUCAAUCUCUAACUCUUAGCCUCUAUUCUGGCCUUCUUAAUAAAAGUAUGGCUAGUAUGAAUGUCGAGAUUUGAUUUUAUCAUUUUAUUUCUCUUUCGGGCUAAUUUAGAUAAUCGCUUGAUGAUCAUGCAUUAAAAAAUGAUGUCGCGAGUCCGAUUUCAAUGGGAUCCUGUUCCUGACCUUGUUUUCCAGGUGGGUCGGUCCGGUUCCUAAAUAUACCCGAUCCGGUUGCACACUCCUAGUUAAUAUUUUCUAAUUUAACUAAAUGGAAAGUACGGAAGUGUUGUAUACAUGUGGUUUUUGCAUUGCACCAAAAUAGAAUCAUUAGAUUAGGAAUUGCAUGAGAUUGGUCAAUGUGAUAUUUAUGGACGCCAGCAAUCUAAAGCCUAUGAUCCCUGUGCCUCGUUUUAUCAUGACAUUAACAUUAGCUACCACUCUUAGAAAGACAGAAAAAAAAAAAAAGACAGUUACAGCGUAUGGGCGGUGCAAGAGGCCUGAAACAUCACGGGAUUAGAAGGGCGAAGUCAGUCCACGAAGACUUGGACUGACAAUAGUCCAUGAUGAGCCAGCAUUGCUCCAAGAAGGAAUCAAACCAAAGAUUGACCCAAGUAUAAGGCACACGCUAAAGCAUUGACGGGUCUUCUUUUCCACGCUAGGAUCCGUCUUCUUUUUCUUUGCUAUAUUGCUUUUCUUUUCAUUAUCAAUUUGCUUUUUUGAUAAGAUUUUCCUUGGAUCCUCAGGGACGUUUGAGGUCUCUAGUCAGUUAAUUAUUUUGAUAGUUGAUUGAUUGGUGGCCACCGCUUGAUCAAGGAUUUUUUUUUUUUUUUUUUUUGGCCUAGCAGCACUUGAGAAGUAGGGCCUCUGAACUUUUUUCCAUGUCUGAAUUGUCUCCCAAAGAAAAGAUCAAGUGAUAUCAACGAAGGGGAGGCAAUGCUUGUUUUAUUCAUCAUUGUUCUAGCUUGUGAAAAGCUUAUGAUAUCGUACAUAUCAACGUUUUAUGAGUGACUUUUAUUGGUUAAAAAACGGUCGAUAAUGCAACUUACCUUAGUUAUUGUUGAGUUAGUAUUGUGAAUCUUCAGUUGUGAAGUAGCUAUUUUUUAUCAUAAAACAUAAAAAUUUUAGUUAUCAAGCGAAAUGUGGUAUACAUAUAGUUUUGCCUUGCAUUGAAAUCAAAUCAUUACAUUAAAAAUCGCAUUAUCUACCACUCUCCAAAGAAAAUAAAUAAAUAAAAGAAUAGCGUACCGGUAAGGGCAAAGUCAAAGUCUACGAAGACUUGGACUACCAACAGUCCAUGAUGAACCAGCUUUGCUCAGGAAGGAAUCACAUCAAUGAUUCAUUCAUUUGGUACUUUGUCCCUCACAUACGGGCAUUCAUGAACGUGGAGAUUCUAUCAAAAAGAAGGGAAAAAAAUGUCACUAGAUCACUUUGUCAAAUCCAACACCGACUCAUUGUUCUCCCAUUCACCCGCAAAAUUUACAUGGCAAUAAAUCGAUUUCCAAUUCUCAUAUUCAUUGAUAAUUUCAUUACACGAUUUCCUCCGAUUCUAUAAUUUCAUAUGAGAUUUGAAAAUCAAAUAAGAACAACCUCUAAGGAUGUCUUUAUGUCACUGAGAUUUUUUUUUUUUUUUGUGUGACCGGAAAAUGCUUUUAGCAAAUUCAAUUUCAGAGAAAGGGAAUCGGAAAAUUUUGAUUAUGGUGAAAACAAGUUGAAAAAGACUGAUUUUAUUGUAAUUGGUAAUAAGUGAAUCCACUAAAUGUAACUUGUAUCAUUAAAAGUAACAUGGAAUGACUAAUAAACUAGAAUUGAUAUCUUCUUCAUUUAUUCUAUAAUCCAUCAAAAUAACAUUGAUUACAAAGAAAAUAAGAUUGAAAUUAUGAAAUCAUAUUUGUAAAAUAUUAGAUAUAAUCGUGCUUUGGGAAUGUAGAAAAAUUGAGCAUCAAUAAAGUAUAGUCUUCUCACUUCAAAGCUUAGCAAGAAAACAAGGGUAAUGAUUCCUUCUUGCCAAGUCAUUUUUCUCUAGGCUUAUUGUUUUUAGGAUUAAUACCGCGAAGAAUCUCAAACUAGUAUAUCCGUGAUAAAUUUAUUCAAAAUUAAUUUUUUGAUCACCAAAAACUCAAAACUGGCAAAUUUGUGAUAAAUUUAUUCUCCAUUAAUUUCCGUUAAAUUGAAUAAAUAAUAAGAACAAACACAAACCGGUACACAUGUGAUAAAUAAAAAAUAAAACCCCAAACUAAUAGAGUGGUCAAUUGUAAAAAUUUGAUGUGGCUGUAUGUUUUGAGGCCUCUCUGCCCUCAACUUGAUCUAUGCUUCUAACUGAGAAAUGCUACUUGCACAAGCACACGCAAUAUGGCCUUGCCCAACAUCCAACCCACCCCACCCCACCCCCUCCCCCUUUUUCUUUUCUCUCACUCCACCUUUUAUAUAGGUUGUAGAUGUAAACUGUGGAAGCUUCAUGUGAUUGUAAGUUUCUGUUUUCAUUCUUGCAUACAGUGAAAUCACUUCUGAAGGACGAAGGAUAACAAAGCUCGAUCAGAUUUUGCUUAACGGAAACAACAUAGCUAUCGUAAGAAACAACUUCUUCCUUCUGCUGAUAUUGAUGUGGCUAUAUGUUUUGAGCCCUUGCAUCGAUAAGGAUGUGGUCUUGCCUAAAGUUUUGGUGAUCUACUAACUAGUAAGCAAUCGCCUUAACAUAACAGAAACAAUCAGCCACUCAGAGAGAUUCCUUCCAAUAUGUAGACUGAAAAUGCUUUGACGAUAUACUGAUGAAUUUUUAUUGGUCUUGAUUUUGUGGUAAAAGAGUCAUCAUUCCCUAUUCUUUACAAGAAUCUGGUCUUUUGUCUCAAUCAACCUUGUGUCCACCUCUUGAUAAAUAUAAAGCGUCAGUUGUGUGGCAGUUAUGUUAUUGAAAAGCUAGAAUUCUGCUUUGAAGUGCUUGAACCACUCAAGUGAUGAUGCCUUCCUUUUUUUCUUAAUGCAGUUAGUCCCUGGUGGCUCCCCUGAUCUGGAAUGAGUUGGAUUCAUCCUCUAACCUCAGCAGUAGAUUAUGUAGUUACUUUAGUUGUUGGAAAUCCCAUCAGCAACAUCAUUUGAUUUUAUAACCCUCUUUUUUUGGGUUUAUGAAUCUGCAACCUUAGUUAAAUGAGCUCUAAUUAAAUUGAGCUCAUGUAUGAAUGUCUGAUGCAAAUAGCUCAACGGAUGGUGCAUGAUCACAUCACCUUAUUAUCCAAUAUCUAUGUUUUGCUCAACUAGAGGGCAUGUCAGUUGUUGUUUUGCUUGGUGCAAGUUGUUCCUAGGAUUCAUCUUCAGGUACAUUGUCAUUGAAGAACCUGUCUUGGCUUGUUUUAGUGUUCUGCAGCUUUUGGUCGUUGACUGCAUAACGACGUCUGUAUUCCUCCCCCCCCUCGCCCCUCUCUCUCUCUCUCUCUGUCUGUGAAAACACAUCCCUCUCUCUCUCUCUCUCUCUGUGUGAAAACACAUGCACUUUGAGCGUUAGGGAUGUGGAUCCUCUUUCCUGCACCAUACUCACAUGUGUGUCUCAACAUAUGUCAGCUUUUGAUGCUUACCUCAUCCGCACGCGUCAACAGUUGGGAAGCGUUUUAAGGGUUAUACAGCACGAACGGGAGCCCUAUGGUUGUUGAGUAUCUUCAUCCAAAAUAUGCUAUCUUCUAGGUGGCCUGCUAUUUGGCUACCCUUUCUGUGUGAUGGUACAUUGUCAAUCUAAAUGCAGAAGUGUGUUCCCAGUAUCCACUUUGGAAAAGAUCAUAGAAUUCCGCUUAUGUACUUGUUGCUUUUUGCUUGAAAAGAUUAUACUUCAUUAUGCAGUAUGAUUCUGGUAUCGUCACAUCAGGCCUAAGAUGUGCACUGUACUGCCUACAGCUAGAUAAAUAAUGGGCGUAUUUUGCUCCAAGUGAUCUCAAUUUUCCACCCAAGUAGCUGUAUUUGCUGCACGUCACGAAAAGAUCCAAGCUCAAAGCAAAUUCAUUUGAUUUGACUAUAACUGGUUUUUGUCGUUUGUGUUUUCAAAGAGGUUGGCUAUUUGGGUGGAGCCUGUUUCUUGUUAUUGCGGUAGCAGUUCAGAGCUCACGAGGUGUGAUAUUGCUUGCGGAGUUUGGUUAAGAGUGACAAGAUCUAAAUAGGCUGGAAAUAAAGGAGCUGAAGAUUCACCAUAGGCCUCGUCUUCUCUUUCGCUUGUUUUAAUGUAUAUUCACUGCUCCAAACGAGCUUGACUUGAAGCAUGUAAAAUUAGGGAUAUUUGCGGAGAACUUUGUCUAGGCAUAGAUGCAUUUUUCUUAUUGGAAGCUUUAUGGGCCAUUGAAUCUCAUUAUCAUGAACAAGGUUGCAGUUCCAUUCCGAUUUUGAUUAGUUCAAACGCAUGGUCCAUGCUUCAUUGAUUCUCAAUGAAUGCCAUGUGUCAGAAUUCUCCAAAGUUGGAUCUAACGUCAAAUGCCUACCAUGAUAUUUUGUUCUAAGACACUAACGAUAAAAGAUAGCUUGUUCUGAGUAUCUAGAUAUUUUCCUGUGACUGGUACGGUUAUUUUUCAUUCUUUCACCCAUUUCGACAUAACAUAUGGUGCUUUGGUUUGGGAAAGCAGUUGUAACUCAGUAAUAGGAAGAUUAAUGUGUAAUUCGUCAUAAGAGGGGAUCGUGAUUGUCCCUAGAUAUGAUAGAACUCUCGAAGGGGUCAUUUAAUUAAUUUCAUUUCAUUGUGGAAACCAAAUGGAAGAAGAAUUGAGUAUGCAGGAUGAGUGGAAGAAGAAUUGACCAAUUCAAUUAGGAGUGAUUUCAGGUUAUAUGGUAUUUCCUUGACUAGUUCUUACUCACAGAGUUAGUCUACACAAAAAGCAGUUUGAUUUGACUUCAGGCUAUUAUUCCAGUUUGAUUCGGCAAAUAAAAUGCAUACAUUGCAAUCAAUCCUACAUAAUUUAUCAUGACAAAUCCUCCUGGAUCAAUGCCUCUACCUGCCAAUUUGCAUUGCCAUUCUCCUAAAAAUCAUGAAAGGCCUGCAGUAGGAAGUUCCAUCCAAAAUUGCAUCGGUCCUUUAAUUCAUCCUGAAAUUGCAUUCCUCUGGAAAUGGAAAUCCUAGAUUCAAUGUUAAGACAAAGUUCCAUCCAAAAUUGGAUAGCAAUAUUGCAAAUGAAUCACAUUAGGCUAGUGAUACUUGCUGAACAAUGUGUAAAAAUCGCAUUGAUUAAGAGUGAAAAUCACUAGAUUUCAAUCUGGAGUAGUGAUCGAGAAAUCAAACUCUAACUCUUAGCCUCUAUUUUGGCCUUCUUAACAAAAGUAUGGCUAGUAUGAAUGUCGAGACUUGAUUUUAUCAUUUUAUUUCUCUUUUGGGAAAAUUCAGAGAAUCGAUUCAUGAUCAUGCAUUCAAAGUGGUGUUGCGACUUCGGUUUUAACAGGAACCUGUUCCCAACCUUGUUUCUAAUGUACCAAUGUGGAGGAAAUUAAAACAAAUAGGCAAUCUUCUCCAUGGGAGGUUUGGAAACUCGGCACAUUAUGGAGUUGGUUGAACAAACUUGGCAAAUUUCUGCGAAAGAAAAGAGAAUGGACACCUGCCUUGUCGAGUACUUUUUUUAUCUGAUAAGAAGUGCUUCCCAUUCUGUUUAUAUAAAUCUUUUUUUUUUUCUGCAAAUACCCUUGUUCAGAUCUUCUUUGUUUUGGUUUGGUUUGGUUCAUAUGGUUCAAUGGCUUGAUUUGCUAAAGGUGAGGUCAAAUUAUAUAAAUUUCAAGUGCAUUAUUUUGUCAAUAUAUUAUGUGGUGAUUUAUCUGAGAUACCUUAUAAUUUGCUACUUUGUCUUACUGUAUUUGAAAUUGGUCAAUGCCCUAGUGUGCUUCUUUCAUGACAUUCCUUGGUCCCGGGUGUCUUCCUGUGGUUUUCUAGUGUUACAAGAAGUCGUGUCCAUCUUGGACAUCUACAAUGUCCUCCCACGCUUUUUUAUUUUAUUAAAUAGGACAAACUGAAGGAAAAGACUGACCCAUUCAAUGACUUUCGCAAUCACCCUCACUGAACCAACUUGAAUAUGAACUACGAUUAUUUGGAUUUCCUUUGCAUGCCAUGUGCACUUAGACUUGACUUUUUCCCCUUUUUUCUUCCCUGUCCAAUAUUUGUUCGUUUCUGUGUAAAAUUUUUCGCUUUCUUCAUGCAGGAGAAUGUCAACUUCAUUAUACCGUAUACGUCAAAGUAGCCAUUACAAUGUGUGUGAAAGUAUCUCAGCACUUAUGGCAUCACCUCUACAACAACAACCGACACAAAAUUGCGACAUGAAGAAGAUGGAUACCCUACAUCGGUAAACGCAUUUCCAAUUUGUUUUUUGGGUAAAGCAUGGCUCUUAAGUUGGAUUCAUAGAAUUUGAAGAGGAGGCGUUCCAAUUCUUAAUUAUACUAAAAAAUGUUUCCAGCUGCAAAUGGACUUGGUCUAACAUUAUCUAACUUGAAGGUAAAUCUGAAAUAAUGACCCAAAUUGUUUAAUUUUUUUUUUUUGGUCAAGACCCAAAUUGUUUAAUUUCAAAUUAAUAGAAGUGUGGCAAAUAUUUUUCCAAUUCUCAAAAUUUAACGUUGAAUAGUCUCACGUCCGCAAGUUCUUAUAUUUGCACCUAUUUUUUGACCUUUUGUAAUAGAUAACCCACAAGAAUUAAUUGAGAGAGUGAAGAGACAAACCUUCGAAAACAUUAUUUGAAAUAGAGAACUUAGUCAACAUUUUUUUAAUCAUUAUAGUCAUUGGAGAGGUUUCACUAAACUUUUGCCAAUCAUCAUAGAGGCUUCGAGUACAAUUGUGAAUGUGGAAAUGCUAAUUGAGUUAAAUUCCAAAUGAGAUGUAAUAGGUCACAUCAUGUUUGUGAGCUUAUUUACCACACUUGUUAGUGGCUCAAAGUUUUAAUACGAUUACACAUUGGUUUUGUGUACCUUGUUUUAGUAAUGUUUUGUAUAAUAAUCAGCACGAUGCAUGGAUUUAAUGCCCGAUUGCAAUGCCUUGUGCGAAGCAAUGUAUUGAUCACUAGGGAGUGCUUUGACGAAGAUCAAGCCCGACAAUUCCACCAGGCUUUGUUUUUCAGAGUUAAUUCGGGCCUGGGCCCAAUCAGCCCAUUAAACUGGACGGACCGGAGUUCACCUUAAUUAGGAUGGGGAAACGAACUUGUUUUGGAAGUUCCAUGUCUGCUUUUGUUGACUUUACUUUGAAUGAAUUAUUUAGGGGCAAAAGUAGAUUCUCAUCCGAAAAUUUCUACACCACAUAGUCCAGUGAUUUUCCACGCUAAGAAGCAUAGUAUUUGUCACCUUUGACAGGCUGCAAUGAUGCUGCAAGGAAGCAUCCUUAUUGACCGAUUUUGCAGCAAAACUGGCCCACGAUUGUCUGCAUAUUAUGGGGUAAAGGAACAAAGGUCUCAAUAAUUAAGGCCCACAUAUAUACAAGAAGUGUUUAUUUUCCUUUAAAAAAAGUAAGAGUUAGGCAGUGGGAUCCCACGUAUUUUCUCCUCUUCAUGAGCUUUUAAGCCAAAGGAGCAAGCUGAAUUUGGAUUCAAAUGGAUGUAGUCUGAUUUCAAAAAAAAUUGUGACAAAAGUUUCGUUUUACUAAAACAAAAGUUUGGUGGAGUGAUAACGAAAGCUAAAGCUAUCGGAGAACAACUUCGAUCUUCCAUCAAUCUCAAUUCAAGAAAUUUGAUACUUCCCAAUAGUCUUCUUUUUAAUUCAUCGAGUAAUCGUGAUUUAAUAACUUCAAUCUUAAUAUUUUUUUUCAUGCUAGGAUUUUUACAUGAAAAGACUUCAGAACUUAUGAAUUAUGAAAUGGAAGAAUUUUACACUUCUAAAUCUAGCAAGAUUUUUUUUUUUCUAUCGCGAAACAUGGAAUGUUUAGUUACCACAAAAUCUAUUCAAAAAACAGAAAAAUACUUGCAAAGAAACACCAUCUGUCCAGAAAAGCUUUUUUCUUAAAUAAUUUAGUCAAUCAUGUCAUCAAUUAAUAAAAAAGUUGGAACGAUCUAAUUUAAUUAAAUGGAAAUGGAAUAUGUCGUAUACAUAUAAUUUUGCAUUGCAUCAAAAUACAUUCACUAGAUUAAGAAUUGGGUGAGAUCUAUCGAUGUGAAUUUGAUAAGGAUGCCAACAAACUAAAACCUAAGCUUCAUGUGCCUUGUCUUAACGUGGCAUUAGCAUUAGCUCCCACUCUCGGAAAAAGAGAAAAAAAAUCAGACAGAACAGCAUACGGGCAAUGCAAGAAGACUGAAACCAAUGAUUGAACCAAGUCAAAGUCUACGAAGACUUGGACUACCAACAGUCCAUGAUGAACCGGCUUGCUCAAGAAGGAAUCACACCAAUGGUUGACCCAAGUCAAAGUCUACGAAGACUUGGAUUACCAAAGGCACGCGCUCAAGCAUUGGCGAGACUUCUUUUCCACAUCAGGAUGACCCCAUCUUCUUUUUCUUUGCUGUACUGCUUUAUUUCUUUUCACUAUUCACUUUGCUUUUCAACAAGAGUUUCCCUUGGAUUCGUCAAGGCAAUUUCGCCGUGAAUAACUAUUGAGGUCCCAAUGGGUUAAUUGCAACGAGAAUUUUGUAAAAUAACAUGCAUUCAACAUUUUACAAAACAGAUGACAUUUUAAUUACAACUGCUAACAAUAUGUGGAUUUUUUUUUUUUUAAUGUUGUUAAAAAUAUGUGCACUUUUACUCAAUAAGCACGAACUCUUCAUCAUUGAAGUUUAACCAAUAAAUCUAGGUUAUUUACAAGUAAUUUAAAUAAGUAUACUAAAAUUGACACAUUAAGUGAUAUGAUCAAAUCAUGAUUUAAUAUUUAGCAAGUGAAUAAAUAGAUUUGUGAAAAUAGAUUCUACUCAAAUGGGAAUUCGAUACUUCCCAAGAGUGUUUUUUUUUUUUUUACUCAUCAAGUCAAUUUGAUUAAUAACUUCAAUCUUAAGUGUUGUUUUUGAUCACACUCGGAUUUCGGCCUGAAAAGAGUUAAGAAACUUAUGAAUUUUGGAAUGGAACAUUUUUAUACCUUCAGAUCUAGUGGGAAAACAUGGAAUGUAUAAUAACCACAAAAUUGAUUUAGAAAAAAAAAAAUUGCAAAAAAAACACUAUUUGUUUAGAAAUAUUUUGAUUUUUAAAUAGUCUAACCAAUUGUAUCAUCAAUUAAUAAAAAAGUUAAUACCGUCUAAUUUAACUAAAUGGAAAGUAUGAAAGUGUUGUAUACAUGUGGUUUUUGCAUUUGCACCGAAAUACAAUCAUUAGAUUAGGAAUUGCAUGAGAUUGGUCAAUGUGAUAUUGAUACGGACGCCAACAAUCUAAAACCUAAGCUCCCUGUUAACAUGGUAUUAACAUUAGCUACCACUCUCAGAAAGACAAAAAAAAAAAAAAAAAAGACAGGACAGCGUACCCGGGGGGGGGGGGGGGGUGUGGACUGAAACAUCACGGGAUUAGAAGGGAAAAGUCAGUCUACGAAGACUUGGACUGACAACAGUCCAUGAUGAGCUAGCAUUGCUCCAAGAGGGAAUCAAACCAAAGAUUGACCCAAUUAUACGAAGACUUGGACUACCAAAGGCACACGCUAAAGCAUUGGCGGGUCUUCUUUUCCACGCUAGGAUCCGUCUUCCUUUUUUUUUUUUUUGCUAUAUUGCUUUAUUUCUUUUCAUUAUCAAUUUGCUUUUAUGAUAAGAUUUUCCUUGGAUCCUCAGGGACGUUUGAGGUCUCUAGUUAGUUAAUUAUUUUGAUAGUUGAUUGACUGGCGGCCACCGCUUGAUCAAGGAUUUUUUUCUUCUUUUUGGCCUAGCAGCACUUGAUAAGUAGGGCCUCUGAACAUUUUUCCAUGUCUGAAUCGUCUCCCAAAGAAAAGAUCAAGUGAGAUCAACGAAGGGGAGGCAAUGCUUGUUUUAUUCAUCAUUGGAUUGAUCAUAAUCCAGAUUGUGAAAAGCUUAUGAUAUCGUACAUAUCAACGCUUUAUGAGUGACUUUUAUUGGCUAAAAGACGGUCGAUAAUGCAACUUACCUUGGUUAUUGUUGAGUUAGUAUUGUGAAACUUCAGUUGUGAAGUAGCUAUUUUUUUUAUCACGAAACAUAAAAUUUUUAGUUAUCAGGCGAAAUGUGUAUACAUAUAGUUUUGCCUUGCAUCAAAAUAAAAUCAUUACAUUAAAAAUUGCAUUAUCUACCGCUCUCCAAAGAAAAUAAAUAAAUAAAAGAACAACAUACCGGUAAGGGCAAAGUCAAAGUCUACGAAAACUUGGACUACCAACGGUCCAUGAUGAACCAGCUUUGCUCAGGAAGGAAUCACAUCAAUGAUUCAUUCAUUUGGUGCUUUGUCCCUCACAUAUAGGCAUUCAUAAACGAGGAGAUUCUAUCAAAAAGAAGGGAAAAAAAUGUCAUUAGAUCACUUUGUCAAAUCCAACACCGAUUCAUCGUUCUCCCAUUCACCCGCAAAAUUUACAUGGCAAUAAAUCGAUUUCUAAUUUUCACAUUCAUUGAUAAUUUCAUUACAUGAUUUCCUCCUAUUCUAUAAUCUCAUAUGAGAUUUGAAAAUCAAAUAAAAACAACCUCUAAGGAUGUAUUUAUGUUGCUGAGAAUUUUUUUUGUGACGGGAAAAUGCUUUUAGCAAAUUCAGUUUUAGAGAAAGGGAACCAGAAAAUUUUGAUUAUGGUGAAAACAAGUUGAAAAAAAACUGAUUUUAUUGUUAUUGGUAAUAAGUGAAUCCACUAAAUGUAGCUUGUAUCAUUAAAAGUAACAUGGAAUGACUAAUAAACUAGAAUCGAUAUCUUCUUCAUUUAUUCUAUAAUCCAUCGAAAUAACAUUGAUUACAAAGAAAAUAAGAUAGAAAUUAUGAAAUCAUAUUUGUAAAAUAUUAGAUAUAAUCAUGCUUUGGGAAUGUAGAAACAUUGAGCAUCAAUAAAGUAUAUUCUUCUCACUUCAAAGCUUAGCAAGAAAACAAGGGUAAUGAUUCCUUCUUGCCAAGUCAUUUUUCUCUAAGCUUAUUGUUAUUAGGGUUAAUACUACAAAAAAUCUCAAACUAGUAUAUCUGUGAUAAAUUUAUCAAAAAUUAAUUUUUUGAUCACCAAAAACUCCAAAUUGGCAAAUUUGUGAUAAAUUUAUCAUUCAUUAGUUUCCAUUAACUUGAAUAUAUACUAAGAAAAAACACAAACCAGUGCACAUGUGAUAAAUAGAGAAUAAAAUCCCAAACCGAUAGAAUGAUCAAUUGUGAAAAUUUGAUGUAUGUUUUUGUUGAGUUGACUUUAAAUGAAUCCACCAUUUAUUUGGGAGGCAAAAGUCGAUUCUAAUCCCAAAAUUUUUGCAUCAUAUGGUCCAAUGAUUUUCCGCGUUAAGAAAUGUACAUAAUUGUCAACUUCGAUGGGCUGGAGCGAUGCUUCAAAGAGUCAUUCUUAUUGACCAAAUUUUGCAGCAAAUUGGCCCAUGACUCUCUCUGCAUAUUCAGCCAAUCCUGUGGCUUCUAUGUACAAUAACCUCCCCAAAAGUCAUUCAAAAAGAUCUUUCCUUUUUAUUUCAUUGAUAUUUCUCUGGUGAAGGAACAAAGAUCUUUGAUAGCUAAGGCCCGCAUCUCAUAUGAAAAGUCUCUCUUUUCCUUUAAAAAGAGAGGAGUUAAGGCAAUGGGAUCCUACCUAUUUUCUCUUCUUCCUGGAGCUUCUAAGCUGUAUCGGAGGAUGCUUAAUUUCAAUUUGAAUGCAAAGAAUUUUUUUUUUAAAAAAAAAUCUGCAACGAUACCUUUAAAGUUUCGUUUUACUAAAACAAAAGUUUAGUGGGGUUUAAUUAAAGUUAAAGCUAUCGGAGAACAAAUUUGAUCUAUGUUGGUCUCGAAUGGAUGAAUUUGAUAUUUCCCAAGAGUCUUUUUUGACUCAUUGAGUCAAUCGUGAUUAAUUGCUUCAAUUUUAACAUUUCCUUUUGUCAGAUUUGAAUGGACGUAUGAAAAGAUUUAAGGGCUUAUGAAUUUUGGAACCAAACAGUUUACACCUUUGGAUCUUGCAGGAUUUUAUUUUUGCUCCUUGGCUGCCCCGCCAUGUGUUUCCUCCAUGUCGUCCUUAUCAAAUACAAAUUAGUUCAUUUAGUCCACAUCGUACCCAUCGAAAUCUGAAGGUCUCGGUGGUGUUGGAGCAUUUGCAUCAAUCAUGCACUCCCCGGCAACUUUGAGGAGGUCAGCUUGUCAAUCACGUGGAAUGACCAUGGCCAUGGGCAUGGGUUAGGGUUUUGGAGGCGUGUGAGCAAAGAGCAGUGACAACGAGGGGAAAAUCAAGGAUUUGGAGCAAAGGAAGAAACGUGCGAAAAGGUCAAGGAAUGAUGGGGAAGGAGUUGUCGUGGGGUUUAAACGAAGUUUACCUAGAAGAGAAACUAAAUAAAAGGAAAGAUAAAAUUCUAAACCUGGCCAUGUUGAAUACUCUCGUCUCUUCAUCCAAAUAAAGAGAGACCCAUCAUAUGCUUUCUUCUCCCGAAAAAGAGUAAGACCAGAUGUGAAAUGCUAAAAUCAAGGUGGACAAAUGUGAGUCUCAAGCGCGAAGCGAAAAAGGAUAAAAAGCAAAGCAAUAAUUAUUCCGUCCCACUUUUCCUUUGAAGUUUAAAGUGUAGCCCGUUUCUUUUGCAAGAAAGACCGCGAGGUGAAUUAUCUCACUUCUCGGACCCUAAAAGUUGCUAAGUUCAGUUUUCUUUCGAAAGCUUAAACUUUGACUCUAAAAUUGCAAAGUUCAGAUUUUUAAGUUCAUCGCUGUCCAAGCAAGACACCAAUUCAUCUCAUAACAUAUUUUGAUGGGACAUAUUUUCGGUUACCAUAUAAGUUUGGGAUUUUGAUGAUAAAAGUACAAUUUGGAUAAUUGGUAAUAUGGUAAAUAUAAAGGUUAGGAUUUUUUAUGGAAUCACGCACUCAAUGUCGUCGAAUUUGCUGCCCACCCAUUGCCAUCACUAGCCCUCAACUUCAUGCAUCAAUCCACCGGCGAGUUAAUGCCUCGCCUGCUCUAGUGUGUCCUCUACACCUUCAUCUCUUUUUCUUUCCACGCAGAUCUCAUAACCUAUGUCCAUGGAACUCACGACUGGCAGAGGUCGCUAAUCUCACAUGGCCACAAAUAUGUGGUUGAAUGGCCAUGGCGUCAGGGCUUGACUUGGUUAAAUCGCUUGAUUUUUUUAGGAACGGAGAGAGGCCCUCGUCUCCAUUGAUCAUUAAAAUCAAUACCCAAAAAGAAAAGGAUAAAUAUAUUCCUCGCCAAGAGGGCAUUUGGGUAUUUUAGCAGCAGCAAAAAGACCAAACGCAAUUGAUAGGGGAGAGAGGCGAAGAGCAGGCAGAAAAGGAUAGGUGGCCGUGAUUCUGGUGGAUGGAAAGUAGAGCUAUCAACCGUCGGUGGUCACAUGACUCACAUGAGGGGACUGAUGAUAUCGGGUGUAGUGAAGCGGGAGCCAAUUAAUAGGAAGAAGAUGCUAAAUCAAUCCGGGGUCAUUCGAUGGAUGAGAUGGACUCUAUGGAGAAUUCACACAAUCCAUCCGUGCAUGAGUCGUGUUCACAUGCCUCGGUGCGUGAGCGGCCAAGAUUUGCUUGAAGAAGAGGAAGUGAAGAGAGGUGUAAUCCAGUCCACAUGCCGCAUUUGAUAGGGCAACCCCGAAAUGAUGGAUUUUCAGCCUGCACGUCCCCAUUGAAAUUGCCAUAUUUUCCAAAACUUCUGUUGCAUUUUUCAGGUUUGGAGAGCACGUAAAACGGAAGGAAGUGUUUUCCCCAAAACAGCCUCGAUACUUUUUCCCCGACUCGGACAUGCCCCUGUCCCAAAAGUGACACUACAAUUAUGUACAAGCAAAGCUGUGAGUGAGACCUGUGCCCUGUCAUUCCUAUAAAUUUGUGGGCAAUGUCGUGGGCAUUUUAUCGCGACAUGGUGUUGUUGGGUAAUUUAAAGGAAGAAGGAAGAUGCAAUGGACAUCGUGCGGUUCCCUUUCAGGGUGAAAGCAAACUCUACAACGACUAUAUUAUUAAAAUACGAACUGGCCCCCGACUCUCAACAUGGUUAGCCAAUCUUGUCUUCUACGUUUAAUGACCCACGGAGAUCUCCAUUUGUAAUUGUGGCUUCUAAAAGUGAUUUUGAUUUCGCAAUAUGCUGUACUGAUUUUGCUGUUAUACAGUUCAAUUUUUUUUCCUCUAAGAGAAGAUCGAGAGAGAUCAAUGGAGAGGAGGCAAUGCUUCAUGCAUUCACCAUGGGACCGUCAUCCAGGCCGUGAAAAGCUUAUGAUAUUGUAUGGACCAACUCUUUAUGAAUAACUUUGAUUGUCUAAGGAAUGGUUGAUACAAGUUGAUUUUGGCUAUUUUGGUUUCUAUCAAUUCUAUAUCGUAAAACAUUAAUUGCGAAGUGGCUAUUUUCUAUCGUGAAAUAAGAAAUAUUUAGUAGCCUCGGAAUUAAUUUUGAAACUUGAAAAUUACUUGCAUAAGAAAUACCAUAUGUUUAGAAAAACUUUGAUCUUUAAAUAGUCUAGCCAAUCAUGUCAUCAAUCAAUGAAAAAGUUGAUAAUGUCUAAUUUAAUUGAAUGAAAAGAACAAAAGUGUUGUAUACAUAUAGUUUUGCCUUGCAUCGAAAUACUAUCAUUAGAUUUAAAAUCGCAUUAGCUACCACUUUGAGAGGAGAGAAGACAGAACAACGAACGGGGUGGUGCGAAGACUGAAACAUCACGGGAUUCGAAGGGCAAAGUCAAAGUCAACAAAGAGUUGGACUACGAACAGUCCAUGAUUAACCAGCUUGCUUAAGAAGGAAUCACACCAAUGAUUCAUUUAUUUAGUACUUUUUGCCUCUCGGUUAGACUUCCAUAAUGUAGAGAUUUUAUUAAAAAAAUAUGUCACCAAGAUCACUCUGUAAGAUCCAACACUGAUUCAUGGUUCUCUCAUUCACCCCCCAAAAAUCACAUGAUAACAAAUCGAUGUUCAAUUCCCCUAUCCAUUGAUGAUUCUAUCUUACAAUUUCCUUCCAUUGAAUAAUAUCAUAUGAAAACAAACUUUUAGGUUGUGCUUAUCUCGGUGAGAAUUUUUUUUUUUUUGAAGUAGGAAAAUGUUCUAGGAAAUUCAAUCUAAAAAAAAAAGUAAACCAAAAAAAAAAUUUGAUUGUGCUGAAAACAAGUUGAAGAAAUUGAUUUUAUCAUAAAUUAUAAUAAGUGAAUUCAUUAAAUGUGGCUUGUAUAGUUAAAAGUAACAUGUAAUGACAAAUAAACUGGAUAUGACAUCAUCGUCGUUUAUUCUAUAAUCCAUCAAAAUAACAACGAUUACAAAGAAAUUAGGAUAGAUAUCCGGGAAAAUAAUUCUUCUUUCUAAGUCAUUUUUCUCUAAGCUUAUUUAUUACUUUUAGCCCAUGGUAAACAUUUUUAUGGAUCGAAUAGCUUUACGUGAUUCAAACAUUGGAAAUUACAGAAACAAAUUUCCAAAUAUGAUUUUUUUUUCCAUCAAACUAAGAAGGAAGAUCUUGAGGGGCAAUUCCUUUUCUUUUUUUUUUUUUUUUUUUUUUUCAUUUUUUGAGAAAAGUACUACCCUCCGGAACAAAGUUGUAUGAGUGUCUACACGACAACGUUGUUGAUGAAUCCAAACCAAAAAAAGAAGACGUUGAUAAAUGUCAAAUUUGUACGCCGAUAGACCAUAUAAUUGAUGCCAAUAAAGAAAUCCAAAGUGAACAAUCAUAUCCCUUCAUAUUCUUUCUUGUCCCGAAAAGGAGAAGAACAAAAGUGAAAUGCCGAAAAGAAGGUUGACAACAUAAGUUCUCAAGCGCAUAGAGAAAAAGGAAAAAGCAAAACAAGAAUAUAUUCCAUCCCACUUUUGGUAAAGUUAAUAUUCCAUUUUCACGAAUGAUAAUUAUUAUUUAUAUUACUGGAAGUAAUUAAUUAAUGAAGACUGAAACAUCACUGGAUUAGAAGGGCAAAGUCAAAGUCUACAAAGACUUGGACUACCAACCGUCCAUGAUGAACCAACUUUGCUCCGAGAAGUAUUCACACCCAUAAAUGAGCCAAGUCUCCGAAGACUUGGACGACCAAAGGCAAUGCUAUUGGCGGGUCUUCUUUUCCACGUUAGGAUUGAACCAUCUUCUUUUUCUUUUCUUUUAUCGCUUUUUUCUUUUCAUUAUCACUUUGCUUUUUUGACGAGAUUUUCCUUGGAUUCUCGCCGUGAAUGAUGGCUGUGGUUCCGGUGGGUCGAUUACCUUGAUAGUUGAUUGGUAAGCGGCCACCAUUUGAUCAAUAAUUCCUUCUUUUUUUUUUUUUUUGCACAGCAGCACUACUCUUUGAGGAUACAGAUGAGUUGGGGCUUCUAUAAGUGGGCAAGAGCCUCAACCCCGAACACAAAAGGCACCGCUACUGCUCGCACCACUCCGUCCACCAACCUUCCGGCGGAUUCACGACAGACACAAGUGAUCGAGCCUCCAGUAGCUCCAGGUUCGUAGGUACCGUCUAUGUUUAUCUUUAGUGUUUCAGCCUGCGGUGGGUUCCAAAAUCGUGACGAUCCGUCGCCGGUCUUACUAGAUUCGCUCGAUUUUGGGUUCCAUCUGUUGAAACUCUUCAACCUAGCUAAAGCGGCUCAAGCUCAUCUUCUGCAACGUCUGCUGAGAUUCCUUCUCAAGUCCUCUCUCUCUCUCUCUCUCUCUCUCUCUCUUUCGGUGGGCGUUGCGAGUUCUUGCUUUUUGUGUACACGAGUCUCGCUGUUUGUGGGUUCGCGGGUGAGAUCGAGUUUCGUGCUUGAGAUGGGUCGGAUUCUGCCGGCGUCGGGAGAGAUGGGUCGUCGGCGUUUAGGCGUUUGGUUUCCGUUUUUUCCGGUUGUUGCUCUGGUUUUAGCUGGUUCCGUGCAAUCUGAGCUCUUUGAGCUCGAGAGGUCGUGCCCCCUCCUCCGUCUUCCUGUGCUCUCGCCCCCCGCGAGAAUUUUGCUUGAGCUGUGGUUUGAGAUCUUGGUUAGGCUUGAGUGAGAAAAGUAGGGAGAGCUGUCGAAACAGAAAGAAAGAAAAUAGAGGAACCCCGAUGCGGGAUGACACGAGUGCGAUUAAAUUUGAGUCGAACGCUACUUAGUGCAUUGCGACGUUGUUUUCUGGAAUUCGAGCUAACUUUAGUUUGGAACUGAUGAUUGACGCGGCGACGGUGACAGGAUAUGACUUGCGGCCCAUUCGGAGGCUUUGAGAAGUUUGCAGAUUGUGGGAAGAUUAGCAGGAACUAAUGAUUAUUUUAGAAAUUAUACAACCGCCUCCAAAAUAUGAGAGCUUUACCUCGUGCAUUGUCAACUUUGACAAGCUGGAGUGAUGCUGCAGUGAAUCAUUCUUAUUAAAUAAUUGUAGCACACUGGCCCACGACUCUAUGCAUAUUUAGCUAAUUCAGGCUACCAAGUUUAUUGACCUAUAGAGAUUUCCAUUUGUGAGUCAGGCUUCUAAACAUUUUCCAUCUCUGGCUGCCAUUGCUUUUGUUGAUAUGCUGUUUGGUAUUUCUUGAAGAUCAUGUAGAUGGAAAUCAUGCGGAAAAACAACGUACCUGUAAAAAUUGAUGGAAUAGCAGGGAGCGCUUCUUUUACUCACACUGCGACAGAAGGUCAAGGAAUGGCUAAUUCAUCAGGAUAUGAAUAUGAAGUAUUCUUGAGCUUCAGAGGAGAAGAUACUCGAACAGGUUUUACCGACUUCCUUUACACUAGUAUGAUAGAUGCGGGAAUCCGCGUCUAUAAGGAUGACGAAGAGCUCCGCAAGGGGGAAAAUUUUGGCCCGGAACUUCUCCGAGCAAUUAAUCAAUCGAAGAUCUCAAUACCUAUAUUUUCGAAAGGUUAUGCCUCUAGCGGAUGGUGUCUCAAGGAGCUAGUCCAGAUGGUCGAGUGCCAAAAAACUAGGGGACAAAAGAUUAUGCCCAUUUUUUAUGAUGUAGCACCUUCAGAGGUUCGACGCCAAAUUAAAGGUUAUGGAGAGGCCUUUCUUACACAUGAAAACAAGAAGCGAUAUGACAAAGAGACUAUGUGUAAGUGGAAGGCUGCUCUCACCACAGUUGGAGAACUAGAUGGAUGGGACUUGCAAAAAAUGGCCAACAGGUAAUUGCCUCUAUCAUUCCAUUUGAUGUGCCUUGUCCCAUUAAAACUUGAUAUGUUUCACUGUUGAAAUUGGAUUUUAUGCUAUUGAAACUUUACCGCAUAAAUCACUCGAAAUAAUGGGACAAUCCCCAUUUUGUCCUUUUUCAUUGCAAACAAUUUUUAUUUUAUUUUAUCUUAUUUUCAGUUAAGGUCAUUCGUUAAUCAUAUGUGCCAAUGCUAAUUCAUUUACAAUGAAGUAAAUCCUUGUAGAAAGCAUUACGAAUAGGUCUUUAGUUUUCACUUUGGUCUUGUUAGAACAUAACUUGGUUCAACACAGUUUUCUAACUCAUUGCCAUUUGACCUCCAACAAACACUAGGAAAGAAGGUGAGAUGGCAAAAAUAAUUACCCAGAAGGUUUUCAAUGAAUUGAAAAAGGCUUAUUUGGUGGUAUCAAACAACUUGGUUGGUGUGGACAGUCAUGUGGAUAAAAUCAUGGAAGAGAUAGGUGCUCAUAUAAAUGAAACGUGGAUCGUAGAAAUUCAUGGGAUGGGUGGCGUUGGAAAGACAACAAUUGCCAAAAUCAUAUACAAUGAGCUUUCCAACAAGUACAACAAUUGUUGCUUCCUUUCCAACAUCCAUGAAACGUCAAAGCUCAGGGGCAUUGAGUACUUGCAGCAGCAGCUCAUCUUCGACAUCCUCAAGAUGAAAGGGACGGAUAUAAGAAACAUUGAUGAAGGGAUUAAGACCAUUAAAGAAAGGUUGCCUAAUAAAAAAGUCCUCCUUCUUCUUGAUGAUGUUGAAGAAAAGGAUCAUAUUGAUGCACUUGUCGGUAAGCGUGAUUGGUUUGGUGAAGGGAGCAAACUUAUUGUUACUACAAGAAGGAAAGAUGUUCUCUGUGUUUUGGAAGUGGACUGGAGGUAUGAGCUUACGUGCUUGGAUCCGAAUCUAUCUCUUCAACUUUUCAGCAGACAUGCCUUUAGAAGAGAUUCUCCUUUAGACGAGUAUAUCAACCAAUCCAAAAGGGCGAUACACAUUGCUGGAGGUCUUCCAUUAACCCUUGAAGUCAUAGGUUCACUUUUAUCCAGCAAAAAUAAAGAAAUGUGGGAUGCCACAUUGAACUUGUUAGAAAGUGUUCCUCAUGAUAAAGUUCAGAAUAAGCUGAAAAUAAGUUAUGAUGCAUUAGAUUAUCGGCAUAAGCAUAUAUUCCUUGAUAUAGCUUGUCAUUUCAUUGGAUAUCGCAAAGACAUUGUGGUUAUUUUCUGGGAUGCAUCUGGACUUUUUUCGGAAGCAACCUUGGAAGUUUUGCAGAACAUGUCUUUGAUAAAAAUUGAAAAAGAUAAUAAAUUGUGGAUGCAUGAUCAACUUAGAGACCUCGGAAGAGAAAUGGUUCGUCAAGAAAGUAAGAUGAAAAUUGUGAAGCAACGUUGGGUGUGGAAUCCCAAGGAAGGAUCGGAUCUGCUGAAGAGCCAUGAGGUAAAAUUCCCUAUAAAAAUAAAUCUCCAAGUUACUUAUGGACAUUUUCUUUUCAAAAGGAAGCAAUUAUUUUUUGUAUUCUCUAGCACCGUCGCGACCUAAUCUCUUUUAAGAUUAAAGGAAUAUAAGUACUCAACUCAACCCCUUAAAAUUUUUCCUUUGGACAGAUGAAGAAAAAAGUUGAAGCUCUUCAUUUCAAGGUUGACGAUCAGCACCAUUUUACCUAUGAGGACUUUAAGAACCUACCCAAUCUAACGUUCCUUAAAUUGGAGCAUCUUUGGCGCGAAAGGCCAUUAAAAUUUUUUUCAGCUAAUUUAUUCCAGAAAAAUUCAAAUCUCCUUCCAAAAUUACAAUGGCUUUCUUGGCAUAAUAUUCACCCAACAUUUGAGAUUACAAAUUUCUCCAUGGAUAAUUUGAUUAUCCUCGAUCUAUCUCAGAGUAAAAUUACUCAUGAUUGGAAGGGGUGGAGCCACAUGAAGGUAUGUUAUAUUCUAGACAACACUUAUUCUUUCGCCUUAUUAGAUUCAAAAGUAAACUUUGCAUGAUUUUUCUUUUACAGGUGAUUAAAAAUUUGAAAGUUCUAGAUCUGACCAAGUGCGAAUGCUUGAAGAUAACCCCCGACUUAUCUGCUCAUUCAAAAUUAGAAUGUUUGAUCCUAUUGGGUUGUUCUUCGUUAAUCGAAAUUGAUAGAUCAAUUUGUCAGUUGAAAUGCUUGGUUUUCUUAGAUGUAAGUGAUUGUCAGAGUCUUCAGAGGCUGCCAAAUGAGCUGGGAGAUCUUGCAAGCCUCAAAUACCUAUCUCUAAAUGGAUCCUUGUGUUUGAAGAGGCUUCCGGAGACAAUCGGGAAUUUGAAAUCGCUGAUUGAGUUGAACAUGAGUGGCGUGAGAAUCAAAGAACUACCCGAUUCCAUCAAAAAGUUGAAGAAUUUGAAAAUAGUGAAUAUGAAAUAUGUUGAGAUAAGCAAAAUACAUGAUAACUUUUGGACAAUAGAGAAGCUUGAAAUAACAGAACUCAUCUACUAUAAUUAUGAUGACAAGCACGUGGCAAUUGGUGAUUGCAUCUAUGAGAAUAAAUCCUUGACGAUCUUGAGAUUGUCAACGGCGGCGACAAUACACGCCCCACCAAGGCUCCCUGAAAGUCUUUUGGAAUUAGAACUGAAAUGGUUGAGGGAGGACACGUUUCCGGAUCUCUCAAAUCUCACUAACUUAAAGGUAUUGGAUCUGACCUUUGGCCCACCUAAUUGUGAUGGGAAAUCUGAUGGGCUUCUGGAAGAACCGAUACCACCGUGGAUUGGGAACUUAACCAAAUUGGAAUCUCUGAAAAUCUGCUUUCCCUGAUCGACUCAUUGACAGACCUCAGCCUCCCUCCUCAUCCGCGUCGCCUCCCGAGGCUUCCCUCAAAUUUAUCCUCCUUACUUCUCGAGGGUUGCGUCUCACUUUGCUCGAUGGAUCUAUCGAAUUUGAGGAAACUAUCGUCUCUCAACAUUUCGGGGUCUGCAGUUGCAGAGAUUGAAGGCCUUGGUUGUUUGGAGAACCUACGAGAUUUCCACCUUUGGUACGUCGGACAGCUGGUGAUGCUACCUGAUCUAAGCAAGUUAAACAAGCUAAGGAAUAUUGCAGUAUGGGGGUGCGGUAAUCUGGUUGAGAUUCAAGGCGAACUACCGCGGUUUUUGGAUUAUCUUUCAAUUGAUUACUGCGAUUCGUUACGGGAGUUCCCCGAUCUGUUCAGCUUACCCGAUCUGUUCAGCUUAAUGGGUAAGAAAGAUGUUUGUAUGCAUAUUUGCAUUCAGGUGUUUGAAUAUAAACGUAGACAUCGGUUGCUGGUUCGUGGCUUUAAACAGAUGCAGAUCCCUGAUCUAAGCAAUUGGAACAGACUAACAAUUCUUUCAGUAGUAUCUUGUCAUAAUCUGGUUGAGAUUCAAGGCAAACUACCCCAAUCUUUGGAAACAUUGUAUAUUAGCAGCUGUAAAUCUUUAAAGAAGUUGCCUGAGCUGUCAAGCUUGAAUAGACUGCGAGAGGUUACAAUAUUACGUUGUGGGAAAUUAGCAGUGGAGGAAAUUUCUCGGCUUUGCUCGGAGAAGUCAAUCAAAUUUGUGGGAGAAGAAGAUGAAGAAGACGAAUCUGUGGAAGAAGACGAUGAAGAAGACGAAUCUGAUGAAGAAGACGAUGAAGAAGAUGAAUAAGUGCACGUUGCACUUGGAAGCUUUUUGAUGCGCGACCACAAAUUGUUCCCUUGUGUUCAAACCUUAAACAAAUUGAGGUAAGUACCAAUGUUUUCCUUUUUUUGGCAAUCAAAUUCUUUCACAUAUAUGAACAGAGAAGUUUUGCAUGCACUUUUUAACGACCUUUUAGCGGAUUCUUGUCUGAAAAUCUGAUGAAGGUAUUUAAAUUAUGAUGCCUCCGAACAGCCAGAGGGCUCUUAAUUAUGUACGAGUAUUUGUGUUCUUUUCCUAGUUUGGUUUGGCUUUUUUAGCUACAUUUUCUUAGGAUGGUUUCUCCUAGAGGUAUGCAUGUCGAUUGCAUCAUUUUUAUUUGAUAUGUAACAAAUUAUUAGAGACCGUUGUUGAUUUGCUGCUUCACACAUAUUUUGAAAUUGAUAACCUCACUUCACAAGGGAGAUAAAUUCGCUAUGCCGUAAACAAAUAGAUGGAAUGUGUGUUGGAAGGUCAUACAAAUAUGGUUCUCAUUCUGGGACUUUACAGCACAAUCAACUCAUUGUUGCGACUUUGAAGUAGACAGACACUCUGUAUUGCCAUGCUUAAGUUCAGUUUAUUUUUCAGGAAACGUGUGCUUCUUAGUGCGAUUUGCAAAUGUUAUGGAGAAGUCAUAAAUGAGGGAGCCACCACAAUUCUGAGAUUACCAGUGUGGCAGCACUGGCUAAAGCAAUAGCACCAGAAUAUUUUAUCUCAGCAAUGAUGCCUUCAAUCAUAGCAAUCUUUGAUGGGCACACUGACAAAAAUCAUUCUGUGCAGCAAACGUCGCCUACAGGAGUAACUGAGAGAACGCAGCAUUCGCUGUACCAGUAGAGAAGGAGCGCCCUUUUGCUGAGACUUGAGAAUUGCACUCACUUACAAAAGAUUGGUAAGAAAAAGAGAGCACCUUCCCUUGGGGCUGCCUUCAGUAAUAGAACUGUGCAUUCUGAAGCAAUAUUGGCAUUGUUUCUGUCAUGAGAUCCACUCAAUUCCAGGAAAACACUGGCACUGCCACCAAAGUCGGUUAUGCGUCAUAUGCUACUCGCCACCUCAGAAGAACUUUCAUCAAGUAGUGGUGGCUCUUCCAUGUACACAAAACCUUUCAUAGAACCUAGCGAUCAUAAAAGAAGAGCUUUACACGAGCCAAGCGUCAAUUUGAGAAAUUCUUCCAUAUUCUUCGCAUGUACAAAAUCCAAAAGGAUUCCAAUCUGCCAUACUACUUUCAGUUGAGAAAGCAACUUGGGAUCCAUUUCUGGAGCCAAUGCCAGAGCCACGCGCAGCUCAACAUCAUUCACAUUUGCACAGGACAGAUCAUCAAGUGAAAAUCUGAAGCAGUGGCUGACUGUCUAUGGUUGUAGAAUCUCAAAAUUUUUAGUCAAGUUGAACUCUAUGAGCAUCAGGAGGAGCUUCUGCACACACAUUGGUAUCGGGGUCCUCAUCCUCAUUCAAGGUCAGUCAAAGAGGGAGAAAUUGCAUCUAGGAUAUGGAUUUCAAGCCUGGCAGCUUAUGCUCUAACUCUGGAGUUUUGAUUAGGAAAACGAACAUUGCAUCAAACGGAAUCUUGAGGGACAGAAAUCUGGCAUCACCAUCCUUGUUGGCCUUAUACAGAACAUCCAGACUCAGCAGAAUCCCACAGAUGAAUACGUCAGAGCUUUCAGGAAUCCAGUAUGACUCCUCUGUGAUGGACUCAACGCUUGCAUUUUGAGCCGGCAAUGCAGGUUCUAGGAACGGAUCAACGUUGUGCUCUGCUUUCCUUGUUCAAUCCUGAACUUCUCUUGGAUUGUGUUUGUAAUUAGUGUGCUGAAUUAUGCUUCGUGUGAAUGUGAACCAUCUAAGUUUUGCCUGUCCAGUGUUUGGUGAUCAUGUGCAAUUUGGUGUUUGAUGAAAUGAGCUAUGUGCUUGAGAUUGCGUGUGCUGGAUUGUCACCUUCGAAGCACUUGAAGCUAAAGCUGAAGCUGAAGCGCAAGGUCUAUUGCAAUGGCUUCCUCUCUCUCCGCACCCCCACAGGCAAGGUACCUUCGCUUUCACUACUAAUCUCUACCACUGAUGUCCAGCUCAACCCGAUCAGCAAUUUAGUUGCCUUUGAUUGGGCUAGGACAUGAUUCAGUUUGAUUGGCUAAUCUAUGUCAAAAUGGCAGUGGCUGUUAAAUUAUUACUGUUUUCUCCCAAAUUUAGCUUGCUCGAUCGAACUGAACAGCGGCAGCUUGAUGCUGCUUACGAUUUCAUUUUUUCUAUCAUCACGGAUUGUUCUAUUUUGUGCUUCUGGUUGUAAUACUCGCCGUGAUUGAGCUUGUUUUGAGUAGAUUAGUCCAUGCUGUGAUUGAUGGUUGGAUAAUGCCGUAUCAUGGCAGCGAGCAGCUGUUGGAAUGCAGGAUUUUGAAGAAUGAUGAAGUUAUUUGUUCCGGUGAGUCACUGAUUUCAAUGCUUAUUUGGUUGAUGUUGGAGAGCCUGGAGGAGGACAAAAGCCUCUAGAUGAUACUUAUAUUCACAGCCUGAUUAUUAUUUGGCAAUUGGAUUUAUAAGUUCCCUCUGCCGAGGGUAUUCCUUGCUUGUUUUCUUCAUAGUUGUUUUGUUGGUUCAAAUCAUCAGUAGGUGCAAUGUGAUGAAUGUGAAGUUCUUGGGUUUGGUUUGUUAAAAGUCCAAAUGGGUAUAUUUUACUUAUUGUUUGUCUUGGAAAAAAGAGCGUUGCUUGCAUACAAAUACGCGUAGACCCUACUUUGUGAUGCUUUGCUUGUUGCUUGUGUGGGAAAUUAAAUAUUUGUUCUUUUCCUUGCUUCAAACAGCUACUUGGGUAUGGUUCAUGUAUUGAUUGAUUUAGAAUCUAGAUGUAAACAUUUGCAAUUGAUCUACUGUUGCUUUUGUUCAAUGCAACUGAUCUUUUGAAACUCCAUUUUUUUCGUUAAAGUUUUUCCUUUUGUUAACCUUACUUUCAAUUGAUGCAGAGCUUUGGUUGAGUUUUUGGAUAUGAGGUUCAGUAUAAUCCCCUCUAUGAAUUACGAGGUGUGUUUUCCUUUUAGCUACUUAAAUCCUUUGGCAUGGAAUCUACAGUUGUAUUGCCUACAUAACUUUUCAUUUUCUGCAGAUGCUCCUAAUUCCUCAGAAACCGAAAAAGAAACACUGGUUAUUUUAGAAGAAACUGGUCGCUUAUGAUGUUGCAACCUGCCGGAAAUGGGAACCAAAUUGAUACCGUCCCUAUACCCUACAUAUAUAGAUUCUACAUCCCAAAUAGCACAGCUUGCUUUACAAUGCCUCCAAAUGACUCCUAACGAGCAGCCUUCGAGAUCUAAAGUCGUGGAAGAACUGGAAUCAGUAGACACUGGCAUCGCUAAUAGAAUAGAAGGGGAUAGUUAAAUUCACUUAUUAUGUCAUUCUUACUUUAUGUGAUGUAAGUCAAAGUCUGUUGUUCCACACUUUUCCAUUUUCCCGGGAACAAUCCCGGGCUUUGAAUGUUCAUUUCUAUUGUACCCAGCAGUUACUAGGAGUUGUCUUCUCUUGUAAGUUCUUUGGAAUAUCCAUGACAUGUAUAUUAAUAAAUGCACCGCUUUGUGAAUUGAGAUGUGAUUGUACUUAUGUUUAUGAGAGGAACAGUUCUUUAAGGCUAAUCCUCGAUCUUGUUGGCAAUCUGAGGUCCACAGAAGAAGUCCGUUGCUCUUCAAGAGCCCGAGCUCUUUAAUUUUCUUACAUGCUUGGGCUUUGAACAUGCGCAAAAGGUCAUUUUGGUUGCCAUUACGAAUGUGUUUAUGUGGUGCUUGCUCUGCAAUCAAUCUCCAGGAAGUGCUAGGCGGUUCAGUCCAUUCUCAUGGUAUUUUUGAGCUAUGAGACAUGGUUGGGGAAAUUGAUGGGAGUCAUUUAAGGCAAAGUGCUGCUCAGUUGUCCAUUCAGAAAGAGCAAGAUAUGACUUUUGGUGCUGUCAUGUUGCAGCUAAGACAUGUCUGAUUGUUUUGUGCUAAUAAGAGACAUUUCUUAUCAUAUGCCAGUUUUAGAUAAAACUUUUCAUGUGACAUCAUAAAAGACUAAAUUUUAUUUUGGGUUAAUACCCUGAAAAACCCCAAACUGGUACACAUGUGACAAAUUUAUCCAAAACUAUUUUUUUGAUCAUAAAAAACCCCAAAUUGGUACAUCCGUGACAAAUUUACCCCGACUAACUAUAAAAAAAAAAAACCCUAAACUGGUAUAUUUAUGACAAAUUUACCCCAAACUAAUUUAUUCGGCCGCAAAAAACUCAAAAAUGAUAAAUUUGUGACAAAUAUACCCUCGCUAAAUUGGAUUAAUACUACAAAAAAAAUCACAAAAAUUGUAAACUGUGAUAAAUGGAGCAUAAAAUCUUAAAUUGGUAUACCAGUUAAUUGUCACGUGUCAUUUAACUUAAUAAUUUAACAUUAAAAUUUAACGAAAACUAAUAGAGGGUAAAUUUGUCACAAGUGUACCAGUUUGGGGUAAAUUUGUCAAAGGUAUACCUGUUUUGGGUUUUUGGUGGUCAAAAAAAUAGUUUGGGGUAAAUUUGUCACAAGUGUACCAGUUUGAGGUUUUUCAGGGUAUUAAUCCUUUUAUUUUUAUAUUCUCAAAUUUAGAUAAGACUUUCCAUAUGACAUCAUAAAUUACUAAAUUUUAUUUUUAUAUUCUCAGUAACUUAGCCCAUUGGUUAUUGUACUUUCUUCACUAUUUGUAAAUCUAAGGGCCCUAUUAUUUUCGACACUUCUUAUGUAAUUUUUUUUUUUGAACUUGUUGAUAUGUCUCUUUUACAUCACUCUCAACGCGAAAAUAUAAAAGUUGCCAUCAUUUUGUUUUUUUUUUAAAUUUUAAACAAAUUAAAAAAAUAAAUUGAUUACACUAAAGAACUUUCCAAAUAUAUGUUUAUCAAAUAGUAAUUUCCCAAUGUUACUUCUCAAGUCAUUUUAAAUUGCAAAUUACUAAACAGUCUUUGCAUUUCACAGAACUCCUUUAGGCUAAGGGCCUUUACAUUAGCCAAAGGCGUUCCCCAAAAGUCAAAGCAAACACACCCAUAAAUGGGUACUUGAAAUUGAGCUUUAUGCAGACCUUUUUGCUUGAUUGUUGUUGCCCUGCUAUGUGACCUGCUGUUUUGUGUAAAUCAGCGAUAUAGUCGUCAUCAUCAUGGCUGAAGCGCUCUUGGAGAUCCGGCCUCAUGAAGUCAAGUUUAUCUGUGAGUGUAUAUAGUGCUGUGCGUUUGGUUCAUUUUUAUUUUGGAGCUACAUUCAAUUUGUGUUGCUUGCCUCCUGUUUUACUAGGCAAUAAGUGAAGGGGAUGAUAUUUCUUUGUUCUACAAUAAUUUGCUUGAGAAUUUGUGGUUCAACAUCAUAAAUAAUGGUAAAAGAAAUAUCUUAAAUAAGAGCUUCAAUGGCGAGUAUGAAUUGGUUAUUGGUCGCCCUGCUUUUCAAAUUCUUUUCCUAGUGUUGAAUUCUAAUUUUUGGUUAGGUUCUUUCUUUUUGCAUAGUUUCUAUUCUCGCACCACAAACUCUUAGAAUACCUUGUGAGGUGAAUUUCUUUCUGGAGAUAAAGUAAGUAAGUGAGUGUUGUAACCAAAUGACUGAGAAUGAUCGGUACAGAAAACCAACACGGAAAAUGAGAUUUCGUUGCUGCAUUAUGUCUUCAAAGAAAAUGUAUGAUGGUCCAUUUCAUCACAUCCUACUCUCAUGUUGUGCCCCGUUAAGUUCUUUUAUCUGAAGCCUCUUCUCCAUGUUUAUGCAGUUGAGCUGAGUAAACAAAGCUCAUGCUUGAUUCCGCAACAAGACUGAUCGGUAUGUUGCUUUCAAGGUGAGGAUUUUUUGCACCUUUUCAUUCACCAUGAUCGUGCUUUACUUUUUUUAAGGUGCGGUGGGCUAACAAUUUUCUUUCAAUCCUGUAUUCUCCUGAUGUAAUUUAAAUUUCAGAGUAGGACAUCAAUGCAUUAAAAGCUCUCUACUAUGGAGAAACAUUAUGAGCUUUAUACUGGAUAUCCAAAACAUUCCAGGUUAAGUCUACAUCUUUGAAGAAAUACUGUGUGCGGCCAAAUGUAGGCAUCAUCAACCCAAAUGGAGCAUCUGAUUCAAAAUUGUGCUGCUCAAGUCUGAGGAUCAUCAUGUUCACAUACUUAUUAAAGCCACUAACAUACUUGUGAGGAGGGACAUGCCUGCAGUACCUAAAUCAGCUAAAUAAUUAUUCUGCAAUUUUUUUGCCGUGACAUGUCAAUUGGACUGUAUUAUUGUUGGGUUACGAACUGCUUAAGGUAGAGUCAGUCUAAUUGUAGCAAGGAUCAUUUUUUAAUAAGAUUUUGAAUGCCUACCAUAGUAGCCUAAUAUACAUCGAGAUAAAUUAGUUUUUUGUGGGGAGAAUUACCCAAAAAGUCUUAAACCUAUUGUAAAUGUGUCAAUUCAGUCCUAAAUCUUUUUUCUGUCCAAUUUAGUUCUAAACCUUUUAUAAUUGCUUCCGUUGCUAAGGGUAUUGCUGCCCUAUCUAUCCCGUCUAACAUCGCUGCAGUUAUCGGUACUUGGGAUGAUCCACUCCCCACCCUUAACAACCAUGAUGACCGUCUGGUGUGGAUUGGCCACUCUUCAGGUCAGUUUUCUACUGCUUCUGCAUGGAGUAUGCUUCGAGCUAGAGGCUCCUUGGUUAAUUGGUCUCGAUUUAUUUGGAGUUCCACUCUUCCCCCACGCUAUCAGACCCAUCUAUGGCUCAUCACCCGGAAUAGAUUGCCAACCCAGGUCUUGCUUCUGUCGUAUGGGAGGAUCUCGGAUGGUUCCUGUGCCUUCUACUCAAGUAGGCCAGACUCAAUCGACCACUUAUACUUUGGUUGCUCAGUCACGGGUAGGAUGGUUUCGUUUUGGGCUCUAAAUUGUCACUUGAAUUGGCGAAAUGGUCCUUGGAAGGACAAUCUUCAGUGGGUGGUCAGCCACCUCUCGGACUCGUCUUUCCAUCACUCCAUUUCUCGCUUUGCAUUCGCUGCUAUGUGCUACCUUAUAUGGAAGGAGCGAAAUAAUAUAAUCUUUCGGAAUCAUACAUUAUUCCUGCCCGCCCUCAAAGAAAAUCUUCGGAAAGCUGUCAAAGAUAGAGUCUCCACUUUUUCAAGAAUCCCGGACAAUCCGUGUAAUCGAAGGAUCCAAAUGGCCUAGGGAAUCCAUCCUGCAAUCUUUGAAUAACUCUGUUAUUAAUCUCUGGCCCGUUACAUCAUUAUGCUCCUCUUUCGGUUGCCUUGGUGCCUCGGCUGCUUUUGGGUUCCCCCCCCCCCCCCCCCCCCCUGUUUAUCGUCUUGGCAGGUUGUGGCUCCCGGGCUCUUGGCUCUUGCCUGUUCCUUUCUCUUGGUCGUAUGUUUGGCCUUUUGUUGCUGGUGCUUCUUUUCUGCUUUGCAGCCCAUCCGCCUCCCGUCCACUCAGUUUGACGCUUGUGUCAGCUUGAGUGUAUGCUUGGAGGCGGUUGGUUGUUGUGCCUUUGUGUAACUCUUUGGUUCUAUAGCUAUAAUAUUCUUACCUCUUACCAAAAAAAAAAAAAACCUUUUAUAAUUGUGUCAAUUCAGUCCAUCCAGCCAAAAUUGACCGGCCUGCAUUGACGUGGAUGCCGGCGGGGGACAGCCGGCCAGCGAGGCCCCACCAGAUCUGGUGAGGUCAACCUCGCCGGCCAUUGGCGAGGGCGAGGCCUUGCUAGAUCCAGCAAGCUCGGCCCUUGCCAAGGCUGGGCGAGGCUGAGCCUCGCCAAAUCUAGCAGGGCCUCGCCUAGCCAUGGUGAGGGUCGACCUCACCAAUGGUCGGCGAGGCUGCCGUCACAGUGGAAAGAGCUUGGAGCUGCCCGUACGAGACAUUCUCCAAGCAAAUGCCGCCGCCUUGCACCUGAUCCCUGCCCUCCCCGACCGAAUUCACCCUCUCGAGGGCCACAAUGCCGAGCACCGAGGAGUGAGGGCAGUUCACGGCGCUCUUGAUGAUGGGAGGGAAGUUGCGGAUAAGGCAGCCUUGUCGCGGCUAUUGGCGAGGUCGACCCUCGCCUUGGCUGGGCGAGGCCCGGCCGGAUCUGGCGAGGGUCGAGCUCGUCGGAUCUAGUGGGGCCUCGCCCUCGUAGGCCCUCGCCUCCUACCGGCGGAGGUAAGCCUCAUUGGCCCUCGCCUCCUAUCAGCGGGGGUGAGCCUCAUUGGCCCUCGCCUCCUAUCAGCGGGGGUGAGCCUCACUGGCCCUCGCCUCUAGCUGGCGUCGUCCGACCAGAGGAAAGGGAAGAUGGGAAAAAAUAAAAAAAAAAUAAAAGAAUUUUAAAAUUUUAAAAUUCAAAAAAGAUAUAUAUAUAUAUAUAUAUAUAUAUAUAUAUAUAUAUAUAUAUAAAUUGCCUCACCGGUCGGCUGUCCUCCACCGACGUCCACGUCAGCGCCGACCGGCCAACUUUGGCCCGAUGGACUAAAUUGGACCAAAAACAGGUUUAGGACUAAAUUAAUAUAAUUGUAAUAGGUUUAAGACUUUUUUGGCAAUUCUCCCAUUUUUUGUGUUAGAAAACUCUCGAAAUAAUUUUUUUUUUUUAUACCUAGGAACCGUACAGACGGCAGGUAAAUCCUGGGGCGACGCUAGUAAAGGACCCAUCACCCCGACAUUCGCGCUUAAGAUCCUAUGCGUCUUGCGGGAUUCAAACUCCUGUGUCCUGGAUAGACGUCAUGGGAGCUCUUAUCUAGUUAGGCCACCGCAGUGGUUCAAAAUAGUAUAUUUGUAUUAUAUUUACCUCCAAAUUAAUUUUCGUGUGACUAGCCAAACGUAACUCAUGAGAUUAUCUCUUCGGCCCCGUCCCCGAACCAUGGGAAGAAAAAUACAGGAAUUUUGGAGAAAAAGAAUUACAGACUCCGAGAAGUUAUCAAAUGCGCCGUCGUUGUGGUGGUAGUCGGAGAUUAUCUCUUCGGAUAGGGCUGCCGGCGGGAGGAGAAGAGGCCGACGGGCGGCGGUGUGAGGCGGCGGAGCUCGGAGGCCUUCUCGAAGAGGCCCUUUGCGCCUCUUCGAGUACGCCCCGAUUCCCUCGGCCGAAGAGAUAAGCUCCGACUACUUCCGCGGCGGCGGCGGCGGCGGCGGCGGCGACGGCGACGUGGUGCCGCCGAUGGGUGUGACUGGAUUGAGGCUGAGUGGGAUUCUUGCGCAACGAAGGAGGACGUGGAGUCCCGGAUCGGCGAAGUAUGACGCCGUUCGUGAUUUCGUACGCAAAGAAAUUGGAAAGAUAUGGGAAGAAUUCGUCUUGCGAUGAUCGGUGCUGGUGGCGAUUCCGGAGCUGGGUUCGGUUGUAAUUGUGAAAUUUUGGCCGAUAGAGAGAUGGGUUCCGUUGUUGUGAGCUUUACAGUUUCUUGACUUUGCCGGAGAACUCGGCCAUCGGCGGUGGAAGCUCGGGAGAGGAGUCUGACGCUCUGUGAUCUUGAGGGCUAUGGAUAUGAUCCUGACCACUUUCUUACACUUGAAGAUUUGGAUGUUAUUCUGUGAUGUAAACUUGAAAUGCAUGUGAUUUUUCUUGUUAAACUUGAUGGUACAGAAUACAUGGGGUGGGUUGUGUUCAAAUUCGUCCCCUUUUGGAUGAGAAAAGCAUCAUUUAGUCAGUUGCUUCGUUGGUGAAGUUGGGGAUAGGAGGGAGAUUCAUGAUUUGUUGCUAGCUUGUGAAAGAGACGAGCUUUGAUUUAGACUGUCUUAUUAUGGCAAUGAAUUGACUGUCUCGGAUGAUGAAUGGCAAUGCCAGUGAAUGCAAAGCUUUCCACUGUCUGUGGAGUAUUAUUGCUUAUGAGAUCGGAUAGUUUAUGCGACUAAUCAUCUGUUCAUUGAUGAUUUCUUGUGGGAGAAACUUAGAAAAUGGUUUUGGAGAUAGUGGUUCAGAAGAGAGACGAGGAGCUUGUCAGUACUCUAAGGGGCUUCGAUGUGGAUGUCAGCAUGGUCCUUGAGGAUGUUACUGAGUAGUAUGUAUCUCUCUCUCUCUCCCCCUCUCAAAUUUACUUGUGCUUCAAGACGCUUCUUGCAUUACUUUGGGGUGAAGGGAAGCCAUUCCAUGUUCUUGACGUCAAUUUAUUAUCUGAAGGGGCAAAUGACCUUGAUUUGUAUGUAUUAGCAUUGGAAGUUAUCAUACCCGUGGUUUUUGAGGCCUCUCUGUCCUCAUUUUGAUCUAUGCUUCUAACUGAGAAUCGGUACUCGCACAAGCAUCUGCAAUUUGGCCUUGCUCAACAUCCAACGCCCCCCUUUUUUCCUGUCACUCCUCUUCUUAUUGACCUUCUUAAUAUAAACUGUGGGAGCUUCAUGCGAUCUUAAGAUUCUGUUUUCAUUCUUGCAUACAGUGAAAUCACUGCUGAAGCAUGAAGGGUAACAAAACUUGAUCAGAUUUUGCUUAACGGAAACAACAUAGCUAUUGUAAGAAACAACUUCUUCCUUCUGCUGGUAAUUAUAUGGCUCUAUGUUUUGAGCCCUUGCUUUGAUAAGGGCAUGGUCUUGCCUAAAGUUUUGGUAAUCUAUCAACUAGUAAGCAAUUGCCUUAACCAAACAGAAACAAUCCGCCGCUCAGCUGCUCAGAGAGAUUCCUUCUGAUAAGACUCAAAAUGCUUAGACAAUGUAUUGAUGAAUCAUUACUGGUCUUGAUUUUGUGGUAAAAAGGUCAUCAUCACCUAUUCUUCACAAUCUGGUCCUUUGUCUCAAUCAACCUUGUGUCCACCUCUUGAUAAAUAUAAAGCACAAGUGGUGUGGCAAUUAAGUUACUGAAAAGCUAGAAUUCUGCUUUCAAGUGCUUGAAGCACUUAAGUGAUGAUGCCUUCCUUUUUGUCUUAAUGCAGUUAGUCCCUGGUGUCUCCCCUGAUCCGGAAUGAGUUGGGUUCAUCCUCUAACUCCAGUGGCUGAUUAUGUAGUUACUUUUAGUUGUUGGAAGCCCCAUCAGCAACAUCAUUUGAUUUUAUAACCUCUUUUUAUGGGUUUAUGAAUCUGCACCUUAGUCAAUUGAGCUCUUAUUUGAUUGAGCCCAUGCGUGAAUGUCUGAUGCAAAUAGCUCAACAGAUGGUGCAUGAUCACAUCAUCCUAUUAUCCAAUAUCUAUGUUUUGCUCUACUAGAGGGUGUGACAAUGGUUGUCAUGCUUGGUGCAAAUUGUUCCUAGGUUUCAUCUUCCAGUGCAUUGUUAUUGAAGAACCUGUCUUGGCUUGUUUUAGAGUUCUACAGUUUUUGGCCGUUGACUGCACAAUGAUAUCUGUAUUUGCGCGCCGCAACCAUGCUAUCUUCUUGGUGGCCUGCUAUUUGACUACCCUCUCUGUUUUAUAGUACAUUCUCAACCUAAAUGCAGAAGGGUGUGUUCCCAAUAUCCACUUUGGAAAAGAUCAAAGAAUUCCACUUAUGUGCUUGUUGCUCUUUGCUUGAAAAAAUUCUACUUUAUUAUGCAGUAUGGUUCUGGUACCGAGACAUCAGGCCGAAGAUGUGCACUGUACUGCAUACAGCUAGAUGAAUAAUGGACGUAUUUUGCUCCAAGAGAUUUCAAUAUUCCACCCAAGUAGCUGUAGUUGCUGCACAUUGUGAAAAGAUCCACGCCCAAAGCGAACUCACUUGUUUUGACCAUGACUGGUUUUUUGUCGUUCAUGUUUUCAAGGCGGUUGGCUAUUUGGGUGGAGUGUUUUUUCCUGUUUUUGCGGUAGUGACAUUCAUCAGAGUUUUCUAGAGGAUUUCAGACUGCUGAAAGAGUGAGCUCAGAGCUCGUGAGGUGUGAUAUUGCUUGCAGACUUUGGUUAGAGCGACAAGAUCUAUAUAGGCUGGAAAUAAAGGUGCUGAAGAUUCACCAUAGGCCUCUUCUUUAUCGCUUGUUUUCAUGUAUAUUCACAACUGCAAACGAGCUUGACUUGAGGCAUGUAAAAUGAAGGGUAUAUGCUGAGAACUUUGUCUAGGCAUAGGUGCAUUUUUCUUAUUUGAAGCUUUAUUGGCCAUCGAAGCUCAUCAUCAUGAACAAGUUUGCAGUUUCAUUCCGAUUUUGAUUAGUUCAAACACAUGGUACGAGGUUCUUAUAAAAAUGCUAUGUGUCAGAAUUCCCGAAGUUGGAUCCAAAGUUAAAUAUAUAACAUGAUGUUUUUGUUCUGAGAUACUAAUAAUAAAAGACAGCUUGUUUUGAGUAUGUUGAUAUUUUCCUGUGACUGGUACGGUUCUUUUUCAUUCUUUCACCCAUUUCACCGUAACACAUGGUGCUACAACAAUUGUACCCUUAAAAAACAACGUAGGUUGGGUUGGGAAAGCAGUUAUAUUUCAGUAAUUGGAAGAUUAAUGUGUGACUAGUCAAACAGGGGAUUGUGAUUUUCCCUAGAUAUGAUGGAUACUCCUGAGGUGGUCAUAUAGUUAAUUUCAUUGUGGAGACCAAAUGGAAGAGGAAUUGAAUAUGCAAGGGAUGAGUGGGAGAAGAAUUAACCAAUUCAAUCAGGAGUGACUUCAGGCUAUAUGAUGUUUCCUUGAUUAGUUUCUUAUUCACAGAGUUAGUCUACACAAAAAGGCAGUUUGAUUUGUCUUCAAGCUAUUAUUCUAGUUGCAAUUUGAUUUAGCAAAUAAAAUGCAUACAUUGCAAUCAAUCCUACAUAAUUUAUUAUGACACAUCCUCCUGAAUCAAUGCCUCUGCUUGCUAAUUUGCAUUGCCAUUCUCCUAAAAAUCAUGAUAGGUCUGCUAGGGAAGGAGAUCAUCGCUUCUCACAAAUUUUUCAGUCCUUUAAUUCUUCUUGGAAUUGCAUUCCUUAUGAAAUGGAAAUCCUAGAUUCAAUGUUAAGACAAAGUUUCAUCCAAAAUUGGAUCGUGAUGUUCCAAAUGAAUCACGUUAGGUUAGUGAUGCUUGCUGAACAAUGUGUAAAAAUCACAAUGAUUAAAAAUGAAAAUUACUAGAUUUCAAUCUGGAGUAGUGAUUGAGAAAUCAAACUCUAACUCUCAACCUCUAUUCUGACCUUCUCAAUUAAAGUAUGGCUAGUAUGAAUGUCGAGACCUGAUUUUGUCGUUUUACUUCUCUUUUGGACAAAUUUAGAGAAUCACUUUAUGAUUAUGCAUUUAAAAGUGGUGUUGCGAGUAAGGUAUCGCAUUCACUUUAAAUUAAUUUUUUGUGUUGCAAAACUCCCAAAACAAUAUAUCCGUAUUACCUAUAUAUCCUCAAAUUAAUUUUGGUUUAACUAGCCUAACGGGAUUCACGAGAUUCUCUUCGGCUGUCCCCGAACCACGGGAAGAAAAAGACUGGAUUUUGGAGAAAGAGAAGAGGUUUUUAGAGCGAGACACACUUGCCAACCUACUUCAGACCCAAAAAAGAAAAAGCACACUUGCCGAUCUAAGUAAGUUAAAAGAGGACCAAAAUAUUAGGAAAUUCCGAAAAGUUUUCAGAUGCGCCGGCGCCGUGGAGGUAGUCGGAGAUUAUCUCUUCGGAUAGGGCCCGUCGGCGGCCGACAAGACGCCGACGGGACGACGGUGUGAGGUGGCGGAUUUCGGCGGCCUUCUUGAAGAGGCGCAAAGGACCUCUUCGGGUAGGCCACGAUUCCCUCGGCCGAAGAGAUAAUCUCUGACUACUUCCGCGGCCGCGGCGACGGCGACGGCGACGGCGACGUGGUGCCGCCGAUGGGUGUGACUGGAUUGAGGCUGAGUGGAAUUCUUGGGCGACGGAGGAGGACGUGGAGUCCCGGAUCGGCGAAGUAUGACGCCAUUCGUGAUUUUGUACGCAAAGAAAUUGGAAAGAUCUGGGAAGAAUUCGUCUGCGAUGAUCGGUGCUGGUGGCGAUUCCGGAGCUGGGUUCGGUUGUAAUUCUGAAAUUUUGGCCGAUCAAGAGAUGGGUUCCGUUUUUUAGAGCUUCAAAGCUCGUUGCCAGGCUCUCUUCGUGGACUUGAGUUGGAGAUGGCGACGGCUUCUUGACUUUGCCGGAUAACUCGGCCAUUGGCGGUGGAAGCUCGGGAGAGGAGUCGACGCUCUGCGAUGAGGGCUACGCAUAUAAUCCCGACCACUUUCUUACACUCGAAGAUUUGGAUGUUCUUCUGUGAGGUAGAUGUGAAAUGCAUGUGAUUGUUCUUAUUAAACUGCACCGUACAGAAUACAUGGGGUGGGUCGUGUUCAAAUGCGUCUCUUUUCGUAUGAGAAAAGCAUCAUUUAGUCAGUUGUUUCGUGGGUGAAGUUGGAGAUAGAGGGGAUUCAUGAUUUCAGUGGUAUUUCUCUUUUGCUAGAUUGUGAGAGAGACUAGCUUUGAUUUAGACUGUCUUAGUAUGGGGAUGAGUUGACUGUCGGGGGAGAUGAAUGGUGGUGCCAGUGAAUGUGAAGCUUUCCACCGUCUGUGGUGUACUAUUGCUCUUUAGAUCGGAUAGUUUAUGCAACUAAUUAUCUGUUCAUUGAUGACUUCUGUGGGGGAAACUCAGGAAAUAGUUUUAGAGAUUUGGUUUUUAAACUGAACUUACAACUGUGAUGUACGUCUUGAGGGAACAUCGGGCAGUUUGUUCUGUGUGUGCUUCAUAGCUUUCGGGCAGUAGGAAAAAGGUAAAAUUUCUGAAGGAACACAAUUAAAAGCAGUGAUUUGGAAGUCCUGUUAUAUGCAGUUCCUUUCUUAUCCUUCUCAAUGGACUUUGGUAUAGACAAAUAAUUGGGAGAAUAUUGUUUGCUUGCUUGCCUUUAUCAUAAUUAUCUUUACUCCUGUAAGCAUCUUAAUGACGAAGAUCAUCAUAUAUUUUACCAUGCCAUUGGUUGCUCAUUACGCUAUUAAGGGGUCUGUCUUUCAAGGGAUCAACCCAGUUCCAUCAUCGAAGGCAUUGUAUUGGAAGCCCAAUUGUGGUGCUUGUAUCUUGCGGAUGUAUUGGAGUCAGAGAAGCGGGCUUGGGAGAAUCUGCUAGAAACUCAGGCUAUCAGAGAAGCUGUAAAUCCUUGGAGAAAUCAUGAUGCGGAAGCAAAAAAGAAUUCAUUGUGCCACCAUUGUUGAGUUUGUACCUGGUAUGAUUUCUUCUCGAACGCUCUCAUUCAACAAGGAGAGAACUUUCUUUAAGCCAUGUUCUUGAUGGAGAAGUAUGAUAACAUUCAGAACAAAUAGGUCUAGGUGGUGGAGCUAUUUUGCUCAACUCCUUUUAGUUAAUGUGCAAUCCAUUUAUUUUAUGAGACAUUUUGGCAAUAGGUCUUAAUGCCUCUGGCUAUUAGACUUGUGCAUUAUAAUUGAUGGGAUGAUCGCACAUUAGUUUAUUGGAUCCUGAGAAUCGUGAUCAUAUUUCCAUGCGGAUUACUGCUCAAACAGGUUCGCUUCCAUACAAACUUCUUGUGUUGACAUUUGAUCUUCAGUUAGUAUAUUCAAUGUUCAUAAUUGAUAAUGCGUCAUGUAUCUGGUCAUCUUGUUGGUUUGACAAUAUAUCAGAUUUUGGCUUGAUUGAGAUUAUGUCUUCAUGUAGGUUUUAAAGUACCACCUAAAAUUAGAAAAAAAGAAAAGGAAAAAAAGAGAGACUAAAGUCCACUGAUCAAGAAAGUGAAAAGGAAAGAAACAGAGAGAGCCAAUGCCAUUAAACCAGUGAACUGGAAAAAGAGAUAUUGAAUUCUGUACAAUGCAGUUUAACAAAAAAAAAAAAAAAAACCACUUAUGUUCACAUUUGCAUCACAGAAUGACAUCCAGAUCUUCCAGUGUAAGAAAGUGGUCGGAAUUAUAUUGAUAGCCCUCGAGGUUGCUGUGCAUCGGCUCCUCUUCCGAGCUUCCUACAUGGAUGGCUGAGUUUUCCCGCAAAGUCAAGAAGCUGUCACGGUUACCGUCACCGAAAGAUUCCUCCAAGAGACUACGAAUCUCAGCAGGAUCAAAUCCACACCCCUCAAGGUCACAGUGCAUCGGCUCCUCUCCCAAGGAUCCUCAGCCGAUGCCUGGGUUCUUCGGAAAAGUGAAGAAACUGUCAAGGUCACCAUCGCCGAUGCAGUCCUUAAACGGACUAAGAAAUUCGUCAGGAUUAAAUCCACACCCCUCAAGGUCACAAAGCAUCGGCUCCUCUCCCAAGCUUCCACCCCCCAUGGCCGAGUUCUCCGGUAUAGUCGAGAAACUGUUGUGGUGGCCGUCACCGACGCAGUCCCCGGACACACUAAGGAAGUUGUCCGGAUUACAUCCGCACCCCUCAAGAUGGGAGCAGGUGGGGGUGGAGUCCACUCGCAAACCUCCACUGCCGGCGGCCGACUUCUCCGGCGAAGUCACGAAAGGGUCGCCGUCGCCCAGAUUUUCAGAAUCACAACCGAACCCGUCUCCAGAAUCGCCACCAGAACCUUUCAGAAUCACAACCGAACCCGUCUCCAGAAUCGCCACCAGAACCGAUCACGACGGACGAACCCUUCUCCAGAUCUUCCAACUUCUCGCCCACAAGAUCACGAACGGCAUCGUACUUCGCGAUCAGGGACUCCACGUCCUCCUCCGUCGCGCAAGAAUCCCAUUCCUUCUCAAUCCACUCCGCCCACUCGGUCAAACCCAUCGGCGGCACCGCGUCGACGUGGUUGGCAAUUACGUUGUCUUCCACGGAGGGGUCGCUGAAGAACGAACAGGGCUUGCCGGCGGGGGAGAAGACGAUGACAGCGGCACGAGCGCCGCAGAGGCAGCAGAGCUCGGAGGCCUUCUUGAAGAGGCCCUUGCGCCUCUUCGAGUAAGUCACGAGCCGCGCGGCCGGGUCGGCGAUCUUGGCGAUCUCCGUUCGCCGGCGCUUACCCAUUUCCGAUGGAUUUCGCGAGAUUUCUUCGACGAUUUGCAGGAUUCUUGGGUUUCCAGGAGAGAGCUUUCGUGGGUUUUUCUGGGUUUCUUGUAGAGAGAGAGAGAGAGAGAGAGAGAGAGAGAUGAAGUUUGAAGUUGCAGAGGAGGCGGGCGGGGGAAAGGAGCCGAACGGGAAGAUCUACUUAUAUAGCCAUCGUGGGGCCCUUUUGAGAACUUUCUGAAUUCUGAUUUUCGGUCCUCUAAAUUUCUGUAGAUUUUCAAAUUGGCCUCGAGAACAGUUUACUUGUGUCGAUUAAGUACUCUUAAGUUUUCAUAAUUUGUGUAAUUGGUGGUUUGUCCAGUGGAUUGCUUUUACCAUUAACACGGUGUGAUAAAUAAUUGAAUUAGAUAAGUGAAGAUGUCGCUUUAGAUUAUAAAUUUUAAUUUUUAAAAUAGAUAAGUAAAGACGUCGCUUUAAGUUAUGAAAUUUAAUUUAACAUGAGAUGAGGAAAAAAAAAACAUUUUUGUCUGUUUGAUAACAUUUAUUCUAUGAUUUUUUAUUUUUUUUUACUCUCUUCAAAUACGUGGAAAUAGCUUGCAACUAGUCAAAGCCAUGAACAUUUCAGAACAGUUGAGUUGAGAGACUCGACCACUUGUAUGCAAGUAUAAGGACAAAAUAAGGGCAUUCUCAAAUAUCCAAAUCGUACAUUACUUUAGAGAGGCCAACCUUAUUGCGGACUGGAUAGCCAAAGCUCAUAAAAAAAAUUACUUAUCUCUAAAUUGAGUUUUGUCCCCUCCUCGAACUAUGUUGGAGCUUUUAUGUAAUGAUGCCCAUUUAACGGGGCUCUCAUCUUUGCUUAGUAAAUGAAAUAUUUCUAUUUCCAACCAAAAAAAAAAAAAAACUUGGAAACAGAAAAAUCUUUGGAUAAAACAUAUGAAGAAGCUAUAUUGCUGCAAGAUUUGAUUAAAGGAAUAAUUUUUUUUAAGAUAAAGGACACUUUAAUUGAAAAUAUCAUGCCCGAUUAAAAUAUUUGCUCAAAUGUAUAAACUAUAACAAUGGGUAAUACUAUAUUUUUCCUCGUCAUGGAUCACGGUGCUAUAUUAGACAUCAUCAUGUAGUAAACAAAAUGGACAAAGCCACCUAAAUCUCUAAAUAACAUGCAAAAUUAAAUUCAUAUUUAAAACAUAAAAAGAAAUAACGGUCUCAUCUAAUUAUAAUUAAAAAGAAUUACACUAUACACUCCCAUUACAAUCCAAAAAUAGUUUAAGUGCUAUAUUUUCCCCUAACAAGUUAUAAAUUGUGGACAUCACUCACAAGCAAAGUAAACAGAAUAUUAAUGUAGGUUAUGUCUAUGGUUGUAACCCAUCAAUCAACUUACAUAUUUCACUAGCAUUUAACUUUUUGCACAAGGAUGGUAGUAAGACCAAUUAUAAAAUCUGGAUUCAAUUCUAUGUUUUAGACCUAGUAGGAUUUUGGCACAAAUAUGGAUAGUGUAAAUUUUAGAUAUAUCCAUGAACUCAAUAAAUCUCAAUUGCUAGAUUUUCGAACCUCACAUGAAAUCCGUGAUAUCAAGGCGAUCGCAAACUCCACUUGACACACUCUCUUGCGAUCAAGCUUUUGAUUUUCACAAAGAAGGGCAAUAGACGUUUACACGUUAAAGUUCUAAAAUAGAUUUUUUUUUUUGUCUAUUUUACUAUAUUUUUACUUUAACAUUCAGUCUUAAAUUUUUAUCCUAUAUUUUUGCAAGGUUUGAGAGUCGAAAUCCACACUUAAAAUCAAAUCGUCCCCACCCUCAAUCGCCUCUAAGAAAGUAAGAAUUCAAACCCCCAUCUUCCUAUGGUUCUAAGACAAAUGUUUUUUUUUUCUUUUUUUGGUCAGAAUUCUAAGAUAAAUGUUUGACCGGGUGAGUUUUUGGCAAAAUUUCGGUCCAUCAACGAAGACGAUGGGCUUGCAGGAGAAAAACAGGCACAAUUACCGUACAGGUUCAAUCCGCAGCACGACCCAAUAUAAAAACCUCAUAAAUUUUCGGAACGCGAUGGACUUUCGAACCCGAACCGACAUCCACGUCAGGUCACAGUGCCUAAGGGACGCGUACACGUGGCGCGUUUGGCAAGGAUUAGCUUCGUUGCAGGAGAGCAGGGGUGAAACACGAACGAACACCCUUUAUUUUUUUCUUCGGCGGUGUUGAUGCGACAUGAUGAGAUGAGAUGAGAAUAGAAUGAGGGGUGGCCUUUUAUCAUCAUCCGUGACGACCAAGACCUUUGAUCAUGCAAGCGGCUCAAGCUCAUCCUCUGCCUACAUCGCCUGCUGAGAUUCCUUCUCAGGUCCUCUUUCUCUCUCCCUCUCUCUCCCUCUCUCCUCCUGCUGCUGCUACUGCUUUACUCGUUGGAUUGAUCAUGCAAGCGGCUCAAGCUCAUCCUCCGCCUUCUGCAACGUCUGUUGAGAUUCCUUCUCAGGUCCUCUCUCUCUCUCUCUCUCUCUCUCUCUUUCGGUGGGCGUUGCGAGUUCUUGCUUUUUGUGUACGCAAGUCUCGUUGUUUGUGGGUUCGCGGGUGAGAUCGAGUUUCGUGCUUGAGAUGGGUCGGAUUCUGCCGGCGUCGGAAGAGACGGGUCGUCGGCGUUUAGGCGUUUGGUUUCCGUUUUCCGGUUGUUGCUCUGGUGUUAGCUGGUUCCGUGCAAUCUGAGCUCUUUGAGCUCGAGAGGUCGUGCCCCCUCCUCCGUCUUCCGCUUCCGGUGCUCUCGCCCCCCGGGAGAAUUUUGCUUAAGCUGUGGUUUGAGAUCUUGGUUAGGCUUGAGUGAGAAAAGUAGGGAGAGCUGUCGAAAAAGAAAGAAAGAAAAUAGAGGAACCCCGAUGCGGGAUGACACGAGUGCGAUUAAAUUUGAGUCGAACGCGACUUAGUGCAUUGCGACGUGCUUUCUGGAAUUCGAGCUACUUUAGUUUGGAACUGAUGAUUGACGCGGCGACGGUGACAGGAUAUGACUUGCGGCCCAUUCGGAGGCUUUGAGAAGUUUGCAGAUUGUGGGAAGAUUAGCAGGAACUAUGAUUAUUUUAGAAAUUAUACAACCGCCUCCAAAAGAUGAGAGCUUUACCUCGUGCAUUGUCAACUUUGACAAGCUGGAGCGAUGCUGCAAUGAAUCAUUCUUAUUACAUAAUUGUAGCACACUGGCUCACGACUCUAUGUAUAUUUAGCUAACUUAGGGUACCAAGUUUAAUGACCUAUAGAGAUUUCCAUUUGUGAGUCAGGCUUCUAAACAUUUUCCAUCUCUGGCUGCCAUUGCUUUUGCUGAUAUGCUGUUUGGUAUUUCUUGAAGAUCAUGUCCAAGGAAAUCGUGCAGAAAAACAAUGUACCUGUAAAAAUUGUUGGAAUAGUAGGGAGCACUUCUUUUACUCACACUAUGACAGAAGGUCAAGGAAUGGCUAUUUCAUCAGGAUAUGAAUAUGAAGUAUUCUUGAGCUUCAGAGGAGAAGAUACUCGAACAAGUUUUACCGAUUUCCUUUACACUAGUAUGAUAGAUGCGGGAAUCCGCGUCUAUAAGGAUGACGAAGAGCUCUGCAAGGGUGAAAACUUUGGCUCGGAACUUCUCCAGCAAUUAAUCAAUCGAAGAUCUCAAUACCUAUAUUUUCGAAAGGUUAUGCCUCUAGCGUAUGGUGUCUCAAGGAGCUAGUCCAGAUGGUCGAGUGCCAAAAAACUAGGGGACAAAAGAUUAUGCCCAUUUUUUUUAUGAUGUAGCACCUUCAGAGGUUCGACACCAAAUUAAAGGUUAUGGAGAGGCCUUUCUUACACAUGAAAACAAGAAGCGAUAUGACAAAGAGACUAUGCAUAAGUGGAAGGCUGCUCUCACCACGGUUGGAGAGCUAGAUGGAUGGGACUUGCAAAAAAUGGCCAACAGGUAAUUGCCUCUAUCAUUCCAUUUGAUGUGCCUUGUCCCAUUAAAACUUGAUGUGUUUCACUGUUGAAAUUGAAUUUUAUGCUAUUGAAACUUUACCGCAGAAAUCACUUGAAAUAAUGGGACAAUCCCCAUUUUGUCCUUUUUCAUUCCAAACAACCUUUUUUUUUCUUUUUUUUUUUAGUUAAGGUCAUUCGUGAAUCAUAUGUGCCAAUGCUAAUUCAUUUACAAUGAAGUAAAUCCUUGCAGAAAGCAUUUCAAAUGGGUCUCUAGUUUCACUUUGGUCUUGUUAGAAAAUAGCUUGGUUCAACACAAUUUUCUAACUCAUUGCCAUUUGACCUCCAACAAACACUAGGAAAGAAGGUGAGAUAGCAAAAACAGUUACUUGGAAGGUUUUCAAUGAAUUGAAAAAGGCUUAUUUGGUGGUAUCAAACAACUUGGUUGGUGUGGACAGUCAUGUGAAUAAAAUCAUGGAAGAGAUAGGUGCUCAUAUAAAUGAAACGCGAAUCAUAGGAAUUCAUGGGAUGGGUGGCGUUGGAAAGACAACAAUUGCCAAAAUCAUAUACAAUGAGCUUUCCAACAAGUACAACAAUUGUUGCUUCCUUUCCAACAUCCAUGAAACGUCAAAGCUCGGGGGCAUUGAGUACUUGCAGCAACAGCUCAUCUUUGACAUCCUCAAGAUGAAAGGGACGGAUAUAAGAAACAUUGAUGAAGGGAUUAAGACCAUUAAAGAAAGGUUGCCUAAUAAAAAAUUCCUCCUUCUUCUUGAUGAUGUUGAAGAAAAGGAUCAUAUGGAUGCACUUGUCGGUAAGCGUGAUUGGUUUGGCGAAGGGAGCAAACUUAUUGUUACUACAAGAAGGAAAGAUGUUCUCUGUGUUCCGGAAGUGGACUGGAGGUAUGAGCUUACGUGCUUGGAUCCGAAUCUAUCUCUUCAACUUUUUAGCAAACAUGCUUUUAGAAGAGAGUCUCCUGUAGACGACUAUAUCAACCAAUCUAGGAGGGCGAUACGCAUUACCGGAGGUCUUCCAUUAGCCAUUGAGGUCAUAGGUUCACUUUUAUCCGACAAAAAUAAGGAAAAGUGGGAUGGCACAUUGAAGAUGCUAGAAAGUGUUCCUCAUGAUAAAGUUCAGAGUAAGCUGAAAAUAAGGUAUGAUGCAUUAGAUGAUCGGCAGUGGCGUAUAUUCCUUGAUAUAGCUUGUCAUUUCAUUGGAUGUUGCAAAGACAUUGUGGUUUAUUUCUGGGAUGCAUCUAAACUUUUUCUGGAAGCAGUCGUGGAAGUUUUGCUGAACAUGUCUUUAAUAAAGAUUGGAGAAGAUAAGAUAUUGUGGAUGCAUGAUCAACUCAGAGACCUUGGAAGAGAAAUAGUUCGUCAAGAAAGUGAGAUGAAUAUAGAGAAGCAACGUUGGGUGUGGAAUCCUGAGGAUGGAUUAAAUCUGCUAAGGAUACAUGAGGUGAAAUGCUUUGUGCAAUACAUCUCCAAAUUAUUUAUAGACAUUUUCUUUUCCAAAAAAGUAGUUACUUUUUGUGUUCUCUAGCACCAUCGCGACCUACUCAACCGAUAGUUUUGGUCUUUUAAGAUUUUAAAGGAAUGAUAAUAGUCAACUCUACCCCUUAAAAUAGUGAACUUGAAGAAAUGUGUUUCCUUUCAACUUUUUUGUUUUAAAUUUUUUCCUUUGGGCAGGAAAAGAAAGAAGUUGAAGCUCUUCAUCUCAAGUUUGAUGAUUAGCACCAUUUUACCUAUAAGGACUUUAAGAGCCUACCAAAUCUAACGUUCCUUGAAGUAGACGACUUGAAGGAAAAUUUUCGUGGAGAAAAGUUGCUUCUUUAGCUCAAAUGGCCAUCAUAUGCUCUUCCAACUAAUAUUUUCCAGAGGAAUUCAGAUCUCCUUCCACGAUUACGAUGGCUUUCUUGGCAUAAUAUUAGCCCAACAUAUAAGAUUGCAAAUUUCUGCGUAGAGAAUUUGAUUAUCCUUGAUCUAUCUGGGAGUGAAAUCACUCAUGAUUGGAAGGGGUGGAGCCACAUGAAGGUAUGUUAUAUGCUAGACAACAUUUAUUCUUCCGUUUUAUUAGAUUCAAAAGUGAACUUUGCAUGAUUUUUCUUUCACAGGUGAUUAAGAAUUUGAAAGUUCUGAAUUUGGACUAUUGCCAAUGCUUGAAGAGAACCCCCAACUUCUCAACUCAUUCAAAUUUAGAACAUUUGAUCCUAUCAAAAUGUUACUCAUUAAUCAAAAUUGAUAGAUCAAUUUGUUAGUUGAAACGCUUGGUUUUCUUAGAUGUAAGCGAUUGUUGGAGUCUUCAGAGGCUGCCGAAUGAGCUGGGAGAUCUUGCAAGCCUCAAAUACCUAUCUCUAAGAAAUUGCUUGAGUUUGAAGAGGCUUCCGGAGACAAUCGGGAAUUUGGAAUUGCUGAUUGAGUUGAACAUAAGAACCACGAGAAUCAGAGAACCACCCGAUUCCAUCGGAAAGUUUAAGAAUUUGAAAAUAUUGAAUAUGCAAUAUUGUGACAUAAGCCUACCAAGGCUUCCUGAAAGUCUCAUAGAAUUAGAACUGAGGGAGUUGAGGGUGGACACGUUUUUGGAUCUCUCGUAUCUUGCUAACUUAAAGGUAUUGCAUCUAGGCUUUGGCCCACCUAAUUGUGAUGGGAAAUCUUAUGGGCUUCUGGAAGAAUCGAUACCACGGUGGAUUGUGAACUUAACCAAAUUGGAAUCUCUGAAAUUGCGCUUUUAUAAGAAGACCGCCUUAUCGACAGACCUCAGCGUCCCUCCUCAUCCGCGUCACCUCUCGAGGCUUCCCACAAAUUUAUCCUCCUUACUUCUCUUUGGUUGCGACUCACUUUACUCGAUGGAUAUAUCGAAUUUGAGGAAACUAUCGUCUCUCGAGAUUUUGUCCUGCCACUCUCUUUGCUCGAUGGAUCCAUCGAAUUUGAGGAAACUAUCGUCUCUCAGGAUUUGGUGGUCUCCAAUUGCAAAGAUUGAAGGCCUUGGUUGUUUGGAGAACCUACGAUAUUUGGAGCUUUACAACGUCGGACAGUUAGCGGUGCUACCUGAUCUAAGCAAGUUAAACAAGCUAAGGCAUAUUCGAGUAUGGGGAUGUGGUGAUCUGGUUGAGAUUCAAGGCGAACGACCGCGGUUUAUAGAUAAACUCAAAAAAAAUUUCUGUCCUUCAUUACAGGAGUUGCCCGAUCUGUUCAGCUUAAUGGGUAAGACAGAUCUUGAUGUGUUUAUUCGCAAUCGAACAUAUGAAUGUAAAGGUGGACAUGGGUUGUUGCUUCGUGGCUUUAAACAGAUGCAGAUCCCUAAUCUAAGCAAUUAGAACGGACUAACAAUUCUUUCAGUAGAAUCUUGUCAUAAUCUAGAUGAUAUUCAAGGCGAACUACCUCAAUCUUUGGAAUACUUGGAUAUUGAAUCCUGUGAAUCUUUACAGAAAUUGCCUGAUCUAUCAAGCUUGAAGGGAUUGCGAGAGGUUAGAAAAAGACGUUGUGGGAAAUUAGCGGUGGAGGAAAUUUCUCGGCUUUGCUCGGAGAAGUCAAUCAAAUUUGUGGGAGAAGACGAUGAAGAAGACAAAUCACCGGUUUGGGCAAGAAUACAAAGAUAUGAAAUACGACGACGGUCAUCUUCCACGGAGGGGUCGCUGAAGAAAGAACAGGGCUUGCUGGCGGGGGAGAAGACGAUGACGGUGGCGCGAGCGCUGCAGAGGCGGCAGAGGUCGGAGGCCUUCUUGAAGAGGCCUUUGAAGAGGCCCUUGCUCCUCUUCUAGUAAGUCACGAGCCGCGCGGCCGGGUCGGUGAUCUUGGUGAUCUCCAUUCGCCAGCGCUUACCCAUUACCGAUGGAUUUCGCGAAAAUUCUUCAACGACUUGCGGGAUUCUUGGGUUUCCGAAGAAGAGCUUUCGUGGGUUUUUCUGGGUUUCUUGUAUAUAGAGAGAGAGAGAGAGAGAGGAGGAGGAGGAGAGAGAUGAAGUUUGAAGUUGCAGAGGAGGUGGGUCGGGGAAAGGAGCCGAAUGGGAAGAUCUACUUAUAUAACUUUUUGAGAACUUUCUGAAUUCUGAUUUUCGGUCCUCUAAGUUUCUGUAGAUUUUCAAAUUGGCCCCGAGAAUAGUUUAUUUGUGUCGAUUAAGUACUCUUAAGUUUUCAUAAUUUGUGUAAUUGGUGAUUUGUCCAGUGGAUUGCUUUUACUAUUAACACGGUGUGAUAAUUAAUUGAAUUAGAUAAAUGAAGACGUCGCUUUAAAUUAUAAAUUUUAAUUUUAAAAUUACAUAAGUAAAGACGUCGCUUUAAAUUAUGAAAUUUAAUUUAACAUGAGAUAAGGGAAAAAAAAAGAAAAAAUAAAUAAAUCGAGAGGUUAAACGAGAGAAGCUCGUCGCCACGAGGUUCUCAUUGAAGGUUUAAAAAAAAAAUUCCAUUUGAUAACAUUUAUUCUAUGAUAUUUUUUUUUUCUUUUUACUCUCUUCAAAUACUUGAAAACAGAAAAAACUUUGUAUAAAAUAUAUGAAGAAGCUAUACUGUAAGUAAUUUCUUAAGUUGCAACAUUUGAUUAAAGGAAUAAUAUCUUUUUUUAAAGAUAAAGGACACCCUAAUUGAAAAUAUAAUACCCGAUUAGAAUAUAUGCUCAAAUUUAUAGACUAUAACAAUGCGUAAUACUAUAUUUUCCCUCCUCCCAUGGAUCAAUAUGCUAUGUUAGGCAUCAUCGUGCAGAAAACAAAGUAGAUAAAAGUAAAACCACUUAAAUCUCUAAAUCUCUAAAUAUUAGGUAAUAAUACCUUCAUCUGACUGGAAUAAAAAAGAAUUACUUUAUACACUUACAUUACAAUCCAACAAAAAUAAUUGACACUGAAUAGUUAUGUGUAUAGUUUAAGUGCUAAAUUUUCCUCUAACUAAAUUUAGUUAUAAAUUGUGGACAUGCAAAAUAAAUAAAAUAUAAAUAUAAGUGAUGUCCAUUAUCGCAACCUAUCAAUAAGAAUUGUGAUAGAGAAAACUUGGAAACUAUGGUCCAAGAAUAAUUCCUUUUUAGCAAAACAUUAUCAAAUAUUAUUGGGCAUGCAUAAUUCACUAGCAUUUAACUUUUUCUACAUAGUACAAGCACAAGGACGGUAGUAAGACCAAUUAUAAAAUCCGAACAAUUUUCUAAGUUUUAAACCUAGCAGGACUUUGGUGCAAAUAUGAAUAGUAUAAAUUUUAAAUAUAUCCUUGAACUUGACAAAUAUCAACCGUUGGAUUUUCAAACCUCACAUGGAAUCCGUGCGAUCAAGGCGACUGUAAACUCCACCUGACACGCUCUUGCGAUCAAGCUCUCAAUUUUUCACAAAGAAGGGCAAUUGACAUUUACACACAUGUCCUGUGUGUUAAAGUUGAUAGAUUUUUUUUUUUUUGUUAGUCAUACUCUACUCAUACUCUAAUAUUUAUGCUUAAACUUUUGCUCAACCUUUUUGCAAGGCAUGAGAAUCGAAAUUCAUAUUUGAAACUAAAUUGUCAUCAUUUAGAAAGCACCAACAUUUUUUGAGAGCAUUCAUGUUGUAUUGGACACUUCAACAUAUGUCUGAAACUCUCCGAUAAUCGGUCAACAAAUGUCGAAAAAUUUGAUAUUUGGUCAACUCUCCUAACACUCUCGUAUGCGAAUCAAGAAUUCCAACAAUGCACGAGUCAAUUUAAAAAAAUUUCAAUAAACAAUGGAUCAAAAUGUAAAUGUGUGAAAAAAUAACAAAGCUAAUAAAUAGGGAAAGAAGAAAAAUUUAGUUUUAUCUUUUUUUUUUACUCUCACUUCCCAUGACAUACAAUUCACCUCCAUUUUUUUUCUCCUCUUUCAAUAUGCUUAAACACGUGAAUCCAAAAUGUGGAUUGUUUGACUUUUUUCUUCAAAUUUUAUGAAUUAUUGGAAUGGAGUUGAAUUUACAAAAUUAAAAUAAUUGAUGAUAUUAACAAAUGGUAGAUUAAUAUUUUUAGUGUAAAUUCAUUCUAAGCUUUUUUUAUUAUUUAUUUAUUUAUUUAUGAAUUUGAAUCAAAUUAAUUUUAUUAAAAUAAUCAUAAAAUGAUAUAAAAAUAUAUAUUUAAUAUAUAACGUGUCCCAACGUAUUGAAAUUUUUUAUUUUUUUGAAAAAUGACGUAUUAGCAUGUCAUGUCAUAUUGCGUGCCGAUACUACUUAAAUAUCUAUCACAAUUUUCCUUAAAGAUGUGAGAAUUCGAAUCUCUCACCUCUCCCUUUUCUUUGUAGGAAGAGUGGCCAUUGAUGGUUUAGUUUUUUUUUUUUUUUUGUCGAAACAUUGGUGGUUACGUUGACUGGGUGAGUUUUUGGCAAUGUUUCAGUCCAUCAACGAAGACGAUGGAAUCGUAGGAUAAAAACAGACACGAUUACCGUGCAGGUUCAAUCCGUGGGAAGUGCAAUAAACUUUUACAAAUCACAGUGCGAAAAACUCCACAGAGUUCGCAGCACAACCCAAUAUAAAAACCUCACAAAUUUUCAGAAUGCGGUGGACUUUCCAACCCGAACCGACAUCCACGUCAGGUCACCAAGUCCAAGGGACGCGUGCACGUGGCGCGUUUGGGUUAGCUUCGAUGCAGGGGUAAAACACCCUUUAUUUUUUCUCCAUGGUGCUGAUGCGACAUGAUGAGAUGAGAUGAGAAUGAGGGGUAGGGUAGGGCGCUUUUGUGUGGGUUGCUGGGCUUGAGGAUAAGUAGCCGAGUGAAUUGUUUAUGUGACUGGUUGUCUGCUGAGUUCUAUGAGUCCUUGAGCGUAACUACAUGUUUUUUUUUGGCAAUCGUUGGUUUUGUUGGGGACAUUUACACCGGUUCCAUGGACCCACCCGCGAGCAGGGCCGGACCCAGUUCCCAUUUUGUGGAAACCGGCCCUCAGUGGGCGUUUCCGGGUUCUAGGGUGAGGACCGCCCACCCUGAAACCGAUCAUACCUGCCAGCAUUUCCAUCUUAAGUGACAAUAUCCAGCGUAAUUUUUCUUUCUUUGAUUUCUGCUGCUUUUUGCUGCUAUCCAUCGUCGAUUUCUGUGCAUGCUGUUGUGUCUGCCUGUGAAAGCUUUCGUCUUUUUGUUAUUUAGAAAGAUAUCUUUGUAUGCUGCAUUUUCUGGGCUAUCCGAGAAUUUCUGUACGUGGACUUAUAGAGGCGUGUCCUAUUGUGGCUUUCAUUUGGUUAUUUUCUAGUUGUAAAAAAUGGGUAGUGUGUAGGUCGAGUGGUGACUUGACCUUAUUCAAAAGCGGAGUCACGUUGAAUUCAAAAUUUCAAAGAGUAACUCACUCUUUUUUUAUCUGCUUUCAACAGCCGUUUCCCAAAGACAGAGAGGUCUCUCUCUAUUUUGAGUUGCAUUGCUUCUGAGCAGAAAAGUGUCCUCACUUUCCUUCAUGGCUAACAAUCCUUCACAGCUCCUCCCGUCAGGUCUGUCGGAUGUUUUAAUUCAUGUCUGUUUUGUUUUCCUUAAUUUUCUGAGAUUCGCAGAAAUAUUGGGAGGGCAUUUCCACUUAUGUUCAUCUUGCACUAAUGAAAUAUGCAGAGUUGAUUGACCGUUGUAUAGGUUCAAAAAUCUGGGUUAUAAUGAAGGGAGACAAGGAGCUUGUCGGUACUCUUAGGGGCUUCGAUGUGUACGUCAACAUGGUCCUCGAGGAUGUCACUGAGUAGUAUGUAUCUCUCUCUCUCUCUCUCAAAUUUACUUGUGCUUCAAGAUGCUUCUCGCAUUACUUCGGGUGAAGGGAAGCCAUUAUAUGUUCUUGACAUCGAUUUAUUAUCUGAACGGGCAAAUGACAAUUUGUAUGUAUUAGCAUCAGAAGUUAUCAAAUCCGUGGUUUAUGAGGCCUCUCUGUCCUCAACUUGAUCUAUGCUUCUAACUGAGAAUUGCUACUUGCACAAGCACACGCAAUAUGGCCUUGCCCAACAUCCAACCCACCCCACCCCCCACCCCCCUCCCCCUUUUUCUUUUUACUCACUCCACCUUUUAUAUAGGUUGUAGAUGUAAACUGUGGAAGCUUCAUGUGAUUGUAAGUUUCUGUUUUCAUUCUUGCAUACGGUGAAAUCACUUCUGAAGGACGAAGGAUAACAAAGGUCGAUCAGAUUUUGCUUAACGGAAACAACAUAGCUAUCGUAAGAAACAACUUCUUCCUUCUGCUGAUAUUGAUGUGGCUAUAUGUUUUGAGCCCUUGCAUCGAUAAGGAUGUGGUCUUGCCUAAAGUUUUGGUGAUCUACUAACUAGUAAGCAAUCGCCUUAACAUAACAGAAACAAUCAGCCACUCAGAGAGAUUCCUUCCAAUAUGUAGACUGAAAAUGCUUUGACGAUAUACUAAUGAAUUUUUACUGGUCUUGAUUUUGUGGUAAAAGAGUCAUCAUUCCCUAUUCUUUACAAGAAUCUGGUCCUUUGUCUCAAUCAACCUUGUGUCCACCUCUUGAUAAAUAUAAAGCGUCAGUUGUGUGGCAGUUAUGUUAUUGAAAAGCUAGAAUUCUGCUUUCAAGUGCCUGAACCACUCAAGUGAUGAUGCCUUCCUUUUUUUCUUAAUGCAGUUAGUUCCUGGUGGCUCCCCUGAUCUGGAAUGAGUUGGUUUCAUCCUCUAACCUCAGUGGUAGAUUAUGCAGUUACUUUAGUUGUUGGAAAUCCCAUCAGCAACAUCAUUUGAUUUUAUAACCCUCUUUUUUUGGGUUUAUGAAUCUGCAACCUUAGUUAAAUGAGCUCUAAUUAAAUCGAGCUCAUGUAUGAAUGUCUGAUGCAAAUAUCUCAACGGAUGGUGCAUGAU